UCCUUUCUGUCAGUCUUGGAAAAAUUGCAACAGAGAAAUCAGGAGAACUCUGUCCUCCACAAAAAAAUUGAGUUCCACAAUCAAUCAAUUGAGUUCAGUAUGUUUUACUUUACACAGAGAAAAAACAUAGAGAAUUACUACAAACCUGUGAUCCAUGAAAACAAUCAAUCAAUUGGUUUUAUUUGCUAGUACAAAAGGCAAAGGAUCCAUAGAUAGAAAUCAACUACGUCUAACUGAUAUGGGAAUUGAAGAUUAGAAAAGAACCAUGCCUAAUUAGCAACAGUACAACCUGAAUCUGGAUGAUGACUACCUCACCGAGAGAUGGCAGCUGCAGAUAAUGGUGGAUUGCUGCAGCCGGCGGCGAUGCCAUCAAUUCUCCACCGACUGCUCAUGCGAGAUAUGCAACAGAUGUCACGGGCGCCCUCAGAUCUGGCCGGGAGCACCUCCCAUCUUCUCCAUGUUACCACCUAUCGAGAGAUCUGCACCUUGCCGUCGCACGUCAGAGCUACACCGCACGAGAACGUCACCUCGUCGUCGUCGUCAUCGCCGUCCGCGUCGGUAGGCACCUCGUGGGCAGAGACAGGGGAGAGGGGCGGCGGCGGCGACAGGAAUGAGCAAGUUAGAAGGCACCUCCGUAGAUGAGUGUGGACGUUCUGGACGCAGCGGCUAGACCUGGCCAUCCUUUGGGCCGGGCCGGGCUUCGGGCCGGGCCUGACCAAGCCCGAGGUAGAAAACUCAGGCCCCAGCCCGGCCCGGCCCGGCCGUCGGGCCUAGUUUUUAGGCCCGAGCCCGACCCAUCACAGCAAAAAACACGUCGGGCCUCGGGCCUCGGGCCGGGCCUCUUCAGUAAAUGGCAUAAACAGCGGGCCCAGGCCCGGCCCGACCUAGUCUUCGGGCUCAAAACCUAGGCCCAGGCCCGGCCCGGGAGCAGCGUCGGGCCGGGUCGGGCCGGGCUGUCCGGGCCGGGCGGCCCAUCGCCAGGACUAGCAGCGGCAUCUGCGCGUAGCGAAAAUGCUAAACCUACGAAAGACUAUACGUAAGGUUACGAAACUUUCCAAACUAAUCUAAACCCCCCCCUGAUUUUUAGGGGGUGGGCCCCUCACUCCCCUAAACACCGAUGCUAUUGUUCAACGUUGGCUAUGCGUAAACUUAAGUAGCUCCUUUACGUAAGUGUAGCAUUGCUCCUGCGCGCAGAUAUCUGGCCGCAGGCUGCGUCAAGAUGAUGUGCGCAUUAAUAAUCGGGGAAUGACAAAGGGAAGCAUACAUCGUCAUAUACAAAGGAAUACUGUGGCCGCGCUGCCUAUGUAGGGCUCGUUCCGUGCGGUACGUGUAUGACUUAAGCACCAGGCAUGCAAUACCGUACUGUAUUUACCACGUGGGCCCAAUUUGGAUUUCUAGAUGUGUGUGAUGUGUUGGAUCUAAACGCCAACGCUGAGUUUUCCUCUCGUCCCUGGCGGCUGGAACCCUAGCCGCCGCCAGGGGAGGCCGGUCUUCCAACGCCGCUCUCCGGCGGCUUCCCUCCGCCGGCGACCUCGGUCGUUGGUGGUGAGGGGGGUCGCCGGAUCCACGUGUGUGGAUCGUUUUUACUCUCUCGUAGUCUAGGUUUUUAGGUUGUUCAUCGUCUUUGCUUCGGCGGUGACGAUGAUAACGCUGAAUAAAGAUUUUUGGGAUCCUUUCCUAACGAGGCCAUCGGUCCUAUUGUUGGGGAUGGAUUUGGAAACCAGUCUGUUCAAGCAAGGAUGGUGUGGCGGCGACGACAUCCUCGUGGUGGACCUGUGUCCUCGAGCUCCGCCGUUGCGACGACGUUUGCUCCAGCGUCGGCGCGGAGCUUGGGAGGUAGUCCAAGAGCAGAUGCAGAUUGUGGUCUACAUCGACGACAUCUGGAAGACGGAGCACGUGCUGGCUCGUGGUUCGUGGAUGGCAGAUAUGGUUUCCUCCUUCGGCGUUUUAGUCGUGGUGGGAUGCUAGAUCUGGAGUUGGAUGGCGUGUCCGGGGUGUUGCCCCGGUCUGAUUCGUUCAACGGUAAGGGCUUAACUUUUGGUGAGCCACCUUGAAGGCCCGCAAAGCUGCAUAUCACCGAUGGAGCCGCGUCGAGCUCGGGUGAGAAGGUGAUUUGUCAUUCUUUUCUUCGGUGGCUACUGUGGUGGUGCCGGAGGCAGGUGACGUGCGUUGGUGUCAAGCUCAAAGAUGUUCUGCUAUCUUUUCAGUUUUGUCAUGUCGGUCUUUACGUGACUUGUACUUUGUUCUUUAUGAUAUGAAUGAGACACGUAUUACCAUGUAAAAAAAGAUGUGUGUGAUGUGCCUCAGGCUGGACGUGGCGAGCGGGCUUUUGGCCCGGCUCGCGGCCCGCGAAGGACUGGACUGAACGGUCCUGGCCCGGUAAAAUACUUGGUCGGUCCGAGCUCAAGAAUCAGGCCCGAGAAAUCUUCGGUCCGGUCCUGUUUUUGACCGAGCCGACCGAGCAGACCGACAAUCCCAGCGGCGACCUGCGCGAAAGGAGUAGUGGAGGAGCAGUGUAGGGAGCGCUGCACCUUCCCGCCGUCGUCGACCGUCGCCGUCUUCACCUGCCCGUAGUAGACUGCCUCCUCUACGUCUGGCCGCCGUCGAGCAACCAUGGCAGCCGUUUCAGCACAGCACGAACGUAACGCAAGCCGCCAUCUGGGAGCAACAAUCGAUCGGUCGUGAUUUUUUGAUCGUGGGAGAAAAGCUCAACCGUGAUUUUCGCAUCCAACUAAUCAGGCAAGUAUUUUUGAAAGGCAAGGAGUAGAUGUAAUAGCGCCCAGUUCCUAUAAUCAUGGGCCAUCACCCCACGUUGCAGUUUCCUUUUUUAUGCAGUCGAGAUGGAAACAAAAAAUACGACGGAAUCACGAUUUGAUCCGAAACUCAUGGCGCCAUUUGAGGAAGAACUCGACGUCAGGUUUGAUCCUCUAAUCACGGCAAGGCCCAUAAGCAGAAAAUCUUGGCUGCAUACUCGUUCUACAUUACUUGCAUGCAAUAGGGAAAACUGCUAAUGAACAAAUAUCUGCAGGUUCGUAGGUAACAGGCGCGCCGCCCAGCGCACACCUCGACCACCUUGCCGCCGGCGCUCUCGCAUGAAGCCCACCUUGUCACAGCACCAGCGCACGUCGCACACCUCGCCGCUGCACCCGUGCAAGUCGCUCGGUCCGGCCCGGGCUUGGCCGGUCCGCUCGGUCCGGCCCGGGCUUGGCCGCUGCCGGUCCGGUCCCAGAAAUCAGGACCGUCGUGAUGCUCAGUCCGGUCCGGUCCGGACCGCCGGCGGCCGGUCCAAACGACGGCUCGGACCGGGACCGGACCGGCCCGGACCGUGUCCACCCUGGGAUGUGCCGGACCUGCUUGAUGAUCCCGUCUGGAUUGCUGGUUCUCCGUGCUGCAUUCUCUUUCUGUUCAUGAUGACCGGAGUUGAUUCAAAGCAUGUGUCUUGCUGGUUGCCCCGUUCUUGAUGAACUUCUCCGCCCAUCGAUUUGAUUCAAAGCCUGUCCGUCGACAUGUGCCGUGGGGUUAGGCAAAGUGUGGGGAGGUAGUGAGAGCGUGGCAAGAGAUGUCAUCGAAAUCUUACCUUGCUGUGUGCCAGAGCCUGCCUGCGGCGUCGCCGGGAGAGAUCGGGAAACCUUCGAUGUGGUUUGCAAUGGAGCUUGUUUCAUCUACAGCGUUGUGGGGGGUGUACUGCAUUAAAUAUGUGCGCAGCUAGACGGGUGGGGUGGUUGGCUUUAACACAUCCGCGUGUGAAAGCUCCAGUGCAUGGCCACUUGCAUGGACGCCAGUGCACGGCUAGCUCUGCACGCGUCGGUGAUUGAAGCAUGCGUUAGAGCAUACUGUCAGCCUGGAGCUUGUCCUUGUUUGAGUCAGAGUGUGUCUCUAAAUACGCAUAUAUGUUGCGGCAUGAAGUCCACUGCCAACAUAUAAUCUGAGUAGCACGUUAACUUGUGUGAAUCGUGAAGGUCCUCUCGCCGUAGAUGCCGCGAGUGCAGAUGCCGCUGCGUCAAGACCUGCGUUUCUCCUCCGUAGAUGGGCCAAGGCACACACGACUCGAUCCAUGUUGAUCUCCAGUGACCAGCGUAGAAGGGCCAAGGACUAUUGUAUUCGGUUGCGUAUUCGAAAGAAAAAGGUUUUUCGCUCAGAUUCCAAGACGGCACGAAGGAUCGAGAUAGCGAGCUCGCUGUCGCUGGAGCGCUAAAACGCCACACUCGUGCUCUCUGGGUUAUAAUAGCCAUACACAAAUACUUCCACCAUUUGCUCAUAGCCAUAGGUUCCUUUCAGAUACAAAAGAAUUUGACAGCGCACCCUCAUGCACCUAACAACCAUGCAUGCCAGAACCUAUUGCGUUCCAAUAAUGAUUAGAUAUACCAAAAAGCUUGUAUCAAUGACCCGCAAAAGAAACAAAAAACUUGUAUCAAUGUGACUGGUCGAUUUUCAAAACGGAACGGAAAUUUACCCUGCUGAAUUCUGCAGUAACAAUGCUGUUGCAGCUUGAUCGUUUUUUCCAGAAAACCACAAAUGCAAGCCUGGAAAACAAUGUUGGACCAAAUCUCCCACGUCAGUCUUGAAAGUUGAAACCUGCGUGAAGUCAGAUUGAAUUGAUAAGGAACUAAACGCUCAAUUGCAUAGUGGUCAGCAGUGAAGAAAUAAGUAAACAGACAGUAACAACUGUUUUAGUCUUUCAAUUCAGAAAGUAUACAACCCCCAAUUUCAUGCAAGGAAACUAAGAAAGUACAGAGAUCCAAUGCCAAUAAAAUACUAAUCCACAGACUGGUUGACUGGGAUCCGAUCUUCAUUUCUGAUACUUUUAAGCAGAAUUUUUGGCCUUGACUUGGUCGUGUUGUGGAACUAAAAGUCAAAGUUGCCUACUGUUCCAGUCUUCUGAACUUACAAUGCUGGUGGCGACACUGAUUCUAUGUUUGGUUGCGAGUGAGAGAACUUCCCGAGUACAAAAAGCACGGGUGCAAUUUCCUUGACACAUUGGAAUCCACGGGGUAUAAUCCCAUCACCAUUUGGUGCCUCAGGUGUUAGUGCCCCUGACGAGCAGGACCCACUGGACAGCCACCACACCAACACAACAGCUGCCCAGCGGCCCACACAAGUCAAGCGGCCCAGCCAACGCACCCAUGGGCCGGAGUGGGUCAACUGAACCCGCCCGCACGGCUAGUUCUAGGAGGGGCGCACGAGGCCACAGACAUCCAGUGGAUCAAGGACGAACCGGUGGCUACCUACUUUCCCCUUCCAUGAACCCUAGUUCUUCCUCUGUUCUUCUUCCCAUUCGAGAGUCACGCUCCUGUAAUCGAUCUUGUACUAGCUAGUACCUCAGAGAGCAACAAUAGAUCGAUCUUCCUACUCUGUAGCUAACAUCUGGUAUCGGAGACCAACCACCACCCAUCUCCGUUCCGCUCUGGCAAAUCUCAUCGAGACAAGAGGCUUGCGGCACGCGCGCGAAGCCAUGGAUCCGAGCGUCUCCGCCUUCUUCACCCAUUUUGAAACUAAGAUCGAGGCCGCCAUCGACGGCCUGACCAAGGCCCAACUAUCUACGACGACGAAGAUUGACGAUCUGCUCUCCUGGCGUCCCGAUCUCGAGCGCCAAGUUGCGGAUCUGGGCGACGCGGUCACCGCACUGCAACGUGCGCAAGCGCCUCCACUAGCCCGACCUGACGCGGAUCCGGUGCCGAAGGGUGCUGACGCGGUGAUUCAUCCCCAACGGCCCGAUGGCCACGGCGAAUUCCAGAUCAAACGGGGGCCAUCGGCGGCGUCCCUUACGCCGCCGCCGCCGCUCCCGGCUAAUGGUACGACCAUGAUUCCCAUCUCUCCAGUUUUGCUGUCCCCAUUCUCGCAUGCCAGCCAGAUGCUCAUUGGUCUUGGCCAAGCGCACCCCUCCAUUUCCUUCCCACAGUUCUCGGGCGAGAAUCCUAACCUAUGGAAAACCCUCUGUGAGCAGUAUUUUUCCAUGUUUGGAAUUGUGCCUUCAUUUUGGGUUCCUAUGGCAUCUCUGAAUUUCUCCGGGCUAGCAGCAAUAUGGCUGCAGUCCAUCCAGCGCCGUCUAGGUUAGUUCGAUUGGGACUCAUUCACAGUGUUGCUCUGCACGUGAUUCGGCCUUGAUCGUCAUCAAACUCUCAUUUGCCAGUUCUAUGUUGUUCGCCAAACCACCACUGUGGCAGAUUAUAUUGAGAGAUUCAAGUCUAUCAUCAAUCAUUUGAAUUCAUACUAUGAAACAAUUCAUCCUUACUACUUUCUCACACAUUUUGUCGAGGGCCUAAGGAAGGACAUCAGGGCGGUCGUUAUGGUGCAACGACCCCUUGAUCUGGACACAGUGUGUGCCCUCACGCAACUCUAGGAGGAGGUAGCGGAUGGAGCUCGGGGACACCCACCACGGCCACCCGACGCGCCUCCAAGGUGUUGGGGAACGUAGUAAUUUCAAAAAAAUUCCUACGCACACGCAAGAUCAUGGUGAUGCAUAGCAAUGAGAGGGGAGAGUGUUGUCCACGUACCCUCGUAAAUUGUAAGCAGAAGCGUUAUGACAACACGGUUGAUGUAGUCGUACGUCUUCAGGGUCGACCGAUCCAAGUACUGAACGUACGACACCUCCACGAUCUGCACAUGUUCAGCUCGGUGACAUCCCACGAACUCACGAUCCAGUAGAGCUUCGAGGGAGAGUUCCGUCAGCACGACGGUGUGAUGACGGUGUUGAUGAAGUUACCGAUGCAGGGCUUCGCCUAAGCAAUGCUACGAUAUGACCGAGGUGGAUUAUGGUGGAGGGGGGCACCGCACACGGCUAAAGAUCAAUGAUCAACUUGUGUCUCUUGGGUUGCCCCCUGCCCCCGUAUAUAAAGGAGCUAGAGGGAAGGCGGCUGGCCAGGAGGAGGGCGCGCUAAGGGGGGAGUCCUACUCCCACCGGGAGUAGGACUCCUCCUUUCCUAUAGUAGGAGUAGGAGAAGGGGGGAGGAGGAGAGAGGAGGGAAGGAAAGGGGGCGCCGCCCCCCCUCCUUGUCCAAUUCGGACUAGAGGGGGAGGGGGUGCGCGGCCCUGCCUUGGCCGCCCCUCUGUUGGGGAACGUUGCAGAAAAUUAAAAUUUUUCCUACGGUUUCACCAAGAUCCAUCUAUGAGUUCAUCUAAGCAACGAGUCAAGGGAGUGAGUUUGCAUCUACAUACCACUUGUAGAUCGCGUACGGAAGCGUUCGAGGGAGCGGUGAUGAUGGAGUCGUACUCGACGUGAUUCAGAUCACCGAUGACCAAGUGUUGAACGGACAUCACCUCCACGUUCAACACACGUACGGUAUGGGCGACGUCUCCUCCGUCUUGAUCCAGCAAGGAGGAAGGAGAGGUUGAGGAAGACAGCUCCACCGGCAGCACGACGGCGUGAUGAUGGUGGAGAAGCAGUACUCCGACAGGGCUUCGCCGAGCACACUACGGAGGAGGAGAGGUGUUGGGGAGGGGAGGGCUGCGCCUUGGCUUGGGUGCGGCUGCCCUCCCUUCACCCCUCUAUUUAUAGGGGAAGGGGCAAGGGGGGCCGGCCCCUCUAGAUGAGAUCUAGAGGGGGGCGGCGGCCACGGAGGGGUGGCUUCCCCCCAAGCAAGGGGGGUGCGCCCCCCUUAGGGUUUCCCCCCAGCCCUAGGCGCAUGCGCCCAAGGGGGGGCGCGCCCAGCCCACCAGGGGCUGGCUGCUAUCCCCACGCAGCCCAUGUGGCCCCUCGGGAGGGGUGGCCCCCCCCGGUGGACCCCCGGAACCCCUUCGGUGGUCCCGGUACAAUACCGGCAUGACCCCGAAACUUUCCGGUGUCCGUUUGACAACUUCCCAUAUAUAAAUCUUUACCUCCGGACCCUUCCGGAACUCCUCAUGACGUCCAGGAUCUCAUCCGGGACUCCGAACAACAUUUGGUGGUCACAUACAAGUCUUCCUAACAACCCUAGCGUCACCGAACCUUAAGUGUGAAGACCCUACGGGUUCGGGAGACACGCAGACAUGACCGAGACGGCUCUCGGCAAUAACCAACAGCGGGAUCUGGAUACCCAUGUUGGCUCCCACAUGCUCCUCGAUGAUGUCAUCGGAUGAACCACGAUGUCGAGGAUUCAAGCAACCCCGUAUACUAUUCCCUUUGUCAAUCGGUACGUUACAUGCCUGAGACUCGAUCGUCGGUAUCCCAAUACCUCGUUCAGUCUCGUUACCGGCAAGUCACUUUACUCGUACCGUAAUGCAUGAUCCCGUGACCAAACACUUGGUCACCUUGAGCUCAUUAUGAUGAUGCAUUACCGAGUGGGCCCAGAGAUACCUCUCCGUCAUACGGAGUGACAAAUCCCAGUCUCGAUCCGUGUCAACCCAACAAACACUUUCGGAGAUACCUGUAGUGCACCUUUAUAGUCACCCAUUUACGUUGUGACGUUUGGUACACCCAAAGCACUCCUACGGUAUCCGGGAGUUACACGAUCUCAUGGUCUAAGGAAGAGAUACUUGACAUUGGAAAAAGCUCUAGCAAAACGAACUACACGAUCUUGUGCUAUGCUUAGGAUUGGGUCUUGUCCAUCACGUCAUUCUCCUAAUGACGUGAUCCCAUUGUCAAUGACAUCUAAUGUCCAUAGUCAGGAAACCCUGACUAUCUGUUGACCAACGAGCUAGUCAACUAGAGGCUCACUAGGGACAUGUUAUGGUCUAUGUAUUCACACGUGUAUUACGAUUUCCGGAUAAUACAGUUAUAGCAUGAAUAAAAGACAAUUAUCAUGAACAAGGAAAUAUAAUAAUAACCCUUUUAUUAUUGCCUCUAGGGCAUAUUUCCAACAGUCUCCCACUUGCAAUAGAGUCAAUAAUCUAGUUACAUUGUGAUGAAUCGAACACCCAUAGAGUUCUGGUUUUGAUCAUGUUUUGCUCGCGAGAGAGGUUUAGUCAACGGAUCUGCGACAUUCAGAUCCGUAUGUACUUUGCAAAUAUCUAUGUCUCCAUCUUGAACAUUUUCACGGAUGGAGUUGAAACGACGCUUGAUGUGCCUGGUCUUCUUGUGAAACCUGGGCUCCUUGGCAAGGGCAAUGGCUCCAGUGUUGUCACAGAAGAGUUUGAUCGGCCCCGACGCAUUGGGUAUAACUCCUAGGUCGGUGAUGAACUCCUUCACCCAAAUUGCUUCAUGCGCUGCCUCCGAGGCUGCCAUGUACUCCGCUUCACAUGUAGAUCCCGCCAUGACGCUCUGCUUGCAGCUGCACCAGCUUACUACUCCACCAUUCAACAUAUACACGUAUCCGGUUUGUGACUUAGAGUCAUCCAAAUCUGUGUCGAAGCUAGCGUCGACGUAACCCUUUACGACGAGCUCUUCGUCACCUCCAUAAACGAGAAACAUGUCCUUUGUCCUUUUUGAAGGAAAUAUGCCCUAGAGGCAAUAAUAAAGUUAUUAUUUAUUUCCUCAUAAUCAUGAUAAAUGUUUAUUAUUCAUGCUAGAAUUGUAUUAUCCGGAAACAUAAUACAUGUGUGAAUACAUAGACAAACAAAGUGUCACUAGUAUGCCUCUACUUGACUAGCUCGUUAAUCAAAGAUGGUUAUGUUUCCUAACCAUGAACAAUGAGUUGUUAUUUGAUUAACGAGGUCACAUCAUUAGUAGAAUGAUCUGAUUGACAUGACCCAUUUCAUUAGCUUAGCACCCGAUCGUUUAGUAUGUUGCUAUUGCUUUCUUCAUAACUUAUACAUGUUCCUAUGACUAUGAGAUUAUGCAACUCCCGUUUACCGGAGGAACACUUUGGGUACUACCAAACGUCACAACGUAACUGGGUGAUUAUAAAGGAGUACUACAGGUGUCUCCAAUGGUCGAUGUUGGGUUGGCGUAUUUCGAGAUUAGGAUUUGUCACUCCGAUUGUCGGAGAGGUAUCUCUGGGCCCUCUCGGUAAUACACAUCUCAUAAGCCUUGCAAGCAUUACAACUAAUAUGUUAGUUGUGAGAUGAUGUAUUACGGAACGAGUAAAGAGACUUGCCGGUAACGAGAUUGAACUAGGUAUUGGAUACCGACGAUCAAAUCUCGGGCAAGUAACAUACCGAUGACAAAGGGAACAACGUAUGUCGUUAUGCGGUCUGACCGAUAAAGAUCUUCGUAGAAUAUGUAGGAGCCAAUAUGGGCAUCCAGGUCCCGCUAUUGGUUAUUGACCGGAGACGUGUCUCGGUCAUGUCUACAUUGUUCUCGAACCCGUAGGGUCCGCACGCUUAAGGUUACGAUGACAGUUACAUUAUGAGUUUAUGCAUUUUGAUGUACCGAAGGAUGUUCGGAGUCCCGGAUGUGAUCACGGACAUGACGAGGAGUCUCGAAAUGGUCGAGAUGUAAAGAUUGAUAUAUUGGAAGCCUAUGUUUGGACAUCGGAAGUGUUCCGGGUGAAAUUGGGAUUUUACCGGGUUACCGGGAGGUUACCGGAACCCCCCGGGAGCCAUAUGGGCCUUCAUGGGCCUUAGUGGAAAGGAGAAAGGGGCAGCCCAAGGGGGCUGCGCGCCUCCCCCCUUCCCCUAGUCCUAUUAGGACUAGGAGAGGUGGCCGGCCACCCCUCUCCCUCUUUCCCCCUUGGGAAUCCUAGUUGGAAUAGGAUUGGGGGGGGAGUCCUACUCCCGGUAGGAGUAGGACUCCUCCUGCGCCUCUCUCUCUUGGCCGGCGCCCCCUCCCCCCUUGGCUCCUUUAUAUACGGAGGCAGGGGCACCUCUAAACACACAAGUUGACACAAGUUGAUCCACGUGAUCGAUUCCUUAGCCGUGUGCGGUGCCCCCUGCCACCAUAUUCCUCGAUAAUACUGUAGCGGAGUUUAGGCGAAGCCCUGCUGCUGUAGUUCAUCAAGAUCGUCACCACGCCGUCGUGCUGACGGAACUCUUCCCCGACACUUUGCUGGAUCAGAGUCCGGGGAUCGUCAUUAGGCUGAACGUGUGCUCGAACUCGGAGGUGCCGUAGUUUCGGUGCUUGAUCGGUUGGAUCGUGAAGACGUACGACUACUUCCUCUACGUCGUGUCAUCACUUCCGCAGUCGGUCUGCGUUGGGUACGUAGACAACACUCUCCCCUCGUUGCUAUGCAUCACAUAAUCUUGCGUGUGCGUAGGAAAAUUUUUGAAAUUACUACGAAACCCAACAGUGGUAUCCGAGCCUAGGUUAUUGAUGUUGAUGUUAUAUGCACGAGUAGAACACAAGUAAGUUGUGGACGAUACAAGUCAUACUGCCUACCAGCAUGUCAUACUUUGGUUCGGCGGUAUUGUUGGACGAGACGACCCGGACCAACCUUACGCGUACGCUUACGCGUGACCGGUUCCCUCGACGUGCUUUGCACAGAGAUGGCUUGCGGGCGACUGCCUCUCCAACUUUAGUUGAACCAAGUAUGGCUACGCCCGGUCCUUGCGAAGGUUAAAACGGAGUCUAUUUGACAAACUAUCGUUGUGGUUUUGAUGCGUAGGUGAGAUCGGUUCUUACUUAAGCCCGUAGCAGCCACGUAAAAACAUGCAACAACAAAAUAGAGGACGUCUAACUUGUUUUUGCAGGGCAUGUUGUGAUGUGAUAUGGUCAAGGCAUGAUGCUGAAUUUUAUUGUAUGAGAUGAUCAUGUUUUGUAACCAAGUUAUCGGCAACUGGCAGGAGCCAUAUGGUUGUCGCUUUAUUGUAUGCAAUGCAAUCGCGAUGUAAUGCUUUACUUUAUUACUAAACGGUAGUGAUAGUCGUGGAAGCAUAAGAUUGGCAAGACGACAACGAUGCUACGAUGGAGAUCAAGGUGUCGCACCGGUGAUGAUGGUGAUCAUGACGGUGCUUCAGAGAUGGAGAUCACAAGCACAAGAUGAUGAUGGCCAUAUCAUAUCACUUAUAUUGAUUGCAUGUGAUGUUUAUCUUUUUAUGCAUCUUAUCUUGCUUUGAUUGACGGUAGCAUUAUAAGAUGAUCUCUCACUAAAUUAUCAAGAAGUGUUCUCCCUGAGUAUGCACCGUUGCCAAAGUUCGUCGUGCCCAGACACCACGUGAUGAUCGGGUGUGAUAAGCUCUACGUCCAUCUACAACGGGUGCAAGCCAGUUUUUGCACACGCAGAAUACUCAGGUUAAACUUAACGAGCCUAGCAUAUGCAGAUAUGGCCUCGGAACACGGAGACCGAAAGGUCGAGCGUGAAUCAUAUAGUAGAUAUGAUCAACAUAAACGAUGUUCACCAUUGAAAACUACUCCAUCUCACGUGAUGAUCGGUCAUGGUUUAGUUGAUUUGGAUCACGUGAUCACUUAGAGGAUUAGAGGGAUGUCUAUCUAAGUGGGAGUUCUUAAGUAAUAUGAUUAAUUGAACUUAAAUUUAUUAUGAACUUAGUCCUGGUAGUAUUUUGCAAAUUAUGUUGUAGAUCGAUAGCUCGCAUUGUUGCUUCCCUGUGUUUAUUUUGAUAUGUUCCUAGAGAAAAUUGUGUUGAAAAAUGUUAGUAGCAAUGAUGCGGAUUUGAUCCGCGAUCUGAGGUUUAUCCUCAUUGCCGCACAGAAGAAUUAUGUCCUUAAUGCACCGCUAGGUGACAGACCUAUUGCAGGAGCAAAUGCAAACGUUAUGAACGUUUGGCUAGCUCAAUAUGAUGACUACUUGAUAGUUAUGUGCACCAUGCUUUAUGGCUUAGAAUCGGGACUUCAAAGAUGUUUUGAACAUCAUGGACCAUAUGAGAUGUUCCAGUAUUUGAAGUUAGUAUUUCAAGCAAAUACCCGAGUUGAGAGAUAUGAAAUCUCCAACAAGUUCUAUAGCUAAAAGAUGGAGGAGAAUCGCUCAACUAGUGAGCAUGUGCUCAGAUUGUCUGAGUACUUCAAUCGCUUGAAUCAAGUGGGAGUUAAUCUUCCAGAUAAGAUAGUGAUUGACAGAAUUCUCUAGUCACCAUCACUAUGUUACUGAACUUCGUGAUGAACUAUAGUAUGCAAGGGAUGACGAAAAUGAUUCCCGAGCUCUUCGUGAUAUUAAAAUCGACGAAGGUAAAAAUCAAGAAAGAGCAUCAAGUGUUGAUGAUUGACAAGACCACUAGUUUCAAGAAAAGGGCAGAGGGAAGAAGGGGAACUUCAAGAAGAACAGCAAGCAAGUUGCUGCUCAAAGUGAAGAAGCCCAAGUCUGGUCCUAAGCCUGAGACUAAGUGCUUCUACUGCAAAGGGACUGGUCACCGGAAACGGAAUCACCCCAAGUGAUUGGUGGAUAAGAAGGAUGGCAAAGUGAACAUAAGUAUAUUUGAUAUACAUGUUAUUGAUGUGUACUUUACUAGUGUUUAUAGCAAACCCUAAGUAUUUGAUACUAGUUCAGUUGCUAAGAUUAGUAACUCGAAACGGGAAUUGCAGAAUAAACAAAGACUAGUUGAAGGGGAAGUAACGAUGAGUGUUGGAAGUAGUUCCAAGAUUGAUAUGAUCAUCGCACACUCCCUAUACUUUCGGGAUUAGUGUUGAAACUAAAUAAGUGUUAUUUGGUGUUGGCGUUGAACAUGAAUAUGAUUUGAUCAUGUUUAUUGCAAUACGGUAAUUCAUUUAAGUAAGAGAAUAAAAUGUUGUUCUGUUUACAUGAAUAAAACCUUAUAUGGUUACACACCCAAUGAAAAUGGUUCAUUGGAUCUCGAUCAUAGUGAUACACAUAUUCAUAAUAUUGAAACCAAAAGAUGCAAAGUUAAUAAUGAUAGUGCAACUUAUUUGUGGCACAGCCGUUUGGGUCAUAUCGGUGUAAAGCGCAUGAAGAUACUCCAUAAAGAUGGAUUUUCAGAAUCACUUGGUUAUGAAUCAUUUGAUGCUUGCAAACUGUGCCUUUUGGGCAAGAUGACUGAAACUCCGUUCUCCAGAACAAUGGAACGUGCUACUGACUUAUUGGAAAUAAUACAUACCGAUGUAUGCAAUCCAAUGAGUGUUGAUGCUCGUGGCAAGUAUCAUUAUUUUCUGAUCUUCAUAGAUGAUUUGAGCAGAUAUGAGUAUAUCUACUAAAUGAAACACAAGUCUGAAACAUUUGAAAAGUUCAAAGAAUUUUAGAGUGAAGUGAAAAAUCAUCGUAACAAGAAAAUAAAGUUUCUACAAUCUGAUCGUAGAGAAGAGUAUUUAAGUUACGAGUUUGGCCUUCAGUUAAAAACAAUAGUUUCACUACCCAUGCCACCUGGAACACCACAAUGGUGUAUCCGAACGUCAUAAUCGCGCUUUAUUGGAUAUGGUGCAACCUAUGAUGUUUCUUACCGAUUUACCACUAUCAUUUUGGGGUUAUGCAUUAAAGACAGCUGCAUUCACGUUUAAAAGGGCACCAUCUAAAUCCGUUGAGACGACACUAUAUGAACUGUGGUUUAGCAAGAAACCAAAGUUGUCGUUUCUUAAAGUUUGGGGCUGCGAUGCUUAUGUGAAAAAGCUUCAACCUGAUAAGCUCGAACCCAAAUCGGAGAAAUGUGUCUUCAUAGGAUACCCAAAGGAAACUGUUGGGUACACCUUCUAUCACAGAUCCAAAGGCAAAACAUUCGUUGCUAAGAAUGGAUCAUUUCUAGAGAAGGAGUUUCUCUCGAAAGAAGUGAGUGGGAGGAAAGUAGAACUUGACGAGGUAACUGUACCUGCUCCCUUACUGGAAAGUAGUUCAUCACAGAAAACUGUUUCAGUGACACCUACACCAGUUAGUGAGGAAGCCAAUGAUAAUGAUCAUGAAACUUCAGAUCAAGAUACUACUGAACCGCGUAGAUCAACCAGAGUAAGAUCCGCACCAGAGUGGUACGGUAAUCAUGUUCUGGAAGUCAUGUUACUAGACCAUGAUGAACCUACGAACUAUGAGGAAGCGAUGGUGAGCCCAGAUUCCGCGAGAUGGCUUGAAGCCAUAAAAUCUGAGAUAUGAUCCAUGUAUGACAACAAAGUAUGGACUUUGAUUGACUUGCUCGAUGAUCAGCAAAGCCAUAUUAAAUAAAUGGAUCUUCAAGAGGAAGACGGACAUUGAUAGUAGUGUUACUAUCUACCAAGCUCGACUUGUUGCAAAAGUUUUUCAACAAGUUCAAGGUGUUUAAUACGAUGAGGUUUUCUCACUCGUAUCGAUGCUUAAGUCUAUCUGAAUCAUGUUAGCAAUUGCCACAUUUUAUGAAAUCUGGCAAAUGGAUGUCAAAACUGCAUUCCUUAAUGGAUUUAUUAAAGAAGAGUUGUAUAUGAUGCAACCAGAAGGUUUUGUCAAUCCUAAAGGUGCUAACAAAAUGUGCAAGCUCCAGCGAUCCAUCUAUGGACUGGUGCAAGCAUCUCGGAGUUGGAAUAUACACUUUGAUAAGUUGAUCAAAGCAUAUAGUUUUAUAUGGACUUACGAUGAAGCCUGUAUUUACAAUAAAGUGAGUGGGAGCACUACAGCCUUUCUGAUUAGUAUAUGUGAGUGACAUAUUGUUGAUCAGAAAUGAUGUAGAAUUUUUCUGCAAAGCAUAAAGGAGUGUUUUAAAGGAGUUCUUUAAAAAGAAAAGACCUCAGUGAAAGCUACUUAUAUAUUGAGCAUCAAGAUCUAUUGGGAUAGAUCAAGACGCUUGAUAAGUUUUUCAAUGAGUACAUACCUUGACAAGAUUUUGAAGUAGUUCAAAAUGGAACAGUCAAAGAAAAGGUUUCUUGCCUAUGUUACAAGGUGUGAAGCUGAGUAAGACUCAAAUCCCGACCACAGCAGAAAAUAGAAAGAGAAUGAAAAGUCAUUCCCUAUGCCUCAGUCAUAGGUUCUAUAAAGUAUGCUAUGCUAUGUACCAGACCUAUUGUAUACCUUGCUCUGUAUUUGGCAAGGGAGUACAAUAGUGAUCUAGGAGUAGAUCACUGGACAUUGGUCAAGAAUAUCCUUAGUAAGGACUAAGGAGAUGUUUCUCGAUUAUGGAGGUGAUAAAAGAGUUUAUUGUAAAAGUUACAUCAGUGCAAACUUUUACACUAAUCCAGAUGACUAUAAGUCUCAAUCUGGAUACAUAUUGAAAGUGGGAGCGAUUAGCUAGAGUAGCUCCGUACAGAGCAUUGUAGACAUAGAAUAUUUGCAAAAUACAUACGGCUCUGAAUGUGACAGACCCGUUGACUAAGCUUCUCUCACGAGCAAAACAUGAUCACACCUUAGUACUCUUUGGGUGUUAAUCACAUUGCGAUGUGAACUAGAUUACUGACUCUAGUAAACCCUUUGGGUGUUGAUCACAUAUCGAUGUGAACUAUGGGUGUUAAUCACAUGGUGAUGUGAACUAUUAAAUCACAUGGCGAUGUGAACUAGAUUAUUGACUCUAGUGCAAGUGGGAGACUGAAGGAAAUAUGCCCUAGAGGCAAUAAUAAAGUUAUUAUUUAUUUCCUCAUAAUCAUGAUAAAUGUUUAUUAUUCAUGCUAGAAUUGUAUUAACCGGAAACAUAAUACAUGUGUGAAUACAUAGACAAACAAAGUGUCACUAGUAUGCCUCUACUUGACUAGCUCGUUAAUCAAAGAUGGUUAUGUUUCCUAACCAUGAACAAUGAGUUGUUAUUUGAUUAACGAGGUCACAUCAUUAGUAGAAUGAUCUGAUUGACAUGACCCAUUUCAUUAGCUUAGCACCCGAUCGUUUAGUAUGUUGCUAUUGCUUUCUUCAUAACUUAUACAUGUUCCUAUGACUAUGAGAUUAUGCAACUCCCGUUUACCGGAGGAACACUUUGGGUACUACCAAACGUCACAACGUAACUGGGUGAUUAUAAAGGAGUACUACAGGUGUCUCCAAUGGUCGAUGUUGGGUUGGCGUAUUUCGAGAUUAGGAUUUGUCACUCGGAUUGUCGGAGAGGUAUCUCUGGGCCCUCUCGGUAAUACACAUCACAUAAGCCUUGCAAGCAUUACAACUAAUAUGUUAGUUGUGAGAUGAUGUAUUACGGAACGAGUAAAGAGACUUGCCGGUAACGAGAUUGAACUAGGUAUUGGAUACCGACGAUCAAAUCUCGGGCAAGUAACAUACCGAUGACAAAGGGAACAACGUAUGUCGUUAUGCGGUCUGACCGAUAAAGAUCUUCGUAGAAUAUGUAGGAGCCAAUAUGGGCAUCCAGGUCCCGCUAUUGGUUAUUGACCGGAGACGUGUCUCGGUCAUGUCUACAUUGUUCUCGAACCCGUAGGGUCCGCAUGCUUAAGGUUACGAUGACAGUUACAUUAUGAGUUUAUGCAUUUUGAUGUACCGAAGGAUGUUCGGAGUCCCGGAUGUGAUCACGGACAUGACGAGGAGUCUCGAAAUGGUCGAGAUGUAAAGAUUGAUAUAUUGGAAGCCUAUGUUUGGACAUCGGAAGUGUUCCGGGUGAAAUUGGGAUUUUACCGGGUUACCGGGAGGUUACCGGAACCCCCCGGGAGCCAUAUGGGCCUUCAUGGGCCUUAGUGGAAAGGAGAAAGGGGCAGCCCAAGGGGCUGCGCGCCUCCCCCCUUCCCCUAGUCCUAUUAGGACUAGGAGAGGUGGCCGGCCACACCUCUCCCUCUUUCCCCCUUGGGAAUCCUAGUUGGAAUAGGAUUGGGGGGGGGGAGUCCUACUCCCGGUAGGAGUAGGACUCCUCCUGCGCCUCUCUCUCUUGGCCGGCGCCCCCUCCCCCCUUGGCUCCUUUAUAUACGGAGGCAGGGGCACCUCUAAACACACAAGUUGACACAAGUUGAUCCACGUGAUCGAUUCCUUAGCCGUGUGCGGUGCCCCCUGCCACCAUAUUCCUCGAUAAUACUGUAGCGGAGUUUAGGCGAAGCCCUGCUGCUGUAGUUCAUCAAGAUCGUCACCACGCCGUCGUGCUGACGGAACUCUUCCCCGACACUUUGCUGGAUCGGAGUCCGGGGAUCGUCAUCGGGCUGAACGUGUGCUCGAACUCGGAGGUGCCGUAGUUUCGGUGCUUGAUCGGUUGGAUCGUGAAGACGUACGACUACUUCCUCUACGUCGUGUCAUCGCUUCCGCAGUCGGUCUGCGUUGGGUACGUAGACAACACUCUCCCCUCGUUGCUAUGCAUCACAUAAUCUUGCGUGUGCGUAGGAAAAUUUUUGAAAUUACUACGAAACCCAACACUUUUCAGGUACUUCAGGAUAUUCUUGACCGUUGUCCAGUGUUCCUUGCCGGGAUUACUUUGGUACCUACCUACCAAACUUACGGCAAGGUUUACAUCAGGUCUGGUACACAGCAUGGCAUACAUAAUAGAUCCUAUGGCUGAGGCAUAGGGGAUGACGCUCAUCUCUUCUUUAUCUUUUGCCGUGGUCGGGCAUUGAGCCGAGCUCAAUCUCACACCUUGCAGUACAGGCAAGAACCCCUUCUUGGACUGAUCCAUUUUGAACUUCUUCAAAAUCUUAUCAAGGUAUGUGAUUUGUGAAAGACCUAUGAGGCGUGUCGAUCUAUCUCUAUAGAUCUUGAUGCCCAAUAUAUAAGCAGCUUCUCCAAGGUCCUUCAUUGAAAAACACUUAUUCAAGUAGGCCUUAAUGUUGUCCAAGAAUUCUAUAUCAUUUCCCAUCAAGAGUAUGUCAUCUACAUAUAAUAUGAGAAAUUCUACAGAGCUCCCACUCACUUUCUUGUAAACGCAGGCUUCUCCAUAAGUCUGCAUAAACCCAAACGCUUUGAUCAUCUCAUCAAAGCGAAUGUUCCAACUCCGAGAUGCUUGCACCAGCCCAUAAAUGGAUCGCUGGAGCUUGCAUACUUUGCUAGCAUUCUUGGGAUCGACAAAACCCUCCGGCUGCAUCAUAUACAGUUCUUCCUUAAGAUAACCGUUAAGGAAUGCCGUUUUGACGUCCAUCUACCAUAUCUCAUAAUCAUAGUAUGCGGUAAUUGCUAACAUGAUUCGGACGGACUUAAGCUUCGCUGCGGGAGAGAAAGUCUCAUCGUAGUCAAUCCCUUGAACUUGCCGAUAACCUUUAGCGACAAGUCGAGCUUUAUAGAUGGUGAUAUUACCAUCCGCGUCCGUCUUCUUCUUAAAGAUCCAUUUGUUUUCUAUCGCUCGCCGAUCAUCGGGCAAGUCAGUCAAAGUCCAUACUUUGUUUUCAUACAUGGAUUCUAUCUCGGAUUUCAUGGCUUCUAGCCAUUUGUUGGAAUCUGGGCUCGCCAUCGCUUCUUCAUAGUUCGAAGGUUCACCAUUGUCUAACAACAUGAUUUCCAGGACAGGGUUGCCGUACCACUCUGGUGCGGAACGUGUCCUUGUGGACCUACGAAGUUCAGUAGCAACUUGAUCCGAAGUACCCGAUCAUCAUCAUUACUUUCCUCUUCAGUUGGUGUAGGCAACACGGGAACAUUUUCUUGAGCUGCACUACUUUCCCGUUCAAGAGGUAGUACUUCAUCUAGCUCUACUUUCCUCCCACUUACUUCUUUCGAGAGAAACUCUUUUUCCAGAAAGGAUCCGUUCUUGGCAACAAAGAUCUUGCCCUCGGAUCUUAAGUAGAAGGUAUACCCAAUGGUUUCUUUAGGGUAUCCUAUGAAGACGCAUUUUUCCGACUUGGGUUCGAGCUUUUCAGGUUGAAGUUUCUUGACAUAAGCAUCGCAUCCCCAAACUUUUAGAAACGACAGCUUAGGUUUCUUCCCAAACCAUAAUUCAUACGGUGUCGUCUCAACGGAUUUAGACGGUGCCCUAUUUAAAGUGAAUGUAGCUGUCUCUAGAGCGUAUCCCCAAAAUGAUAGCGGUAAAUCGGUAAGAGACAUCAUAGACCGCACCAUAUCUAAUAGAGUGCGAUUAUGACGUUCGGACACACCAUUACGCUGAGGUGUUCCAGGCGGCGUGAGUUGUGAAACGAUUCCACAUUUUCUUAAGUGUGUACCAAAUUCGUGACUUAAAUAUUCUCCUCCAUGAUCCGAUCGUAAGAAUUUUAUCUUUCGGUCACGUUGAUUCUCUACUUCAUUCUGAAAUUCCUUGAACUUUUCAAAGGUCUCAGACUUGUGUUUCAUCAAGUAGACAUACCCAUAUCUACUCAAGUCAUCUGUGAGAGUGAGAACAUAACGAUAUCCUCCACGAGCCUCAACACUCAUUGGACCGCACACAUCGAUAUGUAUGAUUUCCAACAAGUUGGUUGCUCGCUCCAUUGUUCCGGAGAACGGAGUCUUGGUCAUUUUUCCCACGAGGCAUGGUUCGCAUGUGUCAAAUGAUUCAUAAUCGAGAGACUCCAAAAGUCCAUCAUCAUGGAGCUUCUUCAUGCGCUUGACACCAAUGUGACCAAGGCGGCAGUGCCACAAGUAUGUGGGACUAUCGUUAUCAACUUUACAUCUUUUGGUAUUCACGCUAUGAAUAUGUGUAACACUACGUUCGAGAUUCAUUAAGAAUAAACCAUUGACCAUCGGAGCAUGACCAUAAAACAUAUCUCUCAUAUAAAUAGAACAACCAUUAUUCUCGGAUUUAAAUGAGUAGCCAUCUCGUAUUAAACGAGAUCCAGAUACAAUGUUCAUGCUCAAACUUGGCACCAAAUAACAAUUAUUAAGGUUCAAAACUAAUCCCGUAGGUAAAUGUAGAGGUAGCGUGCCGACGGCGAUCACAUCAACUCUGGAACCAUUCCCGACGCGCAUCGUCACCUCGUCCUUCGCCAAUCUCCGCUUAUUCCGCAGCUCCUGCUGUGAGUUACAAAUAUGAGCAACAGCACCGGUAUCAAAUACCCAGGAGUUACUACGAGUACUGGUAAGGUACACAUCAAUUACAUGUAUAUCAAAUAUAGCUUUGGUGUUGCCGGCCUUCUUAUCCGCUAAGUAUUUGGGGCAGUUCCGCUUCCAGUGACCCUUCCCCUUGCAAUAAAAUCACUCAGUCUCAGGCUUGGGUCCAUUCUUUGACUUCUUCCCGGCAGCUGGCUUACCGGGUGCGGCAACAUCUUUGCCGUCCUUCUUGAAGUUCUUCUUACCCUUGCCCUUCUUGAACUUAGUGGUCUUAUUGACCAUCAACACUUGAUGUUCUUUCUUGAUUUCAACCUCUGCUGACUUCAGCAUUGAAAAUACUUCAGGAAUGGUCUUCAUCAUCCCCUGCAUAUUGUAGUUCAUCACAAAGCUCUUGUAGCUUGGUGGGAGCGACUGAAGGAUUCUGUCAAUCACCGCCUCAUCCGGGAGGUUAAUGUCCAGCUGGGACAGGCGGUUGUGCAACCCAGACAUUUUGAGUAUGUGCUCACUGACAGAACUAUUUUCCUCCAUCUUACAACUAUAGAACUUGUCGGAGACUUCAUAUCUCUCGACCCGGGCAUGAGCUUGGAAAAUUAGUUUCAGCUCCUCGAACAUCUCAUAUGCUCCGUGUUGCUCAAAACGCUUUUGGAGCCCCGGUUCUAAGCUGUAAAGCAUGCCGCACUGAACGAGGGAGUAAUCAUCAGCACGAGACUGCCAAGCAUUCAUAAUGUCUUGGUUCUCUGGGACGGGAGCGUCACCUAGCAGUCCUUCUAGGACAUAUUGUUUCCUGGCAGCUAUGAGGAUGAUCCUCAGGUUCCGGACCCAGUCCGUAUAGUUGCUGCCAUCAUCUUUCAGCUUGGUUUUCUCUAGGAACGCAUUGAAGUUCAUGUUGACAUGAGCGUUGGCCAUUUGAUCUACAAGACAUAUUAUGCAAAAAGUUUUAGACUAAGUUCAUGAUAAUUAAGUUCAUCUAAUCAAAUUAUUUUAAUGAACUCCCACUCAGAUUAGACAUCCCUCUAGUCAUCUAAGUGUUACACGAUCCGAGUCGACUAGGCCGUGUCCGAUCAUCACGUGAGACGGACUAGUCAUCGUCGGUGAACAUUCUCAUGUUGAUCGUAUCUUCCAUACGACUCGUGUUCGACCUUUCGGUCUCCGUGUUCCGAGGCCAUGUCUGUACAUGCUAGGCUCGUCAAGUUAACCCUAAGUGUUUUGCAUGUGUAAAACUGUCUUACACCCGUUGUAUGUGAACGUAAGGAUGUAUCACACCCGAUCAUCACGUGGUGCUUCGAAACGACGAACUUUAGCAACGGUGCACAGUUAGGGGAGAACACUUCUUGAAAUUGUUGUAAGGGAUCAUCUUAUUUACUACCGUCAUUCUAAGUAAACAAGAUGCAUAAAACAUAAUAAACAUCACAUGCAAUUAUAUAAAGUAGUGACAUGAUAUGGCCAAUAUCAUAUAGCUCCUUUGAUCUUCAUCUUCGGGGCUCCAUGAUCAUCUUGUCACCGACAUGACACCAUGAUCUCCAUCAUCAUGAUCUCCAUCAUCGUGUCUUCAUGAAGUUGUCACGCCAACGACUACUUCUACUUCUAUGACUAACGCGUUUAGCAAUAAAGUAAAGUAGUUUACAUGGCGUUCUUCAAUGACACGUAGGUCAUACAAAAAUAAAGACAACUCCUAUGGCCAUACUCAUCGACAUGCAAGUCGUGAUUCCUAUUACAAGAACAUGAUCUCAUACAUCACAGUAUAUCAUUCAUCAUUCAUCACAACUUCUGGCCAUAUCACAUCACAUGACAAUUGCUGCAAAAACAAGUUAGACGUCCUCUAAUUGUUGUUGCAUCUUUUACGUGGCUGCAAUUGGGUUCUAGCAAGAACGUUUUCUUACCUACGAAUAACCACAAUGUGAUCUUGUCAACUUUUAUUUACCCUUCAUAAGGACCCUUUUCAUCGAAUCCACUUCAACUAAAGUGGGAGAGACAGACACCCGCCAGCCACCUUAUGCAACUAGUGCAUGUUAGUCGGUGGAACCGGUCUCACGUAAGCGUACGUGUAAGGUUGGUCCGGGCCGCUUCAUCCCACAAUACCGCUGAAGCAAGAUAAGACUAGUAGCAUCAAGCAAGUUGACAAGAUCUACGCCCACAACAAAAUUGUGUUCUACUCGUGCAAUAGAGAACUACGCAUAGACCUAGCUCAUGAUGCCACUGUUGGGGAACGUUGCAGAAAAUUAAAAUUUUUCCUACAGUUUCACCAAGAUCCAUCUAUGAGUUCAUCUAAGCAACGAGUCAAGGGAGUGAGUUUGCAUCUACAUACCACUUGUAGAUCGCGAACGGAAGCGUUCGAGGGAGCGGUGAUGAUGGAGUUGUACUCUACGUGAUUCAGAUCACCGAUGACCAAGUGCUGAACGGACAGCACCUCCGCGUUCAACACACGUACGAUACGGGCGACGUCUCCUCCGUCUUGAUCCAGCAAGGAGGAAGGAGAGGUUGAGGAAGACAACUCCACCGGCAGCACGACGGCGUGAUGAUGGUGGAGAAGCAGUACUCCGACAGGGCUUCGCCGAGCACACUACGGAGGAGGAGAGGUGUUGGGGAGGGGAGGGCUGCGCCUUGGCUUGGGUGCGGCUGCCCUCCCUUCACCCCUCUAUUUAUAGGGGAAGGGGCAAGGGGGGCCGGCCCCUCUAGAUGAGAUCUAGAGGGGGGGCGGCAGCCAGGGAGGGGUGGCUUGCCCCCCAAGCAAGGGGGUGCGCCCCCCUUAGGGUUUCCCCCAGCCCUAGGCGCAUGGGCCCAAGGGGGGGGCGCGCCCAGCCCACCAGGGGCUGGCUGCUAUCCCCAUGCAGCCCAUGUGCCCCCCCGGGAGGGGUGGCCCCUCCCGGUGGACCCACGGAACCCCUCCGGUGGUCCCAGUACAAUACCGGCAUAACCCCGAAACUUUCCGGUGUCCGUUUGACAACUUCCCAUAUAUAAAUCUUUACCUCCGGACCCUUCCGGAACUCCUCGUGACGUCCGGGAUCUCACCCGGGACUCCAAACAACAUUCGGUAGUCACAUACAAGUCUUCCUAACAACCCUAGCAUCACCGAACCUUAAGUGUGAAGACCCUACGGGUUCGGGAGACACGCAGACAUGACCGAGACGGCUCUCGGGCAAUAACCAACAGCUGGAUCUGGAUACCCAUGUUGGCUCCCACAUGCUCCUCGAUGAUGUCAUCGGAUGAACCACGAUGUCGAGGAUUCAAGCAACCCCGUAUACUAUUCCCUUUGUCAAUCGGUACGUUACAUGCCCGAGACUCGAUCAUCGGUAUCCCAAUACCUCGUUCAGUCUCGUUACCGGCAAGUCACUUUACUCGUACCGUAAUGCAUGAUCCCGUGACCAAACACUUGGUCACCUUGAGCUCAUUAUGAUGAUGCAUUACCGAGUGGGCCCAGAGAUACCUCUCCGUCAUACGGAGUGACAAAUCCCAGUCUCGAUCCGUGUCAACCCAACAGACACUUUUAGAGAUACCUGUAGUGCACCUUUAUAGUCACCCAUUUACAUUGUGACGUUUGGUACACCCAAAGCACUCCUACGGUAUCCGGGAGUUACACGAUCUCAUGGUCUAAGGAAGAGAUACUUGACAUUGGAAAAAGCUCUAGCAAAACGAACUACACGAUCUUGUGAUAUGCUUAGGAUUGGGUCUUGUCCAUCACGUCAUUCUCCUAAUGACGUGAUCCCGUUGUCAAUGACAUCUAAUGUCCAUAGUCAGGAAACCAUGACUAUCUGUUGACCAACGAGCUAGUCAACUAGAGGCUCACUAGGGACAUGUUAUGGUCUAUGUAUUCACACGUGUAUUACGAUUUCCGGAUAAUACAGUUAUAGCAUGAAUAAAAGACAAUUAACAUGAACAAGGAAAUAUAAUAAUAACCCUUUUAUUAUUGCCUCUAGGGCAUAUUUCCAACACCCUCCUCUUCUCCACUAAGGCCCAUAAGGCCCAUUAUACUCCCCGGGGGGUUCCGGUAACCCCCCGGUACUCUGGUAUAUGCCCAAACUUUCCCAGAACACUUCCGAAGUCCAAACAUAGUCAUCCAAUAUAUCGAGUUUUAUGUCUCGACCAUUUUGGGACUCCUCGUCAUGUCCGUGAUCAUAUCCGGGACUCCGAACUACCUUCAGUACAUCAAAACACAUAAACUCAUAAUACCGAUCGUCACCGAAUGUUAAGCGUGCGGACCCUACGGGUUCGAGAACUAUGUAGACAUGACCGAGACACGUCUCCGGUGAAUAACCAAUAGCGGAACCUGAAUGCUCAUAUUGGCUCCUACAUAUUCUACGAAGAUCUUUAUCGGUCAAACCGCAUAACAACAUACGUUGUUCCCUUUGUCAUCGGUAUGUUACUUGCCCGAGAUUCGACCAUUGGUAUCUCAAUACCUAGCUCAAUCUCGUUACCGUCAAGUCUCUUUACUUGUUCCGUAAUACAUCAUCCCGCAACUAAAUCAUUAGUCGCAUUGCAUGCAAGGCUUAUAGUGAUGUGCAUUACUGAGAGGACCCAGAGAUACCUCUCCGACAAUCGGAGUGACAAAUCCUAAUCUUGAUCUAUGCCAACUCAACAAGUACCAUCGGAGACACUUGUAGAGCACCUUUAUAAUCACCCAGUUACGUUGUGACGUUUGGUAGCUGAUACGUCUCCGUCGUAUCUAUAAUUUUUGAUUGUUCCAUGCCAAUAUUAUUCAACUUUCAUAUACUUUUGGCAAGUUUUUAUAUUAUUUUUGGGACUAACAUAUUGAUCCAGUGCCCAGUGCUAGUUCCUGUCUAUUGCAUGUUUUAUGUUUCGGAGAAACCCCAUAUCAAACGGAGUCCAAACGGGAUAAACACGGAUGGAGAAUUAUUUUGGAAUAUUUGUUAUCUUUGGGAAGUAAAAUCAACGCGAGACGGUGCCUGAGGUGGCGACGAGAUAGGGGCCCACGCCCACUCCAGGUGGGCACUCCUCCCACCCUCUUGGGCCCCUCGUAAGGUGGUUGAUGCCCUUCUUUGGCCGCUAGAAAGCUAAUUUUUGGAAAAAGAUCUUGGCGAAGGUUUCAAUCCGAUCGGAGUUAUGGAUCUCCGGAUAUAAAAGAAACAGUGCCAGGGCAGAAUCCCGGAACGCAGAAACAGAGAGAGACAGAGAGAUAGAUCCAAUCUCGGAGGGGCUCUCACCCCUCCCACGCCAUGGGAGCCAAGGACCAGAGGGGAAACCCUUCUCCCAUCUAGGGAGGAGGUCAAGGAACAAGAAUAAGAAGAAGGGGGGCUCUCUCCCCCUUGCUUCCGGUGGCGCCGGAGCGCUGUCGGGGGCCAUCAUCAUCACUACGAUCUUCACCAACACCUCCAUCAUCUUCAUCAACAUCUCCAUCACCUUCCCCCUUCUAUAUUCAGCGGUCCACUCUCCUGCAACCCGCUGUACCCUCUACUUGAACAUGGUUCUUUAUGCUUCAUAUUAUUAUCCAAUGAUGUGUUGCCAUCCUAUGAUGUCUGAGUAGAUUUUCGUUGUCCUACCGGUGAUUGAUGAAUUGCUAUGAUUGAUUUGAGUCGCAUGUUUUAUUAUUGGUGCUGUCCUAUGGUGCCCUCCGUGUCGCGCAAGUGUGAGGGAUCCCCGCUGUAGGGUUUGCAAUAUGUUCAUGAUUUGCUUAUGGUGGGUGGCGUGUGUGACAGAAGCACAAACCCGAGUAAGUAGGUUGUUUGCGUAUGGGAUAAAGGGGAUUUGAUGCUUUAAUGCUAUGGUUGGGUUUUACCUUAAUGAUCUUUAGUAGUUGCGGAUGCUUGCUAGAGUUCCAAUCAUAAGUGCAUAUGAUCCAAGAAGAUAAAGUAUGUUAGCUUAUGCCUCUCCCUCAAAUAGAAUUGCAAUAGUGAUUACCGGUCUAGUAACAUAGUCAAUUGCUUAGGGACAAUUCCGCAACUCCUACUACCACUUUUCCACACUCGCUAUAUUUACUUUAUUGUUUCUUUAUCUAAACAGCCCCUACUUUUUAUUUACGUGUUCUUUAUUAUCUUGCAAACUUAUCCUAUCACACCUACAAAGUACUUCUAGUUUCAUACUUAUUCUAGGUAAAGCGAACACUAAGCGUGCGUAGAGUCAUAUCAAUGGUAGAUAGGACUUGAGAGAGUAUUUGUUCUACCUUUAGCUCCUUGUUGGGUUUGACACUCUUACUUAUCAAAAGAGGCUACAAUUAUCCCCUACACUUGUGGGUUAUCAAGACCUUUUUCUGGUGCCGUUGCCGGGGAGUCAUAGCGUGGGGUGAAUAUUUUCAUGUGUGCUUGUUUGCUUUAUCACUAAGUAAUUUAUAUUUGCUAUUCUAAGUUGUUCUUUAUCUUUAGUUAUGGAUAUGGGACACGAAAUACCAAAAAAAAUAGGUGUAGUUGCUACUCAUGGAGAUGGGAGUAACAUCCCAAAUUUUGAAUUUGGAAUUUUAUACAUUAGAUCAUCAUUGUAUAUCAUAUUUUAUUGCAUUUUGGCUUAAUCCUAGAAAUUCCAUGCAACUCAACGACCCACGGAGAGAGCUGGGAAUUUCAUUAUUUCAUAUUUGAAUUUUAUACAUUAGAUCAUCAUUGAAUAAAAUGACUUUUCCAAAAAUAAAGAAAUAUUGGGGAUUUAAUAAUAAAAUCAAAUAAGAUUUUAUUUCGGAGUUUUAUCGCUAUUUUAUUUGAGUUAGGAAAAAUACGUGUUUUUCAAAAUUGCAUUUUAGGCCCAAAUAAAUGUUCAUCUUGUCCGCUUAUUUUUAGAGGACGGGGAAAAUUUAUUUCGGGAUUUUUGGAUUCAGUUUAGUAUUUAUUUUCUUUCUUUUUUUUGCAUGUCGUAAUUAUUUUAAAAAAAGGAACCGAGUUCAUCGGUUCAUCGGUUUUUUGGAUUCAGUUUAGUAUUUAUUUUCUUUCAUCGGUUCAUCGGUUUUUCUCGGUUUAGUUAUUUAGCGGACGUUCAUCGGAAUGUUCUUUUAACGAAUGGUUUUCUUCAUUUAGCCAUAGACAACGAACGCUCGUUUGUUAGGUUGUUCGUCAGUUUUUCUUUUUCUCGGAUUUUUCGUGAUUAUUUCCUAUCGCGAUUUGUGAUCCGAUUUUCGUUCUAGUAUAACUUUUCGCUUGCUUAUCGGAAUCAGGCAAUUCAAGCGCCUUGAGUUUCGUCUCGAAACCCUCUUUCCGUUUAACCAACUCAAACAAGUUUUUACUACUGUAAAAUUUGACUUAGGUCCAGAUUAGUAAAUGAAGCUUGUUUCUUUCGCCGUUUGAGUUUCGUUGCUUCUUUUGAUUUGAUUCUUUUUGCAAACCGGAGUCCUUAUGUUGAACUUUCUGGUUAGAUCUGUUAUUUGAGUUUUACCCGUGCAUUAGAUGAGUACUUAUUGGAUGCUUGUUUGUUUGUGAUAGAGUACCCGGAGUGCGCCGCUUGGUACUACGAGUCUCUAAGUUUCACGGAUCAUUAGCAAGGCAAGUAACACUUUGAUCAUACCUCUUUACUACCCAGUUUUAUUGCAUUAUCAAUUCUCAAACAAUUGCAUGGUUGGGAUCUGAUUAAUAUGUGGGUUUGGGGAAGUAGACGAGGUAGUUCCUAUUACAUGUUUAUUAUCAAACCUUUGGGAGUUACUUCUACGUUUGCUUAUACUGCUAUGCUAUGCUAGUAGACGUGGAUUGGGUGAGUGUAUCCGUGACAGAUGUGAGAUUGUUAAUUAAUGGUUUACUUAAGGUGGCAACUUUAAUGCACAUCUGGGUGGAUUGAGGCACCUGGGGAACCCAGCGUUGCGUGUAUUUUUUGGAAAUCCCGGGGCACCAUGUGAUUCUCCUAUGGACCGUGAUACGUCUCCAACGUAUUUGUAAUUUUUGAUUGCUCCAUGCUACUUUAUCUACUGUUUUAGGCAAUAUUGGGCUUUAUUAUCCACUUUUAUAUUAUUUUUGGGACUAACCUAUUAACCGGAGGCCUAGCCCAGAUUUGUUGUUUUAUGCCUAUUUGAGUGUUUCAAGGGAAAGGAAUAUCAGACAGAGUCAAAACGGAACGAAAUCAACUAGAGAAGUUAAUUUUGGAAGGAAACCAACCAGAUGGGAUUGGAGUGCACGCCAGGGGAGUCCCGGGCUGCCCACGAGUGUGGAGGGCGCGCCCCCUACCUCGUGAGCCACCCGGAGGUCCACCGACGUACCCCCUGCACCCAUAUAUACCUACGUACCCUAAAACUUCCAGAACAGAAAAUAGAUCGGGAGUUCCGCCGCUGCAAGCCUCUAUAGCCACCAAAAACAAAUCGGGACCCUGUUCCGGCACCCUGCCGGAGGGGGAUCCCAUCACCGGAGGCCAUCUUCAUCAUCCCGGCGCUAUCCAUGACGAGGAGGGAGUAGUUCACCCUCGGGGCUGAGGGUAUGUACCAGUAGCUAUGUGUUUGAUCUCUCUCUCUCUCUCUCUCUCUCUCUCUCUCUCUCUCUUGUUCUCUCCCGUGUUCCUCUAUGGCACGAUCUUGAUGUAUCCCGAGCUUUGCUAUUGUAGUUGGGUCUUAUGAUGUUUCUCCCCCUCUACUCUCUUGUGAUGAAUUGAGUUUCCCCUUUGAAGUUAUCUUAUCGGAUUGAGUCUUUUAUGACAACACUUGAUGCAUGUAUUGCCGUGAUUAUCUGUGGUGACAAUGGGAUAUCAUGUGCCACUUGAUGUAUGUUUUGGUGAUCAACUUGCGGGUUUUGUGACAUUGGGAACCUAUGCAUAGGGGUUGGCACAUGUUCUUGACUCUCCGGUAGUAGCUUUGGGGCCCUCUUUGAAGUACUUUUAUGUUGGUUGGAUGAAUCUGAGAUUGUGUGAUGCAUAUCGUAUAAUCAUGCACACGGAUACUUGAGGUGACAAUGGAGUAUCUAGGUGACAUUAGGGUUUUGGUUGAUUUGUGUCUUAAGGUAUUAUUCUAGUAUGGACUCUUUUAUAGAUCGACCCGAACGAAUAACUUUGUGGUGGUUUCGUACCCGACCAUAAUCUCUAUGUUUGUUCUCCGCUAUUAGUGGCUUUGGAGUGACUCUUUGUUGCAUGUUGAGGGCUUGUCAUAUGUUCUAUCUAUGUUAUUAUUAUUGAGAGAACUUGCACUAGCGAAAGUAUGAACCCUAUGCCUUGUUUCCUAUCAUUGCAAUACCGUUUACGUUCACGUUUAUCACUUGUUACCUUGCUGUUUUUAUUAUUUCAGAUUACAAAAACUUAUAUGUACUAUCUAUUUUGCACUUGUAUCACCAUCUCUUCGCUGAACUAGUGCACCCAUACAAUUUACCAUUGUAUUGGGUGUGUUGGGGACACAAGAGACUCUUUGUUAUUUGGUUGCAGGGUUGUUUGAGAGAGACCAUCUUCAUCCUACGCCUCCUACGGAUUGAUAAACCUUAGGUCAUCCACUUGAGGGAAAUUUGCUACUGUCCUACAAACUUGUGCACUUGCAGGCCCAACAACGUCUACAAUAAGAAGGUUGUGUAGUAGACAUCAAGCUCUUUUCUGGCGCCGUUGCCGGGGAGGCUAGGUAAAGGGCGCUAACUCACUCCCCGUCAACUAAGCUCUUUUCUGGCGCCGUUGCCGGGGUGGUUAGCGCUUGAAGGUAUAUCUUUAGAUCUUGCAAUCGAAUCUUUUUGUUUCUUGUUUUAGCACUAGUCUAGUUUAUAAAAGAAAACUACAAAAAAAUGGAGUUGAGUUUGUCUCAUACACUUCACCUUUUUAAUAUCUUUCGUGAGUAUGAUGGAAAGGAUAAUUGUGCUCAAGUGCUAGAAGAAGAAAUCUCUAAUUUUUUGGCACUAAAUCUUUGAAUGAUGAGCAUGAUUGCAAUGUUGUUAGUACGAAUUCUUUGAAUAUCCAUGAUGCUAAUGAUGACUGCACUAGUUAUGAUGAAAAUAUCUCUUAUGAGCAUGUCAACUUUUGUGGAGUGCAUGUUUGCAUGAACACACCAAAUAGAGAAGAUAUUUAUUGCAAGAGGCAUAAGUACUUAGAAACCAAAUUGUUGCAAGAAGAGCUAGAUGAAUGUGCUGAAAGAUUCAAUAUUUUUCGCGCUCCUUGUGAACUUUGCAAUGAACAUGGUCAUUUAAAGAUCCAAUGCUAUUUGUUUCAUGAUCAAGUUGUGUCCAAAUAUUGUGAUAAUUUGAUUACCCUUGAGCAUCAUAAAGAGCUUAGCCUUCUUUUGGGUUAUGAAGAAAUGAAACGUAUAAUUGAGGGUAUUCCAAAAUUUAAUCUUGAUAGAUUUCUUGAUUUUGAUCUAGAGAAGAUUUAUAUGUAUUGUGCGGUGAAUUGCAUGGAAAAUCCUUAUAUUGCCAAUUACCUAAAGAAAAUAAAGCAAAUGGAAGAUGAUGAGAAUACUAAUGAAAGGGAAGAGGCUUCCCAAUCUCCUCCUAUUAUUUCUAAUGAUGAACCGGGUAACGAGGAGGAGCUUUCUAUUCAACCAAUCUCAUCAAUAAGGAGCUCAAAGAGGAAGGUUGAGCCUACACAUAAUGUGAAGAAGAAAAAGAAAAGAAGGAGCAACAAAGGUAAAAAGGUAUCCCUCCCAAAUGAUGUUGCCCCUACUACUACUUGUGAUGAUGAUAAUUGCUAUACUAUUGGUGCUGUCAAUAUUUUUAAUGAUGAGAGUGAUUAUGCUUAUGAUAUGAAAGGGCCCAAGCUUGGGGAAGCUAUGUUUGAUUGGGAUGAAAUAUUUGAGAAUAUAUUUGCUGGAAUUAAUGUUUGUCCCAAGCUUGGGGAUGCUAUGUUUAAUGAAGAUGAUAUCUUUAGCAUCCCAAGUUUUGAUAUGCAAAGUUGUUAUGAUGAUAGCAUGCCUCCUACCUAUGAUGAUUAUAUUGAUGAAAGUGGGUUCGGAAGAGAGUCAACUUUAGGAAGUAGUGAUCCCACUAUUUUGGAGGAUGUUGAAUUUUAUUGUGAUGAAUAUGAAAGUGGAUUUGGAAGAGUGUCAACUUUAUUUAGUGAUUCCAUUAUCUUGGGAGAGGUUUCAAUCGAUUAUGAUGAGAACGAAAUUGCUACUUAUGAUGAUUAUUGUGAUGAAACUUAUGCUAUAGAAAAUAGUUAUCAUUAUAUUUACAAAUCUUGUCAUGAUUAUGAUUACCCUUUUUCUGAACAUUACUCUUUUAAUGCGGAAACAAUUUUUAGUGUUCAAGUCUCUUAUGAUACUUCUACUAUUCCGAAUGAGAAGAAUUUUGCUUAUGUGGAGAGUAUUAAAAAUUCUAUGCUUCUAGAUCAUGAAAAGAAUGCUUUAGGUGCUGCUUAUAUUGUUGAAUUCAUUCAUGAUUCUACUGAAAAUUAUUAUGAGGGAGGAACAUAUGCUUGUAGGAAUUGCAAUAAUAUCAAGUUUCCUCCCUAUGUGCUUAAAAUCUUGAAGUUAUGCUUGUUUUACCUUCCUAUGCAAGUUGAUUCUUGUUUCCAUAAGUUGUUUGCUCACAAAAUCCCUAUGCAUAGGAAGUGGGUUAGACUUAAAUGUGCUAGUCAUAUGCUUCAUGAUGCUCCCGUUAUGUUUCAAUUCUUAUCUUUUAUGUGAGCAUCAUUGCCAUCAUCAUGCCUAGCUAGAAAGGCAUUAAAGAAAAGCGCUUAUUGGGAGAGAACCCAAUAUUUAUCUUUGUUUGUACACAUGAUUAUGCUACUGUAGUAAUCAUGUUUUAUAGCUUUUGUUUCAAUAAAGUGCCAAGUAAGACCUUUAGGAUGGCUUACGGUGAUAGUUGUGUUGAUCCUGCUGAAAAUCAGAAACUUUUGCACCCAGUAAAUUAGUUUUUGUAAUUCACAGAAACGUGCUUAUGAUCUAAUUCUUUUUGAUCUGGAUUGUUACACGAAUUUCUUAGGACUUCCUAAUUUCGUAGAAUUUUUGGUGUUUCAGAAUUAUACGUUUGAUACAGAUUACUACAGACUGUUCUGUUUUUGAUAGAUUCUGUUUUCUAUGUGUUGUUUGCUUAUUUUGAUGAAUCUAUGAGUAGUAUAGGAGGGUAUAAACCAUAGAUAAGUUGUAUUACAGUAGAUAUUACACCAAUAUGAAUUUAUAAUGAGUUAAUUACAGUACCAAUGUGGUGGAUUUGUUUUCUUUCACUAACGGAGGUUAUAAGAUUUCCUGUUGAGUUUUGUGUUGUGAAGUUUUCAAGUUUUGGGUAAAGAUUCGAUGGGCUAUGGUACAAGGAGUGGCAAGAUCCUAAUCUUGGGGAUGCCCAAGGCACCCCAAGUUAAUAUUCAAGAAUAGCCAAAAGCCUAAGCUUGGGGAUGCCCCGAAAGGCAUCCCCUCUUUCGUCUUCGUUCAUUGGUAAACUUUACUUGGACCUAUAUUUUUAUUCGCCACAUGAUAUGUGUUUUGCUUGGAGUGUCAUUUUAUCUUGUUAGUUUUUGCUUUAUGUUAGUUAGAAUAAUGUUUUGCAUCUUUAGUUUCAAUAAAAAAGUCAAGGAUAGCCUUUGCCAUGUUUAUUUUGCUACUAUACAUGUUGCUGUUUGAAAACAGAAAGUUUACCGUUGUUGCAAAAAUUCCAUAGAAAAGUCAGAGAAUGGUCUAACGUUGAAUAUUUUUGCAUAUUGAGCUCUGACAAAUUUACUACAGUGGGAAUUUUAGUUCAUAAUUUUUGGAGUUAGUGAAGUAUUGAUACUCCUGCAUUCUUUACAGACUAUACUGUUUUGACAGAUUGCUGUUAUGUUUGCGUUGUUUGCAUAUGUUUGUUUGUUUAAUGAUUCUAUUUGAGGAUAGGAGUAUUAAAUAUGCAGAGGCAUUUAGUAUUAAAUGUUGAAUAAUAAUUUUAGUGAUUUGUUACAGUAGAAAAUGAUAAGGUUUUGCAUUGGUUUAUACUAACCUAUCUCACAAGUUCUUGUUGAGUUUGUUGUGAAUGAAGCUUUUGAUAAAAAGAGAAACCAUGAUAUGAGAGGAAUUAAGGAGACAAAAAAGCUCAAGCUUGGGGAUUCCCAAGGCACCCCAAUAUAAUAUUUCAAGAAGUCUCAAGCAUACAAGCUUGGGGAUGCCCCGGUAGGCAUCCCACCUUUCUUCUUCAACAACCAUCGGUUAGUAUCGGUUGAGCCUAAGUUUUUGCUUCUUCACAUGAGUUGUGCUAUCCUUGCAUUGUAGUUUCCUUUAGCUUUGCUUGCUGUUUGAAUAAAGCAUCAAGGUCUGAAAUUCUUUAAUGAGAGAGAGCCAUACAUGAAUUGGAAUUUGCUAGAAUACUCUAUGUGCUUCACUUAUAUCUUUUGAGCUUGAUAAUUUUGCUCAUAGUGCUUCACUUAUAUCUUUUGAGCAUGAUAAUUUUUGCUCUAGUACUUCACUUAGAUCUUUUAGAGCACGGUCGUGGAUUUGUUUUAAAGAAACUAUUGAUCUCUCAUUCUUCACUUAGAUUAUUUUGAGAGUCUUUAAUAGCAUGGUAAUUUGCUUAAUAUUAAUAUACUUGGUGUUCAAGAUAUGUGAAACUUUCUUUUGAAUGAAUUGAAUACUAAGAUAAGUUUGAUGCUUGAUAAUUGUUUUGAGAUAUGGAGGUAGUGAUAUUAAAGUGAUGCUAGUUGGGUUAUUAUGAAUUUGAGAAAUACUUGUGUUGAAGUUUGCAAGUCCCGUAGCAUGCACGUAUGUUGAACAGCUUUGUGAUGAAGUUGGAGCACAAUUUUAUUUAUUGAUUGUCUUCCUUAUGAGUGGCGGUCGGGGACAAGCAAUGGUCUUUUCCUACCAAUCUAUCCCCCUAGGAGUAUGCGCGUAGUGCUUUGGUUUUUGAUGACUUCUAAAUUUUUGCAAUAAGUAUAUGAGUUCUUUAUGACUAAUGUUGAGUCCAUGGAUUAUACGCACUCUCAUCCUUCCACCAUUGCUAGCCUCUCUUGUGCCGCGCAACUUUCGCCGGUACCAUACACCCACCAUAUACCUUCCUCAAAAUAGCCACCAUACCUACCUAUUAUGGCAUUUCCAUAGCCAUUCCGAGAUACAUUGCCAUGCAACUUUCCACCGUUCCGUUUAUUAUGACACGCUCCAUCAUUUUCAUAUUGCUAGCAUAAUUCUUUCAUACAUGUCACUCAUGAGUCAUUGCACAUCCCGGUACACUGCUGGAGGCAUUCAUAUAGAGUCAUAAUUUGUUCUAAGUAUCGAGUUGUAAUUGUUGAGUUGUAAGAAAAAUAAAAGUGUGAUGAUCAUCAUUAUUAGAGCAUUGUCCCAAGUGAGGAAAGGAUGAUGGAGACUAUGAUUCCCCCAUAAGUCGGGAUGAGACUCGGGACGAAAUAAAAAAAAGAGGCCAAAGAAGCCCAAAAAAAAGAGGCCAUAAAUAAAAGAGAAAAGGCCCAAAUAAAAAUAAAUAAAUAAAUGAGAGAAAAAGAGAGAAGGGACAAUGCUACUAUCCUUUUACCACACUUGUGCUUCAAAGUAGCACCAUGAUCUUCAUGAUAGAGAGUCUCCUAUGUUGUCACUUUCAUAUACUAGUGGGAAUUUUCCAUUAUAGAACUUGGCUUGUAUAUUCCAAUGAUGGGCUUCCUCAAAAGUGCCCUAGGUCUUCGUGAGCAAGCGAGUUGGAUGCACACCCACUUAGUUUCUUUUGUUGAGCUUUCAUAUGCUUAUAGCUCUAGUGCAUCCGUUGCAUGGCAAUCCCUACUCACUCACAUUGAUAUCUAUUAAUGGGCAUCUCCAUAGCCCGUUGAUACGCCUAGUUGAUGUGAGACUAUCUUCCCCGUUUUGUCUUCUCCACAACCACCAUUCUAUUCCACCUAUAGUGUUAUGUCCAUGGCUCACGCUCAUGUAUUGCGUGAAAGUUGAAAGAGUUUGAGAUUACUGAAGUAUGAAACAAUUGCUUGGCUUGUCAUCGCGGUUGUGCAUGAUUAAAUACUUUGUGUGAUGAAGAUAGAGCAACAACCAGACUAUAUGAUUUUGUAGGGAUAACUUUCUUUAGCCAUGCUAUUUUGAGAAGACAUGAUUUCUUUGAUUAGUAUGCUUGAAGUAUUAUUACUUUUAUGUCAAUAUGAACUUUUGUCAUGAAUCUUUCCGAUCUGAAUAUUCAUGCCACAGUUAAGAAGAUUUACAUUGAAAUUAUGCCAAAGUAUCACUCCGCAUCAAAAAUUCUUUUUUAUCAUCUACCUACUCGAGGACGAGCAGGAAUUAAGCUUGGGGAUGCUUGAUACGUCUCCAACAUAUCUGUAAUUUUUGAUUGAUCCAUGCUACUUUAUCUACUGUUUUAGGCAAUAAUGGGCUUUAUUAUCCACUUUUAUAUUAAUUUUGGGACUAACCUAUUAAUCGGAGGCCCAGCCCAGGUUUGCUGUUUUAUGCCUAGCUAUUUCAGUGUUUCGAGGAAAAGGAAUAUCAGAUGGAGUCAAAAUGGAAUGAAAUAAAGUAGAGAAGUUAAUUUUGGAAGGAACCCAGCCAGAUGGGCUUAGAGUGCAUGCCAGGGGAGUCCCGGGCUGCCCACGAGGGUGGAGGGCGUGCCCCCCUACCUCGUGAGCCACCCGGAGGUCCACCGACGUACCCCCUGCACCCAUAUAUACCUACGUACCCUAAAACUUCCAGAACAGAAAAUAGACUGGGAGUUCCGCCGCCGCAAGCCUCUGUAGCCACCAAAAACCAAUCGUGACCCUGUUCCGGCACCCUGCCGGAGGGGAUCCCAUCACCGGAGGCCAUCUUCAUCAUCCCGGCGCUAUCCAUGACGAGGAGGGAGUAGUUCACCCUCGGGGCUGAGGGUAUGUACCAGUAGCUAUGUGUUUGAUCCCUCUCUCUCUCUCGUGUUCCUCUAUGGCACGAUCUUGAUGUAUCCUGAUCUUUGCUAUUGUAGUUGGAUCUUAUGAUGUUUCUCCCCCUCUACUCUCUUGUGAUGAAUUGAGUUUCCCCUUUGAAGUUAUCUUAUCGGAUUGAGUCUUUUAUGACAACACUUGAUGUAUGUCUUGCCAUGAUUAUCUGUGGUGACAAUGGGAUAUCAUGUGCCACUUGAUGUAUGUUUUGGUGAUCAACUUGCGGGUUUCGUGACAUUGGGAACCUAUGCAUAGGGGUUGGCACACGUUCUUGACUCUCCGGUAGUAGCUUUGGGGCACUCUUUGAAGUACUUUUAUGUUGGUUGGAUGAAUCUGAGAUUGUGUGAUGCAUAUCGUAUAAUCAUGUCCACGGAUACUUGAGGUGAUAAUGCAGUAUCUAGGUGACAUUAGGGUUUUGGUUGAUUUGUGUCUUAAGGUAUUAUUCUAGUACGAACUCUUUUAUAGAUCAAUCUGAACGAAUAACUUUGUGGUGGUUUCGUACCCGACCAUAAUCUCUACGUUUGUUCUCCGCUAUUAGUGGCUUUGGAUUGACUCUUUGUUGCAUGUUGAGGGCUUGUCAUAUGUUCUAUCUAUGUUAUUAUUGUUGAGAGAACUUGCACUAGCGAAAGUAUGAACCCUAGGCCUUGUUUCCUAUCAUUGCAAUACAGUUUACGAUCACGUUUAUCACUUGUUACCUUGCUGUUUUUAUUAUUUCAGAUUACAAAAACCAAUAUGUACUAUCUAUUUUGCACUUGUAUCACCAUCUCUUCGCCGAACUAGUGCACCCAUACAAUUUACCAUUGUAUUGGGUGUGUUGGGGACACAAGAGACUCUUUGUUAUUUGGUUGCAGGGUUGUUUGAGAGAGACCAUCUUCAUCCUACUCCUCCUACAGAUUGAUAAACCUUAGGUCAUCCACUUGAGGGAAAUUUGCUACAGUCCUACAAACCUGUGCACUUGCAGGCCAUACGACGUCUACAAGAAGAAGGUUGUGUAGUAGACAUCAGAUCGCCACCCGGGCUCAAAGGGAUCAUGAGAUUUUUCAUGCUAGAAACUUCCAUGUGCAGCCGCAAGCUACUAUGGGUUCUAGCAUAGUUGAGUAUGUUGUGUGACCUCUUUCAGUGGUAGACUAGCAGAUGUAGGGGAUGUAGGUUGUUACUGUCUACCCAGAGUAAAGAAUUAAUGCUUCUGAAAGACUGUGUCUUGGUCAUCCGUUUCUCAAACACCAUGUAGUGCGAGAAAUCCAAUGGAGCAGAUCGAGUCUUGCGGGCAAAAGUGCGCAAACCUCUGCAGAGUGUAUAAACUAAUCAUGGUUAGCCGUGUCCUCGGUUAUGGAUGUUUUGAGUAUCUAGUACUUGGAUUAUCAUGUGAAUCUCAUCAUGUUACUUAAUUUAAUUUGAUUGGGUCAAUGAUGAUGCUUAAUUGGGAUUGAGUUGGAGGAACCUUCUCAAUGUUUAACAACCACCAUGAUAGUUAAAUAAAAUUUAUUCCUUUGUUGUAGGGGAAAAUUGGCUUUAUGCACAACUGUAACCAUAGAGCUUUCCACCAGCCAUAUAUGCAUGUAGUGAUAGCAUUAUUCUGUUCAUUACUCUCUAUGUGUUACAUUGCCAGCAUAUUCCAUGUGCUGACCCAUUUUCGGGCUGCAAUGUUCAUGUUGCAGACUUUUCAGACGACGAGUAAGGUGCCUUAGGUCGUGAUCUUUCACUCACUGAUGCCGUUGGAGUUGAUGGACUCACUUUAUUUUCCAAGCCUUCCGCUGUUAUCAUUAUUAGAUGGCCUUAAGCCAUAUUUAUUGUAAUAAGUUCUCUCUGGAGACAUUCAUUGUAAUAAGUGUGUGAUUGCUACUGUGUUAUAAAUCCUUCAAGUACUAUGUGUGUUAGCAUUACCGAUCCAGGGAUGACACUGAUGCACAGAGAUCAGACUGUUUGAGGUCUGGUCGCUACAAGAUGGUAUCAGAGAACACGCUGACUGUAGGACACGACCACUAAGCUAAAGCCCUAGAUUACUACUCUCUUCUCAUUUCUGACUCCUCACCUUUUCUACUCUUUUAGGAUGGCGGAUGCAAGGAAAAAGUUCGCGCAACCGGAUGAAGAUACACCAUUUGGACGUCACUUGACGGAAGUCACUAGAUAUCUGAACAUCAGAGUACCAAGCUUCACCGAGACCUACAUCGCCACUUUACCAGAAGAGGAGCGUUGGAUGAUUCAAGUUCAAGUUCCAGGAAGGACGUUCAUGCCCGUCACUGAGCCCAUAGAGUUUUCCUUUGAUGCACCAACCUGGAGUCUAGGAAAGAGCAUGACAGCCCACAUCACCAUGGGAUGCAUUGGAGAAGUUUACCAUAAUGAUGUCAAGGAUACUAUCUACCAGAUUUGUGUGCACCGAGAUGAGCACCAGGAAGGAUAGAUCCAUUGCAGCUUUCAUCCAGGAGUUAAACCAGCACAUUCGCCACCAGGAGAACCAGAUGUGUGCAGGCGUGAUAGAUUUGAAGAAGGCAAUGACCAAGAUCAUGGAGAUGGAGGAAGAACUCAAGUCUACACGCGAUGGAUAUGAGGAGGAAAUGACGACACUCCUGGAGAAGAAUGAUGAUCUGAAGAAGAAGCUAAAAGUAUUCAUGGGAUUCCCCGCGCCAAGAGGAGAUGACGACGAUUGCACUUGCCCGGAGAACUACAUCAUCAUCGAUGACACCGACUCAGACCCUGACGAUAGCGAUGAUGACUUUUUUGAUGAAGCUGGAGCAGAUAUCAUGGAGUCUUCGACCGAUCAAUUUUCUAGAUGACCACCAUAACAGUAGUAGUAUUUCCCCCAUGUAUAUAGUAUAGUCCGAGAACUUUUGUAACGAUAGUUAGAUCGUUGUAUGCCCUUGUUUGAAAUGAUUGAAGUGAUAUGAUUGUGUUUGUCUCAUGUGCAUAUGGGUAGUGUCUUUUUCUCUCUAGACCUCAUUCUAUUCUGUAUUCUCAUCUUUUCUCAACCCUCAGAUGCCUCCGAGACGUGACAAUGGAUUUGCUUUCCCACCGGAGCUCACUCAGUUGAUCCAGCAGCGGAAUGCAUUGAUGCAGAUGAUAGUCCAGAAUCAGAAUCAGGGGAACAACAACAACAACAACCCACCACCACCACCACCUGUUGAUCACUUAGCCUGUUUCUUGAGGCUGAAUCCGCCGGUGUUCUCCAGUAGCACCGAGCCGAUAGUUGCAGAUGAUUGGCUCCGCAAUAUGGGAAGGGAGUUGACCACUGCAAGAUGCAAAGAUGCGGAGAAGGUGCAUUUUGCCGCACAUCAGCUUGAUGGACCCGCAGCAUCAUGGUGGGAGAAUUUCACAGCCACUUAUCCCAUCGACACUGUCACAUGGGACCAGUUUUAACAGGCUUUCCGUACUGCCCAUGUUUCAGCAGGAGCUAUGGCCAUGAAGAAGUGCGAGUUUCGCAACUUGCGCCAAGGAGGAUAUACAGUUGGCCAGUAUGUGGAUGACUUUAGUAAGCUAGCACAUUAUGCCCCAGAUGACGUUGCUACGGAUGUAGCUAAGCAGGAGAAGUUUCUAGAAGGACUGAAUGAUGAGUUGAGCAUGCAGUUGAUGGUGGCAACCUUCAACAACUACCAGGAGUUGGUGGAUAGAUCUCUCAUGAUUGAAGGGAAGCAGCAACAUAUUGACAGCCGCAAGAGGAUGUAUGGACAAGGGAAGUACAAUUCUGGAGCUCAGCAGAAACCUCGUUUUACCCCAAACUCGGGAGGACCUUUUCAGCAUACCCAUGGAGGUCACAACCACAAUGGAGGGAGUUCGCACAACCAUAGUGGCCCCAAGAAUGGCAAUGGGAAUGGAGGAAGCAACGGUCAGAACCGUACCAACCCAUAAACACCAGCCAAGAGGGAUCUAAGCCACAUUACCCGUUUCAAGUGCCAGAAGACUGGACAUUAUGCCACUGAAUGUCCUGAAGCUAAGAAUGGAAAUGGCAAUGGAAGCUCUGGGAAGAACCCGAACCCUUUCAACAGGGGACAGGUGAACCAUGUUAACGUGGAGGAGGUUGAAGCGUAGCCAGAUGCAGUAAUAGGUAAGUUUUUGGUUGUCAUUUACUGCAAUCGUUCUUUUUUAUGCUGGUGCAUCGCAUUAAUACAUAUCAAGGGGAUUUGUGGAUAAGUAUAAACUACCAACCCAAGCCUUUAGGUCACCCAUGUUAGUAACCUCGCCAGGAGCAUAGUAUAUGGCUAGUCUAUGGUGUGAUCGGUUACCAUUAAGGAUUGGUAACUAUGUGUUCCCCUCAGACCUAAUAGUAUUGGAGUCGCAAGGACUGGAUGUGAUAUUAGGAAUGGAUUGGUUAUCGAAGUAUGCAGGGAACAUAGAAUGCGCCAGUAAGUCAAUCUUGCUUACCACCCCAGAAGGAAGAAGGAUCAAGUAUGUAUCCCGGCAUGUGCUGAAGAGGACUCAAGUAAAUUCCUUAUCCAGAGUUGUACAGGAAGAAGUACCAAUGGUGAAGGAUUUCCCUGACGUAUUUCCAGAAGAGUUGCUAGGCAUGCCACCGGAUAGAGACAUUGUGUUUUUGAUUGAGCUUUUGCCAGGCACAGGGCCGAUAUCUAAGAGACCGUACAGGAUGCCCGCAAAGGAUUUGGAGGAAAUCAAGAAGCAUAUUAAGGAGUUACUGGAUAAAGGCUCUAUUCUCCCAAGUUCGUCACCUUGGGGAUCACCAGUGCUUCUAGUGGAGAAGAAGGAUGGAUCAUUGAGGAUGGUUGUUGAUUAUCGAGGAUUGAAGGAAGUGACAAUCAAGAACAAGUACCCACUGCCGAUGAUCAAUGAUUUGUUUGACCAGUUACAAGGAGCUAAGGUAUUUUCCAAGAUCGAUUUGCGAUCAGGAUACCACCAGUUGAAGAUUCGAGAGCAUGAUAUACCUAAGACGGCUUUUACCACUAGGUACGGGCUGUAUGAGUAUACCAUUAUGUCAUUUGGUCUGACUAAUGCACCUGCCUAUUUCAUGAACAUGAUGAACAAAGUGUUUAUGGAGUUUCUGGAUAAGUUCGUAGUGGUGUUCAUUCAUGAUAUUCUGGUCUACUCAAAGAAUGAAGAGGAGCAUAAGGAGCAUUUGCGUUCGCUACUUGGGAAGCUCAGAGAACAUCAGCUAUAUGCCAAGUUCAGCAAGUGUGAGUUUUGGUUGAAGGAAGUUGGAUUCCUCGGACAUGUUUUAUCCAGAGAAGGAAUAGCAGUACACCCCACCAAAGUUGUCACUGUGACUAAUUGGGAAGCACCCACGUCAGUUGGAGAGAUCCGGAGUUCUCUCGUACUUGCAGGAUACUACAGGAGGUUCAUUGAGAAUUUCUCGAAGAUUGCAAAGCCCAUGACGGAGUUGUUGAAGGGAACGAAGUUCAAAUGGACUGAGGAAUGUGAGGCCAGUUUUUAGGAGUUGAAGAAACGUUUGGUUACAUCACCGGUGUUGAUUCUGCCAGAUCAGCGCAAGGAUUAUGAAGUAUAUUGCGACGCUUCUCGUCGAGGACUUGGAGCAGUGCUUAUGUAGGAGGGAAGAGUUGUUUCAUAUGCCUCACGACAACUUAAGCCCCAUGAGUUUAAUUAUGCCACACAUGAUUUGGAAUUAGCAGCCGUAGUGCAUGCAUUGAAGACAUGGAGACAUUUUUUUAUCGGAAACCAUUGCGAGGUGUAUACGGAUCACAAGAGUUUGAAGUACAUCUUCACGCAGAAGGAGUUGAAUCUCAGGCAAAGGAGAUGGUUGGAGCUCAUUAAGGAUUAUGAUAUGAGAUUGCAUUAUCACCCCGAAAAGGCUAACAUAGUAGCCGAUGUGUUGAGCCGCAAGAGCCAUGUCAACACACUCUUGACCGGAGAAUUACCAAAGGAGUUAGUCGAGGAUCUUCGCGAGCUAUGUUUGGAGAUAGUUCCGAGAGGCUAUGUAGCAGCAUUGGAGAUUCAGUCUACUUUGAUGGAUAAGAUCAGAGAAGUUCAGAAGACAGACAAGGAGAUUGCCGAGAUAAAGGAGAAGAUGGGCAAAGGAAAAGCUAAGGGAUUUUGUGAGGAUGAGCACGAUACCUUAUGGUUUGAGGACCGCGUUUAUGCCUAAUGACCCGGAGAUCAGGAAGUUGAUUCUACAAGAGCCCAUGAUUCACCGUAUUCGAUUCACCCAGGAAAUACCAAGAUGUAUCUAGAUUUCAAGGACACUUUCUGGUGGACCGGAAUGAAGAAGGAUAUUGCGGAGUAUGUAGCAGUUUGUGAUGUAUGUCAGAGAGUGAAGGCAGAGCAUCAGAAGCCAGUAGGAUUGCUACAACCAUUGCCGAUACCCGAAUGGAAGUGGGAUAAGCUAGGCAUGGAUUUUAUCACGGGAUUGCCCAGGACAUGUUCAGGCUAUGACUCGAUAUGGGUUGUAGUCGAUCGGUUGACGAAGGUAGCUCAUUUCAUCCCAGUGAAGACCACUUACACAAGUGCUAAGUUGGCAAAGAUAUACAUGACCAGGAUCGUAUGUCUGCAUGGAGUUCCGAGGACCAUUGUAUCAGAUAGAGGAACCCAGUUUACCUCAAAGUUCUGGGAUCAGUUGCACGAAACUUUGGGUACCAGGCUAGAGUUCAAUACAGCCUUUCAUCCACAAACAGAUGGACAGACCGAGAGAGUCAAUCAGAUUCUGGAGGACAUGCUGAGAGCUUGUGCACUAGAUUAUGGAUCUAGUUGGGACGACAAUUUGCCAUAUGGAGAGUUCUCUUACAACAACAAUUAUCAAUCCAGUUUGAAGAUGGUGUCUUUCGAAGCCUUGUACAGAAGGUGGUGCAGGACAUCGUUGUUGUGGGAUGAAGUUGGAGACCGUCAGUUGUUUGGACCGGAUUUGAUUAAAGAGUCUGAAAAGAAGGUUAAUCUAAUUCACGAUAUGCUAAAGGUAGCCCAGUCCAGGCAGAAGAGCUAUACAGAUUCUAAACGCAAGGAGACAGUUUACAAAGUCGGAGACGGAGUUUAUCUUCGUGUGUCCCCACUUCGAGGAGUUAAGAAUUUUGGAGUUAAGGGAAAGUUAGCGCCACGUUUUGUGGGACCAUACAAAGUGUUGGAGCGUAUGGGAGAAGUUGCUUACAAGUUGGAAUUGCCCGAAGGAUUGUCAGGAGUUCAUGAUGUGUUCCAUGUUUCCCAGUUGAAGUCCACGCAAAGAUGGCCGAUAUCCCUCUGAGAGAUACAGUACCACUGGAAGCGAUUCAGUUGGAUAGCGAUUUGACCUAUGAGGAGAAAAUAGUCAAGAUUCUGGAGUUUGCUAGCUGAGUCACACGCAGCAAUGUUAUCAAGUUUUGCAAAGUUCAGUGGAGCCACCGUACCGAGGAUGAAGCCACCUAGGAGUAAGAGGAAGAUCUACAAAAGGACCACCCUCACCUAUUUUCUAGUCAACCCGAAUCUCGAGGGCGAGAUUCAUCUUAAGGGGGAUAGGUUUGUAACAUCCCAAAAUUUUCAAUUUAGAAUGUUAUACAAUAGAUCAUCAUUGAAUAUCAUAUUUUAUUGCAUUUUGGCUUGAUCCUAGAAAUUCCAUGCAACUCAAGAACCCACGGAGAGAGCUGGGAAUUUCGUUAUUUCAUAUUUGAGUUUUUCUCAAAUUUUGAAAAGAGGAUCAUUUGAUUUUAACUAUUUUAUCUUUGAAUAUUUCUAUUAUAAAAAUAAGAGAGAGGGAAUAAAAUGACUUUCCCAAAAAUAAAGAAAUAUUGGGGAUUUAACAAUAAAAUCAAAUAAGAUUUUAUUUCGGAGUUUUUAUCGCUAUUUUAUUUGAAUUAGGAAAAAUAUGCGUUUUUCAAGUUUGCAUUUUAGGCCCAAAUAAAUGUUCAUCUUGUCUGACUUAUUUUUAGAGGACGGGAAAAUUUUAUUUCAGGAUUUUUGGAGUCCGUUUAGUAUUUCUUUUUUUUCUGCAUGUCGUAAUUAUUUAAAAAAAAGGAACCGACUUCGGGCCGUACCCGAGCGGGACUCCGCCCAGGGGGAUUUAUAAGUAGCCACCCCGGCGCUCGAAGCCCACCCCGCCAGCCCAACCCGCCGCAGCCGCUAGAACCCUAGCNNNNNNNNNNNNNNNNNNNNNNNNNNNNNNNNNNNNNNNNNNNNNNNNNNNNNNNNNNNNNNNNNNNNNNNNNNNNNNNNNNNNNNNNNNNNNNNNNNNNNNNNNNNNNNNNNNNNNNNNNNNNNNNNNNNNNNNNNNNNNNNNNNNNNNNNNNNNNNNNNNNNNNNNNNNNNNNNNNNNNNNNNNNNNNNNNNNNNNNNNNNNNNNNNNNNNNNNNNNNNNNNNNNNNNNNNNNNNNNNNNNNNNNNNNNNNNNNNNNNNNNNNNNNNNNNNNNNNNNNNNNNNNNNNNNNNNNNNNNNNNNNNNNNNNNNNNNNNNNNNNNNNNNNNNNNNNNNNNNNNNNNNNNNNNNNNNNNNNNNCGUUGCCCCGCCGCCCCGCGCCACCGCCGCUCGCCGCCACCGCCGGAGCCGCCGGACCCCGCCGCCGCCUCGCCGGACUCGAGAUAGCCGCCGCCGUUUUUUUUUCUAAAAAUCGUUCGGUUUUUUUCUAAAAACUAUUCGGUUUUUUUUAAACCCUAGAUCCGGUUUUUUAGAUCGGUUCAUCAGUAUUUCUCAGUUUAGUUAUUUAGCGGACGUUCGUUUUAACGAACGGUUUUUGUCGUUUAGCCGUAGACAGCGAACGUUCAUUCGUUAGCCUGUUCGUCAGUUUUUCUUUUUCUCGGAUUUUUCGCGAUUAUUUCCGAUCGCGAUUUCUGAUCUUAUUUUCGUUUUAGUAUAACUUUUCACUCGUUUAUCGGAAUCAGGCGAUUCAAGCGCCUUGACUUUCAUCUCGAAACUCUCUUUCUGUUUAACCAACCCAAACAAGUUUUUACUACUAUAAAAUUCGACUUUGGUCCAGAUUAGUAAACUAAGCUUGUUUCUUUCGCCGUUUGAGUUUCGUUGCUUCUUUUGAUUUGAUUCUUUUUGCAAACCAAAGUUCUUAAGUUGAACUUUCUGGUUAGAUCUCUUAUUUGAGUUUUACCCGUGCAUUAGAUGAGUAUUUAUUGUAUGCUUGUUUGUUUGCGAUAGAGUACCCGGAGUGCGCCGCUUGCUACUAUGAGUCUCUAGGUUUCAUGGAUCAUCAACAAGACAAGUAACACUUUGAUCAUACCUCUUUACUACCCAGUUUUAUUGCAUUAGAUCAAUCCUCAAACAAUUGCAUGGUUAGGAUCUGAUUAAUAUGUGGGUUUGGGGAAGUAGAUGAGGUAGUACCUAUUACCUGUUUAUUAUCAAACCUUUGGGAGUUACCUCUAUGUUUGCUUAUGCUGCUAUGCUAUGCUAGUAGACGUGGAUUGGAUGAGUAUAUCCAUGACAGAUGUGAGAUUGUUAAUUAAUGGUUUAGUUAAGGUGGCAACUUUAAUACACAUCUCGACGGAUUGAGGCACCUGGGGAACCCAGUGUUGCCUGUAGUUUUUGGAAAUCCCGGGGUACCGUGUGAUUCUCCUAUGGACCGCCACCCAGGCUCAAAGGGAUCAUGAGAUUUUUCAUGCUAGAAACUUCCGUGUGCAGCCGCAAGCUACUAUGUACUCUAGCAUAGUUGAGUAUGUUGUGUGACCUCUUUCAGUGGUAGACUAGCAGAUGUAGGGGAUGUAGGUUGGUACUGUCUACCCAGACUAAAGAGUUAAUGAUUCUGAAAGACUGUGUCUCGGUCACCCAUUUCUCAAACACCGUGUAGUGCGAGAAAUCCAACGGAGUAGAUCAAGUCUUGAAGGGAAAAGUGCGCAAACCUCUGCAGAGUGUAUAAACUAAUCAUGGUUAGCCGUGUCCCCGGUUAUGUAUGUUUUGAGUAUCUAGUACUUGGAUUGUCAUGUGAAUUCAUCAUGUUACUUAAUUUAAUUUGAUUGGGUUAAUGAUGAUGCUUAAUUGGGAUUUAGUUGGAGGAACCUUCUCAAUGUUUAACAACCAUGAUGAUAGUUAAAUAAAAUUUAUUCCUUUUUUGUAGGGAAAAAUUAGCUUUAUGCAAAACUGUAACCAUAGAGCUUUCCACCGGCCAUAUAUGCAUGCACUACGGGAAACAAUUAAUUUGCCCUCAGGGAACGCCUUUGCCGUCAGCUUUUCAUCGGGCAGACAGUAAAGAAAUGGUUUGCCAUCAUUAGUAGAUGGCAAAGAAACACUGACGGUAAAAUAGACUUUGCCGUCUGCGGAAAAAAACACAGACAACAAAGAGCUCACUUUUGCCGCCUGCAAACAGAAACAUAGACGGCAAAAUACUUUGCCGUCUUCGUUUAUUUCUACAGAUGAAAAAAUGUGCACUUUGCCAUCUGUAAAAAAAAUAAAGACGGCGAAGAACUUUGCCGUCUGUAAAAAUAAAAUGAAGACGGAAAAGAGAAAGCACAUCACGCGGAUCAACUACGCGGAUUGAUGAGAUGGCAUCGUUCCAACACCACCCGCUGCUCCUAUGCACGAUCCACACCAUCCAUCACCCCACCUGCCCACCAACAUGCACAACGCCCCACCACCCCCACCUGCCACACACGGACGCAGUCCACACCCACCCACGUGUUGCAUGUCUCGCUUAUCCUCUCAUACACGCACAAGAUUCACAUCCACCCACGCACACACAUGCCACCAGCCCACCACCCACCCAUGCCCACGAUGCGGAUGUUGACCGGCUGGACGGCGAGCGGCGCGGAUGGCGACUGGCGCCAGGGAGGGCGGCAGCCGGCGACUAGCGCAAGGAAGCGCGGCGCGGGAGCAUGGCUUGGCGGCGGCACGGGCUAGGGAAGCGGCGGCCGAACCGGUGCGGGGCUUGGCUGCGGCGGCCGCGACGGAGCGUGGCUGGGCGCCGGCACGGCGAGCAGGGCAUGGCGGCCGCGGGAUCCUCUUCCUCCAUCUUGCCGCGGACCUCCCCUCCUCUGCGCUCACGCUCGACGGCCUCGUCGACAUCGCCUAUGGACGGGGCGGCGGCCGCGUCGGUGCGUGGCUUCGAUGCGGCGGCCGCGGCAGAGCACGGCUGGGCGCGGGCACGGCGAGCAGGGCACAGCGGCCGUGGGAUCCUCUUGUCGCAUCUUGCCGCGGACCUCCCCUCCUCUGCGCUCACGCUCGACGGCCUCGUCAACAUCGCCUAUGGACGGGUUGUGGCCAUGUCAGGGGAACGGAGCCCUCCACCUCCCCGGCCCCUUGUGCACUGGUGGCGCGGACCUCAACCUCCCCGGUGGCGCGGAGUCAACCACCUCCCGGCGGCGCGUGCGCUGCAAGGGCCAUUUGCCCAGUUCGUCAAAUAGAGUGGUCUUUUGUACAAGUUGAUGAAAUAGAGCUUGUUUGUUCGAUGGAUGAGUGUGUGCUGAUGGAUAUGUACUGUAAAUAGACUAGUUCUGUCAUGUAAAAUACGUUCCUUUGUCAUCGACUCUUAUACUGGUUGAUGCGAAAUUGCUAGGAAAGAUUUUGCCUACGCCUUCUACCAUGUACGGCCUCUGCACCAGCACUGUGGUCCAUAUUUUUUUUAAAUAAUAAAAACUUCUUUGCCGUCUCGGAUAUAUGGGGCUGACGCCGAAGGCUAGUCUAGCUGACGGCAAAGGCAUAGUCCAGCUGAAGGCAAAGAUGGUUUCUUUGCUGUAUGCUAUUACUGGGCUUGACGGCAAAGACAGAGUUGGCUGACGGCAAAGUCUUUGUCGUCUUCAUGAUGAAAAGCUGACAACAAAGUAUACUUUGCCGAUUUAUCUUUGCCGUCUGAGUUUGCCGUCUGCUUCCUGACGGCAAAUUGUUUGCCGUCUAGAUUUAGGUCUUUGCCGUCUGGGAUUCACAGACGGCAAAUUACCUGUUUCCUGUAGUGAUAUAGUGAUAGCAUUAUUCUGUUCAUUACUCUAUAUGUGUUACAUUGCCAGCAUAUUCCAUGUGCUGACCCGUUUUCGGGCAGCAACGUUCAUGUUGCAGACUUUUUAGACGACGGGUAAGGUGCCUUAGGUCAAGAUCUUUCACUCAGUGAUGCCGUGGGCGUUGAUGGACUCACUUUAUCUUCCAAGCCUUCCGCUGUUAUCGUUAUUAGAUGGCCUUAAGCCAUAUUUAUUGUAAUAAGUUCUCUCUGGAGACAUUCGAUGUAAUAAGUGUGUGAUUGCUACUCUGUUAUAAAUCCUUCAAGUACUGUGAAUGUCAGCAUUACCGAUGCAGGGAUGACACUGAUGCAUAGAGAUCAGACUGUUUGAGGUCUGGUCGCUACAAUGGGGAACCUCCUAAACCCUCCAUGCUCGUUAUGUUCAAGAUAUUAUGUACUACUUUGAUAAUCCUGAGAAAACCCCAUACAAUUAUGUUAUGGGAAACACGUUGGAUCAACGUGAAUACUUUAGGGAUUAUCGCUUGACACAAAAAGGGAAACUAUUAUGGGAUGAAAUUCAUAUGUUACGUUGGUAUGCUCGUCAACUAUGCUUGAUACAUGAUUAUACUUCCUGCUCUAGGAUGAAGGCUCCACACCUUCCAUUUUCAUGCAAAUUUAAUGAUAAUGAAACCUUAGCUUCUUAUGCUAAUGGUAUCUAUGAUUACUAUGAUGUGGAGCAAAUAGAAGAAUUCAUUGCUUUUGUGGGUGCUUAUGAGAUUGAAUCUAUGUUUAAAGAGUUUGAUGAUUUUGAUGAUUCAGUUUAUAGACCCGAAAAUUUUACUAUAAUUAGAUAUUGUUAUAAGAAUUAUGAAUACAAUUACAAUAUUGAUGCAUUUAUUGAGAAAGUCUCUGCUGUCCAAGAAGAGACUAAUAUUUUGCAGGAAGCUAUGGAAGAAGAAAUUGAUGAAACUGUGAGCUCAUUGGAUGAAAUAGAUGAUGAGGAGAGCGAAGAACAAAAGGAGGAAGAGUGGAUUAGCUACCCAUGCCCACCUUCUAACGAGAGUAACUCUUCAACUCAUACAUUGUUUAAAUUCCCUUCGUGCUUACCGAAGGAUGAUUGCUAUGAUGAUUACUAUGAUGAUUGUUAUGAUCAAGUUGAUUCUCUUGAAAUAUCCCUUUCUGUUGAUGCUUGCUAUGCUUGUGGCCAAGAUGCCAAUAUGAAUUAUGCUUAUGGAGUGAACUUGCUAUAGUACCUUAUGUUGAACAUGAAAUUGUUGUUAUUGCACCCACGCAUGAUAGUCCUAUUAUCUUUUUGAAUUCUCCAACUACACUAUAUCAGAGAAGUUUGUGCUUAUUAAGGAUUAUAUUGAUGGGUUGCCUUUUACCGUUGCACAUGAUGAUUUUGAUAGAUAUAAUAUGCAUGUGCUACAACUCCAACUCCACCUCUCUAUGUUUCCAAUAUGACAGAAUUGCAAGAAACUGCUUAUACUAUGCAUUGGCCUUUAAUUAUUCUUUUAUGACAUGCCGAUGCAUAAGAAGAGAGUUAGACUUUAUUUUUGCAUGACAUAUGUUAGUUUGUGCUCACUACUAAAUUACAAAUCAUUGUUAAUUAAAAUUGGCUUUGAUAUACCUUGGGAUCCGGGUGGAUCCAUUACUUGAGCACUAUAUGCCUAGCUUAAUGGAUUUAAAGAAAGCGCUGCCUGGGAGACAACCCGGAAGUUUUAGAGAGUCAUUUAUUUCUGUUGAGUGCUUUUAUAUAGUCUAAAAACAAACAAAUAAAUAGGGGAACCCAAAACUUUUCAAAAAGGAAAGUGAAAGUGAGAAAGACAAGCACUAUUGAAGUGGGAGAUCUCCUUGAACUUUGUUCAUGCUCACAGAAACUUUGUGAAUCUUAAUUACAGAAACUUUUCAACAAAAAUAAUUAUUCCCUUGUAAAAUUCCAGUGUAUUAUAAAAAUAAUAUGCUAAGGUUUGCCUUUAGGAUGUUUACAAUGCUUGUUGGUUUGUACGGUGCAGGACAGAAACUUUGGCUGUAGUGCGUGAUUUUACAUUUUGUACUGGAACGUCAAACGGUCCUGAUUCUUGUUGCACUGUCUUGCUGUACAAAUUGUUUAUUUUUCCUAAUUUUGGUAAAUUGUUUGAGGUACCAGAUGUAUGGUGAAUGUUCAGAUUGCUAUAGACUGUUCAAUUUUUGACAGAUUCUGUUUUUGAUGCAUAGUUUGCUUGUUUUGAUGAAACUAUCAAGUUCUAUCAGUGGAUUAAGCAUGGAAAAGCUAUAUUAAAGUAGACACAAUGCAAAAACAAAAUAUGAAUUGCUUUGAAACAGUACUUAGAGUAGUGAUUUGCUUUAUUAUACUAACAGAUCUUCCCGGGUUUUCUGUUGAAGUUUUGUGUGGAUGAAGUGUUUGAUCGAGGAAGUUUCAAUAUGAGGAAAAGGAAGAGAGGCAAGAGCUCAAGAUUGGGGAUGCCCAAGGCACCCCAAGUAAAUAUUCAAGGAGACUCAAGCGUCUAAGCUUGGGGAUGCUCUGGAAGGCAUCCCCUCUUUCUUCAAUAAGUAUCAGUAUGUUUUCGUAUUUGUUUCGUUCAUGCGGUAUGUGCAAGUCUUGGAGCGUCUUUUGCAUUUAGUUUUCAUUUUUCUUUUAUGCACCAUGAUGGUAUGAGAUAGUCCUUGGUUGAUUUAUAGAAUUCUCAUUGCACCUCACUUAAAUCUUUUUGAGUAUGGCUUUAUAGAAUGCUUCAUGUGCUUCACUUAUAUCAUUUGAAGUUUGGAUUGCCGUUUCUCUUCACAUAGAAAACCACCAUUUGUAGAAUUUUAUUUUGCUUCACUUAUAUUUGUUAGAGAGUGGGUAUAUCUUUUUUUAGAAAGAAUUAAACUCUCUUGCUUCACUUAUAUCUAUUUAGAGAGAUGAUAGGAAUUGGUCAUUCACAUGGUUAGUCAUAAAAUCCUACAUAAAACUUGUGGAUCACUGAAUAUGAUAUGUUUGAUUCCUUGCAAUAGUUUUGUGAUAUAGUGAUGAUAAUAUGUGGGAGGUACUAGUAGAUGGUUGUGUUUAGUAAGGAUGUUGGUGUUAAGGUUUGUGAUUUCCGAAGCAUGCACGUAUGGUCUACUAAUUAUGUAACCAAAUUGGUGCGCAUUGUAUUUUGAUUGCUUGUCUUUGCGUGAAGGUCGGGGGCGCGCGAUGGUUAACUCCUACCAACCUCCCCCCUAGGAGCAUGCGCAUAGUACUUUGUUUCAAGGGCUAAUAAUUUUUUGCAAUAAGUAUGUGAGUUCUUUAUGACCAAUGUUGAGUCCAUGGAUUAUACGCACUCUCACCCUUCCAUCAUUGCUAGCCUCUUCGGUACCGUGCAUUGCCCUUUCUCACCUCGAGAGUUGGUGCAAACUUCGCCGGUCCAUCCAAACCUCGUGAUACGAUACGCUCUAUCACACAUAAGCCUCCUUAUAUCUUCCUCAAAACAGCCACCAUACCUACCUAUCAUGGCAUUUCCAUAGCCAUUCCGAGAUAUAUUGCCAUGCAACUUUCAUCAUCAUCAUAUACAUGACUUGAGCAUUCAUUGUCAUAUUGCCUUGCAUGAUCGUAAGAUAGCUAGCAUGAUGUUUUCAUGGCUUGUCUGUUUUUUGAUGUCAUUGCUAUGCUAGAUCGUUGCACAUCCCGGUACCCGCUAGAGGCAUUCAUAUAGAGUCAUAUCUUUGUUCCAGUAUCGAGUUGUAAGUAAAUAAAAGUGUGAUGAUCAUGAUUAUAGAGCAUCGCCCCAUGAAAAAAAGAAAAGGCCAAAGAAGCCUAAAUAAAAAAGGGGCCAAAGAAGCCCACCCAAAAAAAAAGAAAAAGAAAAAAAGAAAAAAAGGAAAAAAGAAAAAGAACAGGGACAAUGUUACUAUCCUUUUUCCACACUUGUGCUUCAAAGUAGCACCAUGUUCUUCAUAUAGAGAGUCUCCUAUGUUAUCACUUUCAUAUACUAGUUGGAAUUUUUCAUUAUAGAACUUGGCUUGUAUAUUCCAACGAUGGGCUUCCUCAAAUGCCCUAGGUCUUCAUGAGCAAGCAAGUUGGAUGCACACCCACUUAGUUUCUUUUGUUGAGCUUUCGUACACUUAUAGCUCUUAGUGCAUGAUAUGUCUCCAACAUAUCUAUAAUUUUUGAUUGCUCCAUGCUACUUUAUCUACUGUUUUGGACUAUAUUGGGCUUUAUUUUCCACUUCUAUAUUAUUUUUGGGACUAACCUAUUAACCGGAGGCCCAGCCCAGAAUUGCUGUUUUUUGCCUACUUCAGUGUUUCGAAGAAACGGAAUAUCAAACAGAGUCCAAACGGAAUGAAACCUUCGGGAACGUGAUUUUCUCACCGAACGUGAUCCAGGAGACUUGGACCCUACUCAAAGAAGUAAGAGAGGCGGUCACGAGGGUGGGGGGCGCCCCCCCCCUAGGGCGCGCCCCCCCUAGGGCGCGCCCCCUGCCUCAUGGCCCCCCUGUUGCUCCACCGACGUACUCCUUCCUCCUAUAUAUACCUAUGUAUCCCCAAACAAUCAGAACGGGAGCCAAAAACCUAAUUCCACCGCCGCAACCUUCUGUAUCCAUGAGAUCCCAUCUUGGGGCCUGUUCCGGAGCGCCGUCGGAGGGGGCAUCCACCAUGGAGGGCUUCUACAUCAACACCAUAGCCCCUCCGAUGAAGUGUGAGUAGUUUACUUCAGACCUUCGGGUCCAUAACUAGUAGCUAGAUGGCUUUUUCUCUCUUUUUGGAUCUGAAGACAAUGUUCUCCCCCUCUCUCGUGGAGAUCUAUUCGAUUUAAUCUUCUUUUUGGGGUGUUUUUGUUGAGACCGAUGAAUUGUGGGUUUAUGAUCCAGCUUAUCUAUGAAUAAUAUUUGAAUCUUCUCUGAAUUCUUUUAUGUAUGAUUGAGUUAUCUUUGCAAGUCUCUUUGAAUUAUCCGUUUGGUUUGGCCAACUAGAUUGGUAGUUAUUGCAAUGGGAGAAGUGUUUAGCUUUGGGUUCAAUCUUGCGGUGUCCUUUCCCAGUGACAGAAGGGGCAGCAAGGCACGUAUUGUAUUGUUGCCAUCGAGGAUAACAAGAUGGGGUUUUUUAUCAUAUUGCAUGAAUUUAUCCCUCUACAUCAUGUCAUCUUGCUUAAGGCGUUACUCUGUUUUUAACUUAAUACUCUAGAUGCAUGCUGGAUAGCGGUCGAUGAGUGGAGUAAUAGUAAUAGAUGCAGAAUCGUUUCGAUCUACUUGUCUUGGAUGUGAUGCCUAUAUACAUGAUCAUACCUAGAUAUACCCAUAACUAUGCUCAAUUCUGUCAAUUGCUCAACAAUAAUUUGUUCACCCACCGUAGAAUAUCUAUGCUCUUGAGAGAAGCCACUAGUAAAACCUAUGACCCCCGGGUCUAUUCUCAUCAUAUCAAUCUCUAUUACUUUAUUACUUGCUUUGUUUUUACUUUUCCUUUUACUUUUCACUUUGCAUCUAUAUACCAAAAAUACCAAAAAUAUUAUUUAUCAUCUUUAUCAGAUCUCACUCUCGUAAGUGAUCGUGAAGGGAUUGACAACCCCUAAUCGCGUUGGUUGCGAGGAGCUAUCGUUUUGUGUAGGUACGAGGGACUUGUGCGUGGUCUCCUACUGGAUUGAUACCUUAGUUCUAAAAAACUGAGGGAAAUACUUAUGCUACUUUGCUGCAUCAUCCUCUCCUCUUCGAGGAAAUCCAACGCAGUGCUCAAGAGGUAGCAGUGCAUCCGUUGCAUGACAAUCCCUACUCCUCGCAUUGACAUCAAUUGAUGGGCAUCUCCAUAGCCCUUUGAUUAGCCACGUCAAUGUGAGACUUUCUCCCUUUUUGUCUUCUCCACAUAACCUCCACCAUCAUAUUCUAUUCCACACAUAGUGCUAUAUCCAUGGCUCACGCUCAUGUAUUGCGUGAAAGUUGAAAAGGUUUGAGAAUACUAAAGUAUGAAACAAUUGCUUGGCUGACACCGGGACAAGCAUGAGGGGUACCUUGUGUUUAGAAAAGGGAUCAUACAAGACUAUAUGAUUUUGUAGGGAUAACUUUCUGAAGUAUGGAUAUUUUGAAAGAUAUGAUUGUUUGUUGGGAUGCCCUAAGUAUUAUUGUUUUUAUGUCAAAUGAUAGACUAUUGCUUUGAAUCACUCGUGUCUUAAUAUUCAUGUCAUGAUUAUACUUAUGAUCAAGAUUAUGCUAGGUAGCAUUCCACAUCAAAAAUUAUUAUUUUUAUCAUUUACCUACUCGAGGACGAGCACAAAUUAAGCUUGGGAAUGCUGAUACGUCUCCGUCAUAUCUAUAAUUUUUUAUUGUUCCAUGCCGAUAUUACUCAACUUUCAUAUACUUUGGGCAUCAUCCCAUCCAAGCCCGGUUGCUUCAUUUUUCAACUCCAUGAAUAAAGUAUAGUCACUUUUUAUUGCAUCCCAUUUGUUCUUGAAUUUAUCCUUGGGAUACUUCUUUCCGGUUCUUGCUUCCCAUUUCUCCAAAACAUUCUUCCAACCCUUCUUAUUUAAAUAACUUAUGGGCCUAUUCCCAUUUUCAACCUCUUCUCUGAAUAUAUCUAUGAGUUUCUUCAGAUGUGCAUCAUCCCACACCGCUUUUUCAGUCAUUCUUUAAUCAAGCAAAAUAAUUACAUAGCAAUAGAUCAAUAUAUAUGUUCUAGGAAGGAAUUGUGCAGCAAUACUAUCAUACAAUGAACUAAACAGUACACAAUCAUCCAAUGUACAGGAACAUACAACAAUGUUCAGCUGCAGCAAUACUAGCAAAAAAUCGCCACAAUCAUCCAUUUCAUCACUAACAGAAAUACUUUUGAUAUAGGGAGCAGCUACUUCAAUCGCCACAAUCUCAAUCGCUGCAACAGCACGUGUACAGGAGACGGGAGGGGAAUGGGGAGUGGGGGAAAGGGAGCAGCUACCUUCAAGACUGGAGGGAAGAGGUCGCGGCGGGGAUGUCGGAGACGUCGCCGGCGGCAGCGCGCACGGCGGUGGAGGGCGGCGGCCUUGCUGGUUCCCGCGCGACUUGGAGAGGCGGGGAGGCAGAAGAAGAGCAGCGGAGGAGGGAGGAGGUCGAGGCGGGGAGGCGGAGACGGAGGCGGCGCCGACAGCUUGGCAAGCGGCGGCGGAGGGGCGGCAGCGGCGCUGGCGGCGGCUAGGAACCCUAGCUGCCGCUGGUGUCGAUGGGGAUCGAGCAGAGGAGCUGGUCUCAAUGAGGCGUCCUCUCGUGGGCUGCCCUUGACCAGCCCGAACCGUUUUCCACUUCGGAGUGGCAACGGUGGGUAAAUACAUGCCAACUAGCAGGGGACAGCUAAAAAUACCAGUCCGAAGUUGGGGUAACGCCCGCUCCGAAAUUACACUACGAAAAUCCGGUAGCUUUUACAACUUCUGCUUCUAGUUUUCACCCUUUGGUUAGCUUCUAGCUUUGAAAAGCUAGAAGUUGGCUGAAAAAGCUUAACCAAACACAGCCUUAGCUUUGUUUUUAGAAAUGGAUGCCACCAACCAACACCCAGACCCCUAAGAAACAGUGGUGGUCUGGUGGAGGCCUGGAGGGUCAGAGGAGAGGCAAAGAGGGGACAACCAUAAGCAUUGUUAUACGUUAGUUACUGUACAUUUUUUGGAAAUGAUAAAUCCAGAAUGUUCAUAUUUUGACUAUGGCAAACGCGACGUUUUUAUGGCAAUUUUAGUUGACAAGAGGAUGGCAAUUUUUGUUUACAAGCACGGCAAUUAUCUGGCAAAAAAAUAAACCGAGGGCAAAUUUUGCCAUGCUUGCCAACUAAACUUGCCAUGGUCGCCACAAAAACGUUCGUUUUGCCCUGGCCAAAUCUCGAACAUUUAGAACUUAUUAGUGUCCUUUUUAUUUNNNNNNNNNNNNNNNNNNNNNNNNNNNNNNNNNNNNNNNNNNNNNNNNNNNNNNNNNNNNNNNNNNNNNNNNNNNNNNNNNNNNNNNNNNNNNNNNNNNNNNNNNNNNNNNNNNNNNNNNNNNNNNNNNNNNNNNNNNNNNNNNNNNNNNNNNNNNNNNNNNNNNNNNNNNNNNNNNNNNNNNNNNNNNNNNNNNNNNNNNNNNNNNNNNNNNNNNNNNNNNNNNNNNNNNNNNNNNNNNNNNNNNNNNNNNNNNNNNNNNNNNNNNNNNNNNNNNNNNNUUACUGUGCAACAGUACUGUGUAAAAGAUGUCACUAACGUUUGCUCAAUGGUCUCUUUCAGAUAUAAAUUUUUUUUGACAGUGCACCCUCUGACCCUCAUGCACCUAACAGCCUUGCAUGCUAGAUCUGCAACUUACAUGUUUUACCAAUGCAAACCUGAGCUCCAGUUAUGAGCUUGCAUCAAGGUGAUGUGAGCAAAACUGAAAUUAAACUGGUCGGUUUUCUAAACGGAAUGGAAGUUUGCCCCACUGAAUUCUAAAGUAACAAUAUUGUUUACCCCACUGAAUCCUAAUGCAAGCCUACAGUAAAAUGGUUGAUGGAACUUCCCGCGAAUUUCUAAGCUAAAUAGAGUAACUAUUUGUCUUUUGGUUCAGAAGGUAGACAAACCCCAAAUUCUUGUAAGGAAACUGAGAAAGUAUGUAGACCCAAUGCCAGCAAAAUACUACUACGUCUGUAAACAAAUAUAAGAUGUUUUAGGUCACUGAAGUAGUGGCCUAAAAUGUAUUAUACUCCCUCCGUUCGGAAUUACUCGUCCAAGAAAUUAAUGUAUCUAGAUGUAUUUUAGUUGUAGAUACAUUCAUUUUUAUUCAUUUUUGUGACAAGUAAUUCCGAACGGAGGGAGUAUUAGUUUACAGGCGGAAUAGAAAACAACCAAACACUUGCAGCAACAGGCUAUUAUCAACAAAAUAUAAAUAGAUCUAUCACUGCUGGUGAUCCGACAGUUUGUGAGUAUUAAAAAACAGCUUGCCUGGGGUUUGUCCGAAGUAGGAUUGAAGUAAACAAAGUACAUGGGAGUGACUGAAUGGAACCUUGGCUAACAGUAGAAUCUGAGCCAAGCUGCCUAGCUCCUGUAUUUCAUCUCAUCGUGAUCGUGAUCCCUGAUCAUCACCGUGCUUCGUGUCUUGAUUUCUGUGUAGCGCGUUUAUCUUCUCCCGAGACACCCUGCGCACUGGAGUGAGCAGAAGCAGCACUUAGAGAGAGGUUUGCCUUCAGAAAUAGAUGUCACCCAUAAUGAAGACAAUGGUGCAGGCAGGCUCUCGAUUCUGUAGAGCAGCUGUGGAGUCACAAUGCCAAGUGGAUGAACAAAAAAAAAGGCAGCCGAAAUGGAUGCCACCAAGACACCAAUAACCCUAACCAUCUUCUCCAACAUUAGCAAGCAGAAACAGUGGUGGAGGGGUGAAGGAGAGGCAGAGAGGGGAAGCACAGGCAUUGCAUGCCUUUAUGCGAGUUACUGUGUGGGGUUUGGCAUUUAGUGGUACAAAUUACUACUGUGCAGUAGUAAUGUGUAAAGAUGGUGCUAUGUUGAAAAAUAGUUUUGGAGCUCGGGCGACAGGGAGCUCGGUAUCCCUACCAUCCAGCCUCCUCGUUAUCCAGACUUCUGCUAUAUUGGCAGGCUGUAUAUGGAUGUAUUUAACCCAAUUAGCAAAGUGCAUGGACCCACAUCACGGCCCAGAACUCUGGAAAGGUGGCUCAUAUCCCUGACAUAUUACUCCCUCCGUUCCUAAAUAUAAGUCUUUGUAGAGAUUUUACUAUAAACCACAUACGAAUGUAUAUAGAUGCAUUUUGAAUGUAGAUUCAUUCAUUUUGUUCCGUAUGUAGUCCAUAGUGAAAUCUCUACAAAGACUUACAUUUAGGAACGGAGGAAGUAUUUAAUAGCUACAGAUCAACAACCAUGACCAAGAAAUGUGCCGUGCCACAAAAAUUACCCGAUGCAUUGAGAUGUUGUUUAUUAAGGCUGCAAUUAAAAUUGCCAGUGGCAUUUGGACAGCACAAACUAGCAGAAUAAACGAAAUUAGCAGAGUUCGACAUUUCUCAUGCACAACUUAUUUGGCCAUUACAAAAAUUAUUUUGCACAAAGACACAUGACCUGCACAGGAAGAAGUCCAGUUUCAAAAAUGAUUGUCACUAGAUAAUCUUAUGCAUAGAUAGUUUGCACUUUAGAUGAACAGAUCAUGAUUUUGAAAGAAAAAAUGAUUGGUAAUAAUAUCUUUCUAGGGAGGAGGAUUUACAAGAAAAAAUCAGGCAAGAACCAUGGAGAUAGCUUCCUCCAGAAUACUGAACCAAAAAGUUAAAUUCAAAAACAAGAUACAAAGAUUCAAGUGUCAGAUCUCAUGGCCACAAUAAUAGAGGUUAAAUGCACUCGUGCACAAUCCGUAGUAGACACAUUGCAAGCAUGAAACUAGUAUGAACAUAUCAACCGUUAUGCACAUCAUUCUGAACAAAGAAGUUAAAUUCAAAACCAGUAUGAGGAUUUAAUUCACAGCCACAUAAUACCAUUCAGAUUUCUGGAUACAAGUAUGAAACAUGCAAAUAUGGAUUCUGCAACUCUGUAUUACAUUCCUCCACAAAAAGAACAAUUCAAGUUCAGUAUGUUUAAUUCACACAGAAAAAUAUACAAGAAAACUACAAGAAACCUUUGAUCCAUGAAAACCAUCAAUGUUUUCCUCCUGUCCUGGCGGCUGGAACCCUAGCCGCCGCCAGGAGAGCCCAAUCUUCCAGCACCGUCCUCCAGCGGCUCCUCUCCACCGGCGACCUCGGUCGUCGGUGGUGAGGGGGUCGCCGGAUCCACGUGUGUGGAUCAUUUUUACUCCCUCGUAGUCUAGAUUUUUAGGCUAUUUCAUCGUCUUUGUUUCGGCGGCGACGAUUACAACGCUGAAUAAAGAUUCUUCGGAUCCUUCGUUGACAAGGCCAUCGGUCCUAUGGUUGGGGAUGGAUUUGGAAACCAGUCUGUUCAAGCAAGGAUGGUGUGGCGGUGGCAGCAUCCUCUUGGUGGACCUGUGUCCUCGGGCUCUGCCGUUGCGACGGUGUUUGCUCCAGCGUCAGCACAGAGAUUGGGAGGUAGUCCAGGAGCGGAUGCAGAUUGUGGUCUGCAUCGACGACAUCUGAAAGACAGAACAUGUGCUGGGUUCGUGGUUCAUGGAUGGCAGGUAUGGUUUCCUUCUGCGACGUCUUAGUCGCGGUGGGGUGACAGAUCUGUAGUUCAAUGGCAUGUCCGGGGUGUUGCAUCGGCCUGAUUCGAUCAACGGUAAGGGCUUCACUUUUGGUGAGCCACCUUGGAGGUUUGCAAAGCUGCAUAUCAGCGAUGGAGCCGCGUCAAGCUCGAGUGAUGAGGUGACCCAUCAUUCUUUUCUUCGGUGGUUGCUGUCGUGGUGCCCGAGACAGGUGAAGGGCGUUGAUGUCAAGCUCAGAGAUGUUCUGCUAUCUUUACAGUUUUGUCAUGUCGGUCCUUACGUGACUUGUACUUUAAUCUUUAUGAUAUAAAUGAGACACGUAUUACCAUGCAAAAAAAUGAAAACCAUCAAUCAAUUGUUCUAUUUGAUAGUACAAAAGGCAAAAGAACUCAUGAAUAGAAACCAACAACAUAUGACUGAUAUGGGGAUUCAAGAUUGGAAAAGAACCAGGCCAAAUUAGCAACAGUACAGCCUGGAUUUGAACGAAGACCACCUCGCCGAGAGACGAGAGCUGCAGGUAGUGGUGGAUCGCUGCAACCGACGGCCAUGUCUUCACUUCUCCAUUGGUGAAGUGGUUCUUUCCACAGGUCAACAUAAGUUUAUCCACAAGUUAAACUACUAAUAAGAAUUUGCUAUUACUGAUUGGUUGUCUCUCAAACUUACAUUUGUUCAGCACAAAUCUUUACCAUGCUCUAUUCCCACUACAUUCAAAAUCUCUCACCCCCAUUAUAUGCACAAUCCAGACAAGUCUGAAUCGAUUAAACACAACUACCAGCACAAUUAACAAUAUUUAGCUUUUGGCCAGAAAUAGUCGAACCGGACAUUUACCUGAAGCAGUCUUUAGCCAAAUUAACAAAAAAAAAAUCCUUUCCGUUGAGAACUACAUCAGAUUGGCCAAAAAGUUUUGGUUCAUUAUAACAUAAAUCAUUGAACAAAUAACCCAAUGAUCUCUUGUGGCAAGAAAUAAUCAAAUGUUGAUUUUUAGUGUGCAUUUUUUUCAUUUAAUUUUUUAGGGUACAUUAUUUUCAACAACAAUUCUCGCAAAAAAGAAUGCUUAAUUUCACACAAAGAACUGUUUCAAAAUCUGGGCACAUGAAAGAUCAAGGUUCAUGAAUGGAUAAGCACAUGUGCCACACUCCAAUGAACUUAAUGAACCAAAGAAGCAUAAACAAAGAAGAAAUCACUACUUGCAUGGAGAAUCAGUAUAGUUUCCUUUCUGUCAGCCUUGGAAAAAUUGCAACAGAGAAAUCAGGAGAACUCUGUCCUCCACAAAAAAAUUGAGUUCCACAAUCAAUCAAUUGAGUUCAGUAUGUGUUACUUUACGCAGAGAAAAAACAUAGAGAAUUACUAGAAACCUGUGUUCCAUGAAAACAAUCAAUCAAUUGGUUUUAUUUGCUAGUACAAAAGGCAAAGGAUCCAUAGAUAGAAAUCAACUACGUCUAACUGAUAUGGGAAUUGAAGAUUAGAAAAGAACCAUGCCUAAUUAGCAACAGUACAACCUGAAUCUGGAUGAUGACUACCUCACCGAGAGAUGGCAGCUGCAGAUAAUGGUGGAUUGCUGCAGCCGGCGGCGAUGCCAUCAAUUCUCCACCGACUCCUCAUGCGAGAUAUGCAACAGAUGUCACGGGCGCCCUCAGAUCUGGCCGGGAGCACCUCCCAUCUUCUCCAUGUUACCACCUAUCGAGAGAUCUGCACCUUGCCGUCGCACGUCAGAGCUACACCGCACGAGAACGUCACCUCGUCGUCGUCGUCAUCGCCGUCCGCGUCGGUAGGCACCUCGUGGGCAGAGACGGGGAGAGGGGCGGCGGCGGCGACAGGAAUGAGCAAGUUAAAAGGCACCUCCGUAGAUGAGUGUGGACGUUCUGGACGCAGCGGCAUCUGCGCGUAGCGAAAAUGCUAAACCUACGAAAGACUAUACGUAAGGUUACGAAACUUUCCAAACUAAUCUAAACACCCCCCUGAUUUUUAGGGGGUGGGCCCCUCACUCCCCUAAACACCAAUCCUAUUGUUCCACGUUGGCUGAUACGUAAACUUAAGUAGCUCCUUUACGUAAGUGUAGCAUUGCUCCUGCGCGCAGAUAUCUGGCCGCAGGCUGCGUCGAGAUGAUGUGCGCAUUAAUAAUCGGGGAAUGACAAAGGGAAGCAUACAUCGUCAUAUACAAAGGAAUACUGUGGCCGCGCUGCCUAUGUAGGGCUCGUUCCGUGCGGUACGUGUAUGACUUAAGCACCAGGCAUGCAAUACCGUACUGUUUUUACCACGUGGGCCCAAUUUGGUUUUCUAGAUGUGUGUGAUGUGUUGGAUCUAAACGCCAACGCUGAGUUUUCCUCUCGUCCCUGGCGGCUGGAACCCUAGCCGCCGCCAGGGGAGGCCGGUCUUCCAACGCCGCUCUCCGGCGGCUCCCCUCCGCCGGCGCCCUCGGUCGUCGGUGGUGAGGUGGGGUUGCCGGAUCCACGCGUGUGGAUCGUUUUUACUCUCUCGUAGUCUAGGUUUUUAGGUUGUUCAUCGUCUUUGCUUCGGCGGUGACGAUGACAACGCUGAAUAAAGAUUUUUCGGAUUCUUUCCUAACGAGGCCAUCGGUUCUAUUGUUGGGGAUGGAUUUGGAAACCAGUCUGUUCAAGCAAGGAUGGUGUGGCGGUGGCGGCAUCCUCGUGGUGGACCUGUGUCCUCGAGCUCCACCGUUACGACGGCGUUUGCUCCAGCGUCGGCGCGAAGCUUGGGAGGUAGUCCAGGAGCAGAUGCAGAUUGUGGUCUACAUCGACGACAUCUGGAAGACGGAGCAUGUGCUGGGCUCGUGGUUCGUGGAUGGCAGAUAUGGUUUCCUCCUUCGGCGUUUUAGUCGUGGUGGGAUGCUAGAUCUGGAGUUGGAUGGCGUGUCCGGAGUGUUGCCCUGGUCUGAUUCGUUCAACGGUAAGGGCUUCACUUUUGGUGAGCCACCUUGGAGGUCCGCAAAGCUGCAUAUCAGCGAUGGAGCCGCGUCGAGCUCGGGUGAGAAGGUGAUUCGUCAUUUUUUUUUCGGUGGCUACUGUGGUGGUGCCGGAGGCAGGUGACGUGCGUUGGUGUCAAGCUCAAAGAUGUUCUGCUAUCUUUUCAGUUUUGUCAUGUCGGUCUUUACGUGACUUGUACUUUGUUCUUUAUGGAAAAAAAAAUGAAACUCCAUGGGCACUAGCACCCACGGUUUUAUUGAUAUAGAAGAAGCAUCCCUCAUGAGAAUUCCAGAAAUUCGUCCCCGACGUGGAUCGAACUCUGGUCGUUAGGUUUACAAUCAUGCGCCCCCAACCACUGGGCUAUGCCCACGUCAAUAAGACACGUAUUACCUUGCAAAAAAAAAGAUGUGUGUGAUGUGCCGGACCUGCUUGAUGAUCCCGUCUGGAUUGCUGGUUCUCCGUGCUGCAUUCUCUUUCUGUUCAUGAUGACCGGAGUUGAUUCAAAGCCUGUGUCUUGCUGGGCCCCGUUCUUGAUGAACUUCUCCGCCCAUCGAUUUGAUUCAAAGCCUGUCCGUCGACAUGUGCCGUGGGGUUAGGCAAAGUGUGGGGAGGUAGUGAGAGCGUGGCAAGAGAUGUCAUCGAGAUCUUACCUUGCUGUGCGCCAGAGCCUGCCUGCGGCGUCGCCGGGAGAGAUCGGGAAACCUUCGAUGUGGUUUGCAAUGGAGCUUGUUUCAUCUACAGCGUUGUGGGGGGUGUACUGCAUUAAAUAUGUGCGCAGCUAGACGGGUGGGGUGGUUGGCUUUAACACAUCCGCGUGUGAAAGCUCCAGUGCAUGGCCACUUGCAUGGACGCCAGUGCACGGCUAGCUCUGCACGCGUCGGUGAUUGAAGCAUGCGUUAGAGCAUACUGUCAGCCUGGAGCUUGUCCUUGUUUGAGUCAGAGUGUGUCUCUAAAUACGCAUAUAUGUUGCGGCAUGAAGUCCAGUGCCAACAUACAAUCUGAGUAGCACGUUAACUUGUGUGAAUCGUGAAGGUCCUCUCGCCGUAGAUGCCGCGAGUGCAGAUGCCGCUGCGUCAAGACCUGCGUUUCUCCUCCGUAGAUGGGCCAAGGCACACACGACUCGAUCCAUGUUGAUCUCCAGUGACCAGCGUAGAAGGGCCAAGGACUAUUGUAUUCGGUUGCGUAUUCGAAAGAAAAAGGUUUUUCGCUCAGAUCCCAAUUGGCACGAAGGAUCGAGAUAGCGAGCUCGCUGUCGCUGGAGCUCUCUGGGUUAUAAUAGCCAUACACAAAUACUUCCACCAUUUGCUCAUAGCCAUAGGUUCCUUUCAGAUACAAAAGAAUUUGACAGCGCACCCUCUCAUGCACCUAACAACCAUGCAUGCCAGAACCUAUUGCGUUCCAAUAAUGAUUAGAUAUACCAAAAAGCUUGUAUCAAUGACCCGCAAAAGAAACAAAAAACUUGUAUCAAUGUGACUGGUCGAUUUUCAAAACGGAACGGAAAUUUACCCUGCUGAAUUCUGCAGUCACAAUGCUGUUGCAGCUUGAUCGUUUUUUCCAGAAAACCACAAAUGCAAGCCUGGAAAACAAUGUUGGACCAAAUCUCCCACGUCAGUCUUGAAAGUUGAAACCUGCGUGAAGUCAGAUUGAAUUGAUAAGGAACUAAACGCUCAAUUGCAUAGUGGUCAGCAGUGAAGAAAUAAGUAAACAGACAGUAACAUAUGUUUUAGUCUUUCAAUUCAGAAAGUAUACAACCCCCAAUUUCAUGCAAGGAAACUAAGAAAGUACAGAGAUCCAAUGCCAAUAAAAUACUAAUGCACAGACUGGGAUCCGAUCUUCAUUUCUGAUACUUUUAAGCAGAAUUUUUGGCCUUGACUUCGUUGUGUUGUGGAACUAAAAGUCAAAGUUGCCUACUGUUCCAGUCUUCUGAACUUACAAUGCUGGUGGCGACACUGAUUCUAUGUUUGGUUGCGAGUGAGAGAACUUCCCGAGUACAAAAAGCACGGGUGCAAUUUCCUUGACACAUUGGAAUCCACGGGGUAUAAUCCCAUCACCAUUUGGUGCCUCAGGUGUUAGUGCCCCUGACGAGCAGGACGCACUGGACAGCCACCACACCAACACAACAGCUGCCCAGCGGCCCACACAAGUCAAGCGGCCCAGCCAACGCACCCAUGGGCCGGAGUGGGUCAACUGAACCCGCCCGCACGGCUAGUUCUAGGAGGGGCGCACGAGGCCACAGACAUCCAGUGGAUCAAGGACGAACCGGUGGCUACCUACUUUCCCCUUCCACGAACCCUAGUUCUUCCUCUGUUCUUCUUCCCAUUCGAGAGUCACGCUCCUGUAAUCGAUCUUGUACUAGCUAGUACCUCAGAGAGCAACAAUAGAUCGAUCUUCCUACUCUGUAGCUAACAUCUGGUAUCAGAGACCAACCACCACCCAUCUCCGUUUCGCUCUGGCAAAUCUCAUCGAGACAAGAGGCUUGCGGCACGCGCGCGAAGCCAUGGAUCCGAGCGUCUCCGCCUUCUUCUCCCGUUUUGAAACUAAGAUCGAGGCCGCCCCGUUUUGAAACUAAGAUCGAGGCCGCCAUCGACGGCCUGACCAAGGCCCAGCUAUCUACGGCGACGAAGAUUCACGAUCUGCUCUCCUGGCGUCCCAAUCUCGAGCGCCAAGUCGCGGAUCUGGGCGACGCGGUCACCGCACUGCAACGUGCGCAAGCGCCUCCACUAGCCCGACCUGACGCGGAUCCGGUGCCGAAGGGUGCUGACGCGGUGAUUCAUCCCCAACGGCCCGAUGGCCACGGCGAAUUCCAGAUCAAACGGGGGCCAUCGACGGCGUCCCUUACGCCGCCGCCGCCGCUCCCGGCUAAUGGUACGACCAUGAUUCCCAUCUCUCCAGUUUUGUUGUCCCCAUUCUGGCAUGCCAGCCAGAUGCUCAUUGGUCUUGGCCAAGCGCACCCCUCCAUUUCCUUCCCACAGUUCUCGGGCGAGAAUCCUAACCUAUGGAAAACCCUGUGAGCAGUAUUUUUCCAUGUUUGGAAUUGUGCCUUCAUUUUGGGUUCCUAUGGCAUCUCUGAAUUUCUCCGGGCCAGCAGCAAUAUGGCUGCAGUCCAUCCAACGCCAUCUAGGUUAGUUCGAUUGGGACUCAUUCACAGUGUUGCUCUGCACGUGAUUCGGCCGUGAUCGUCAUCAAACUCUCAUUUGCCAGUUCUAUGUUGUUCGCCAAACCACCACUGUGGCAGAUUAUAUUGAGAGAUUCGAGUCUAUCAUCAAUCAUUUGAAUUCAUACUCUGAAACAAUUCAUCCUUACUACUUUCUCACACAUUUUGUCGAGGGCCUAAGAAAGGACAUCAGGGCGGUCGUUAUGGUGCAACGACCCCUUGAUCUGGACACGGUGUGUGCGCUCACGCAACUCUAGGAGGAGGUAGCGGAUGGAGCUCGAGGACACCCACCACGACCACCCGACGCGCCUCAAGGUGUUGGGGAACGUAGUAAUUUCAAAAAAAUUCCUACACACACGCAAGAUCAUGGUGAUGCAUAGCAAUGAGAGGGGAGAGUGUUGUCCACGUACCCUCGUAAAUCGUAAGCGGAAGCGUUAUGACAACGCGGUUGAUGUAGUCGUACGUCUUCACGGUCGACCGAUCCAAGUACUGAACGUACGACACCUCCACGAUCUGCACAUGUUCAGCUCGGUGACGUCCCACGAACUCACGAUCCAGUAGAGCUUCGAGGGAGAGUUCCAUCAGCACGACGGUGUGAUGACGGUGUUGAUGAAGUUACCGAUGCAGGGCUUCGCCUAAGCAAUGCUACGAUAUGACCGAGGUGGAUUAUGGUGGAGGGGGGCACCGCACACGGCUAAAGAUCAAUGAUCAACUUGUGUCUCUUGGGUUGCCCCCUGCCCCCGUAUAUAAAGGAGCUAGGGGGAAGGCGGCUGGCCAGGAGGAGGGCGUGCUAAGGGGGGAGUCCUACUCCCACCGGGACUAGGACUCCUCCUUUCCUAUAGUAGGAGUAGGAGAAGGGGGGAGGAGGAGAGAGGGGGGAAGGAAAGGGGGCGCCGGCCCCCCCUCCUUGUCCAAUUCGGACUAGAGGGGGAGGGGGCGCGCGGCCCUGCCUUGGCCGCCCCUCCUCUUCUCCACUAAGGCCCAUAAGGCCCACUAUACUCCCCGGGGGGUUCCGGUAACCCCCCGGUACUCUGGUAUAUGCCCAAACUUGCCCAGAACACUUCUGAAGUCUAAAUAUAGUCAUCCAAUAUAUCGAGUUUUAUGUCUCGACCAUUUUGAGACUCCUCGUCAUGUCCGUGAUCAUAUCCGGGACUCCGAACUACCUUCAGUACAUCAAAACACAUAAACUCAUAAUACCGAUCGUCACCAAAUGUUAAGCGUGCGGACCCUACGGGUUCGAGAACUAUGUAGACAUGACCGAGACACGUCUCCGGUGAAUAACCAAUAGCGAAACCUGAAUGCUCAUAUUGGCUCCUACAUAUUCUAUGAAGAUCUUUAUCGGUCAAACCGCAUAACAACAUACGUUGUUCCCUUUGUCAUCGGUAUGUUACUUGCCCGAGAUUCGACCAUCGGUAUCUCAAUACCUAGCUCAAUCUCGUUACCGGCAAGUCUCUUUACUUGUUCCGUAAUACAUCAUCCCGCAACUAAAUCAUUAGUCCCAUUGCAUGCAAGGGUUAUAGUGAUGUGCAUUACUGAGAGGACCCAGAGAUACCUCUCCGACAAUCGGAGUGACAAAUCCUAAUCUUGAUCUAUGCCAACUCAACAAGUACCAUCGGAGACACCUGUAGAGCACCUUUAUAAUCACCCAGUUACGUUGUGACGUUUGGUAGCUGAUACGUCUCCGUCGUAUAUAUAAUUUUUGAUUGUUCCAUGCCAAUAUUAUUCAACUUUCAUAUACUUUUGGCAAGUUUUUAUAUUAUUUUUGGGACUAACAUAUUGAUCCAGUGCCCAGUGCCAGUUCCUGUCUAUUCCAUGUUUUAUGUUUCGGAGAAACCCCAUAUCAAACAGAGUCCAAACGGGAUAAAAACAGACGGAGACUUAUUUUGGAAUAUUUGUUAUCUUUGGGAAGUAAAAUCAAUGCGAGACGGUGCCCAAGGUGGCAACGAGAUAGGGGCCCACGCCCACUCCAGGUGGGCACGCCUCCCACCCUCUUGGGCCCCUCGUAAGGUGGUUGAUGCCCUUCUUUGGCCGCCAGAAAGCUAAUUUUCGGAAAAAGAUCUUGGCGAAGGUUUCAAUCCGAUCGGAGUUACGGAUCUCCGGAUAUAAAAGAAACGGUGCCAGGGCAGAAUCCCGGAACACAGAAACAGAGAGAGACAGAGAGGCAGAUCCAAUCUCGGAGGGGAUCUCACCCCUCCCAUGCCAUGGGAGCCAAGGACCAGAGGGGAAACCCUUCUCCCAUCUAGGGAGGAGGUCAAGGAACAAGAAGAAUAAGAAGGGGGGCUCUCUCCCCCUUGCUUCCGGUGGCGCCGGAGCGCUGUCGGGGGCCAUCAUCAUCACUGCGAUCUUCACCAACACCUCCAUCAUCUUCAUCAACAUCUCCAUCACCUUCCCCCUUCUAUAUUCAGCGGUCCACUCUCCCGCAACCCGCUGUACCCUCUACUUGAACAUGGUUCUUUAUGCUUCAUAUUAUUAUCCAAUGAUGUGUUGCUAUCCUAUGAUGUCUGAGUAGAUUUUCAUUGUCCUACCGGUGAUUGAUGAAUUGCUAUGAUUGAUUUGAGUCGCAUGUUUUAUUAUUGGUGCUGUCCUAUGGUGCCCUCCGUGUCGCGCAAGUGUGAGGGAUCCCCGCUGUAGGGUUUGCAAUAUGUUCAUGAUUUGCUUAUGGUGGGUGGCGUGUGUGACAGAAGCACGGACCCGAGUAAGUAGGUUGUUUGCGUAUGGGAUAAAGGGGAUUUGAUGCUUUAAUGCUAUGGUUGGGUUUUACCUUAAUGAUCUUUAGUAGUUGCGGAUGCUUGCUAGAGUUCCAAUCAUAAGUGCAUAUGAUCCAAGAAGAGAAAGUAUGUUAGCUUAUGCCUCUCCCUCAAAUAGAAUUGCAAACCGGUCUAGUAACAUAGUCAAUUGCUUAGGGACAAUUCCGCAACUCCUACUACCACUUUUCCACACUCGCUAUAUUUACUUUAUUGCUUCUUUAUCUAAACAGCCCCUACUUUUUAUUUACGUGUUCUUUAUUAUCUUGCAAACUUAUCCUAUCACACCUACAAAGUACUUCUAGUUUCAUACUUAUUCUAGGUAAAGCGAACACUAAGCGUGCGUAGAGUCAUAUCAGUGGCAGAUAGGACUUGAGAGAGUAUUUGUUCUACCUUUAGCUCCUCAUUGGGUUUGACACUCUUACUUAUCAAAAGAGGCUACAAUUAUCCCCUACACUGUGGGUUAUCAAGACCUUUUUCUAGUGCCGUUGCCGGGGAGUCAUAGCGUGGGGUGAACAUUCUCAUGUGUGCUUGUUUGCUUUAUCACUAAGUAAUUUAUAUUUGCUGUUCUAAGUUGUUCUUUAUCUUUAGUUAUGGAUAUGGAACACGAAAUACCAAAAAAAUUAGGUGUAGUUGCUACUCAUGGAGAUGGGAGUAACAUCCCAAAUUUUGAAUUUGGAAUUUUAUACAUUAGAUCAUCAUUGUAUAUCAUAUUUUAUUGCAUUUUGGCUUGAUCCUAGAAAUUCCAUGCAACUCAAGGACCCACGGAGAGAGCUGGGAAUUUCAUUAUUUCAUAUUUGAGUUUUUCUCAAAUUUUGAAAAGAGGAUCAUUUGAUUUUAAUUAUUUUAUCUUCGAAUAUUUCUAUUAUAACAAUAAGAGAGAGAGAAUAAAAUGACUUUUCCAAAAAUAAAGAAAUAUUGGGAAUUUAAUAAUAAAAUCAAAUAAGAUUUUAUUUCGGAGUUUUAUCGCUAUUUUAUUUGAGUUAGGAAAAAUACGUGUUUUUCAAAAUUGCAUUUUAGGCCCAAAUAAAUGUUCAUCUUGUCCGCUUAUUUUUAGAGGACGGGGAAAAUUUAUUUCGGGAUUUUUGGAUUCAGUUUAGUAUUUAUUUUCUUUCUUUUUUGCAUGUCAUAAUUAUUUUAAAAAAAGGAACCGAGCUCAUCGGUUCAUCGGUUUUUUGGAUUCAGUUUAGUAUUUAUUUUCUUUCAUCGGUUCAUCGGUUUUUCUCGGUUUAGUUAUUUAGCGGACGUUCAUCAGAAUGUUCGUUUUAACGAAUGGUUUUCUUCAUUUAGCCGCAGACAGCGAACGUUCGUUUGUUAGCCUGUUCGUCAGUUUUUCUUUUUCUCGGAUUUUUCGUGAUUAUUUCCUAUCGCGAUUUGUGAUCCGAUUUUCGUUCUAGUAUAACUUUUCGCUUGUUUAUCGGAAUCAGGCAAUUCAAGCGCCUUGAGUUUCGUCUCGAAACCCUCUUUCCGUUUAACCAACUCAAACAAGUUUUUACUACUGUAAAAUUUGACUUAGGUCUAGAUUAGUAAAUGAAGCUUGUUUCUUUCGCCGUUUGAGUUUCGUUGCUUCUUUUGAUUUGAUUCUUUUUGCAAACCGGAGUCCUUAUGUUGAACUUUCUGGUUAGAUAUGUUAUUUGAGUUUUACCCGUGCAUUAGAUGAGUACUUAUUGGAUGGUUGUUUGUUUGUGAUAGAGUACACGGAGUGCGCCGCUUGGUACUACGAGUCUCUAGGUUUCACGGAUCAUCAGCAAGGCAAGUAACACUUUGAUCAUACCUCUUUACUACCCAGUUUUAUUGCAUUAUAUCAAUCCUCAAACAAUUGCAUGAUUGGGAUCUGAUUAAUAUGCGGGUUUGGGGAAGUAGACGAGGUACUUCCUAUUACAUGUUUAUUAUCAAACCUUUGGGAGUUACUUCUACGUUUGCUUAUACUGCUAUGCUAUGCUAGUAGACAUGGAUUGGGUGAGUGUAUCCGUGACAGAUGUGAGAUUGCUAAUUAAUGGUUUACUUAAGGUGGCAACUUUAAUACACAUCUGGGUGGAUUGAGGCACCUGGGGAACCCAGCGUUGCGUGUAUUUUUUGGAAAUCCUGGGGCACCGUGUGAUUCUCCUAUGGACCGUGAUACGUCUCCAACGUAUCUGUAAUUUUUGAUUGCUCCAUGCUACUUUAUCUACUGUUUUAGGCAAUAUUGGGCUUUAUUAUCCACUUUUAUAUUAUUUUUGGGACUAACCUAUUAACCGGAGGCCCAGCCCAGAUUUGCUGUUUUAUGCCUAUUUGAGUGUUUCCAGGAAAAGGAAUAUCAGACGCAGUCAAAACAGAACGAAAUCAACUAGAGAAGUUAAUUUUGGAAGGAAACCAACCAGAUGGGCUUGGAGUGCACGCCAGGGGAGUCCCAGGCUGCCCACGAGGGUGGAGGGCGCGCCCCCUACCUCGUGAGCCACCCGGAGGUCCAUCGACGUACCCCCUGCACCCAUAUAUACCUAUGUACCCUAAAACUUCCAGAACAGAAAAUAGAUCGGGAGUUCCGCCGCUACAAGCCUCUAUAGCCACCAAAAACCAAUCGGGACCCUGUUCCGGCACCCUGCCGGAGGGGGAUCCCAUCACCGGAGGCCAUCUUCAUCAUCCCGGCGCUAUCCAUGACGAGGAGGGAGUAGUUCACCCUCGGGGCUGAGGGUAUGUACCAGUAGCUAUGUGUUUGAUCUCUCUCUCUCUCUCUCUCUCGUGUUCUCUCUCGUGUUCCUCUAUGGCACGAUCUUGAUGUAUCCCGAGCUUUGGUAUUGUAGUUGGGUCUUAUGAUGUUUCUCCCCCUCUACUCUCUUGUGAUGAAUUGAGUUUCCCCUUUGAAGUUAUCUUAUCGGAUUGAGUCUUUUAUGAGAACACUUGAUGUAUGUCUUGCCGUGAUUAUCUGUGGUGACAAUGGGAUAUCAUGUGCCACUUGAUGUAUGUUUUGGUGAUCAACUUGCGGGUUUCGUGACAUUGGGAACCUAUGCAUAGGGGUUGGCACACGUUCUUGACUCUCCGGUAGUAGCUUUGGGGCACUCUUUGAAGUACUUUUAUGUUGGUUGGAUGAAUCUGAGAUUGUGUGAUGCAUAUCGUAUAAUCAUGCCCACGGAUACUUGAGGUGACAAUGGAGUAUCUAGGUGACAUUAGGGUUUUGGUUGAUUUGUGUCUUAAGGUAUUAUUCUAGUACGAACUCUUCUAUAGAUCGAUCCGAACGAAUAACUUUGUGGUGGUUUCGUACCCGACCAUAAUCUCUACGUUUGUUCUGCGCUAUUAGUGGCUUUGGAGUGACUCCUUGUUGCAUGUUGAGGGCUUGUCAUAUGUUCUAUCUAUGUUAUUAUUAUUGAGAGAACUUGCACUAGCGAAAGUAUGAACCCUAGGCCUUGUUUCCUAUCAUUGCAAUACCGUUUACGCUCACAUUUAUCACUUGUUACCUUGCUGUUUUUAUUAUUUCAGAUUACAAAAACCUAGAUCUACUCUCUAUUUUACACUUUUAUCACCAUCUCUUCGCCGAACUAGUGCACCCAUACAAUUUACCAUUGUAUUGGGUGUGUUGGGGACACAAGAGACCCUUUGUUAUUUGGUUGCAGGGUUGUUUGAGAGAGACCAUCUUCAUCCUACGCCUCCUACGGAUUGAUAAACCUUAGGUCAUCCACUUGAGGGAAAUUUGCUACUGUCCUACAAACUUGUGCACUUGCAGGCCCAACAACGUCUACAAGAAGAAGGUUGUGUAGUAGACAUCAAGCUCUUUUCUGGCGCCGUUGCCGGGGAGGCUAGGUAAAGGGCGCUAACUCACACCCCGUCAACUAAGCUCUUUUCUGGCGCCGUUGCCGGGGAGGUUAGCGCUUGAAGGUAUAUCUUUAGAUCUUGCAAUCGAAUCUUUUUGUUUCUUGUUUUAGCACUAGUCUAGUUUAUAAAAGAAAACUACAAAAAAAUGGAGUUGAGUUUGUCUCUAGCAUAGUUGAGUAUGUUGUGUGACCUCUUUUAGUGGUAGACUAGCAGAUGUAGGGGAUGUAGGUUGGUACUGUCUACCCAGAGUAAAGAGUUAAUGCUUCUGAAAGACUGUGUCUCGGUCAUCCGUUUCUCAAACACCAUAUAGUGCGAGAAAUCCAACGGAGCAGAUCGAGUCUUGCGGGCAAAAGUGCGCAAACCUCUGCAGAGUGUAUAAACUAAUCAUGGUUAGCCGUGUCCUCGGUUAUGGACGUUUUGAGUAUCUAGUACUUGGAUUAUCAUGUGAAUCUCAUCAUGUUACUUAAUUUAAUUUGAUUGGGUCAAUGAUGAUGCUUAAUUGGGAUUGAGUUGGAGGAACCUUCUCUAUGUUUAACAACCACCAUGAUAGUUAAAUAAAAUUUAUUCCUUUGUUGUAGGGGAAAAUUGGCUUUAUGCACAACUGUAACCAUAGAGCUUUCCACCAGCCAUAUAUGCAUGUAGUGAUAGCAUUAUUCUGUUCAUUACUCUCUAUGUGUUACAUUGCCAGCAUAUUCCAUGUGCUGACCCAUUUUCGGGCUGCAAUGUUCAUGUUGCAGACUUUUCAGACGACGAGUAAGGUGCCUUAGGUCGUGAUCUUUCACUCACUGAUGCCGUUGGAGUUGAUGGACUCACUUUAUUUUCCAAGCCUUCCGCUGUUAUCAUUAUUAGAUGGCCUUAAGCCAUAUUUAUUGUAAUAAGUUCUCUCUGGAGACAUUCAUUGUAAUAAGUGUGUGAUUGCUGCUGUGUUAUAAAUCCUUCAAGUACUAUGCGUGUUAGCAUUACCGAUCCAGGGAUGACACUGAUGCACAGAGAUCAGACUGUUUGAGUUCUGGUCGCUACAAGAUGGUAUCAGAGAACACGCUGACUGUAGGACACGACCACUAACCUAAAGCCCUAGAUUACUACUCUCUUCUCAUUUCUGACUCCUCACCUUUUCUACUCUUUUAGGAUGGCGGAUGCAAGGAAAAAGUUCGCGCAACCGGAUGAAGAUACACCCUUUGGACGUCACUUGACGGAAGUCACUAGAUAUCUGAACAUCAGAGUACCAAGCUUCACCGAGACCUACAUCGCCACUUUACCAGAAGAGGAGCGUUGGAUGAUUCAAGUUCAAGUUCCAGGAAGGACGUUCAUGCCCGUCACUGAGCCCAUAGAGUUUUCCUUUGAUGCACCAACCUGGAGUCUAGGAAAGAGCAUGACAGCCCACAUCACCAUGGGAUGCAUUGGAGAAGUUUACCAUAAUGAUGUCAAGGAUACUAUCUACCAGAUUUGUGUGCACCGAGAUGAGCACCAGGAAGGAUAGAUCCAUUGCAGCUUUCAUCCAGGAGUUAAACCAGCACAUUCGCCACCAGGAGAACUAGAUGUGUGCAGGCGUGAUAGAUUUGAAGAAGGCAAUGACCAAGAUCAUGGAGAUGGAGGAAGAACUCAAGUCUACACGCGAUGGAUAUGAGGAGGAAAUGACGACACUCCUGGAGAAGAAUGAUGAUCUGAAGAAGAAGCUAAAAGUAUUCAUGGGAUUCCCCGCGCCAAGAGGAGAUGACGACGAUUGCACUUGCCCGGAGAACUACAUCAUCAUCGAUGACACCGACUCAGACCCUGACGAUAGCGAUGAUGACUUUUUUGAUGAAGCUGGAGCAGAUAUCAUGGAGUCUUCGACCGAUCCAUUUUCUAGAUGACCACCAUAACAGUAGUAGUAUUUCCCCCAUGUAUAUAGUAUAGUCCGAGAACUUUUGUAACGAUAGUUAGAUCGUUGUAUGCCCUUGUUUGAAAUGAUUGAAGUGAUAUGAUUGUGUUUGUCUCAUGUGCAUAUGGGUAGUGUCUUUUUCUCUCUAGACCUCAUUCUAUUCUGUAUUCUCAUCUUUUCUCAACCCUCAGAUGCCUCCGAGACGUGACAAUGGAUUUGCUUUCCCACCGGAGCUCACUUAGUUGAUCCAGCAGCGGAAUGCAUUGAUGCAGAUGCUAGUCCAGAAUCAGAAUCACGGGAACAACAACAACAACAACCCACCACCACCACCACCUGUUGAUCACUUAGCCCGUUUCUUGAGGCUGAAUCCGCCGGUGUUCUCCAGUAGCACCGAGCCAAUAGUUGCAGAUGAUUGGCUCCGCAAUAUGGGAAGGGAGUUGACCACUGCAAGAUGCAAAGAUGCGGAGAAGGUGCAUUUUGCCGCACAUCAGCUUGAUGGACCCGCAGCAUCAUGGUGGGAGAAUUUCACAGCCACUUAUCCCAUCGACACUGUCACAUGGGACCAGUUUUAACAGGCUUUCCGUACUGCCCAUGUUUCAGCAAGAGCUAUGGCCAUGAAGAAGUGUGAGUUUCACAACUUGCGCCAAGGAGGAUAUACAGUUGGCCAGUAUGUGGAUGACUUUAGUAAGCUAGCACGUUAUGCCCCAGAUGACGUUGCUACGGAUGCAGCUAAGCAGGAGAAGUUUCUAGAAGGACUGAAUGAUGAGUUGAGCAUGCAGUUGAUGGUGGCAACCUUCAACAACUACCAGGAGUUGGUGGAUAGAUCUCUCAUGAUUGAAGGGAAGCAGCAACAUAUUGACAGCCGCAAGAGGAAGUAUGGACAAGGGAAGUACAAUUCUGGAGCUCAGCAGAAACCUCGUUUUACCCCGAACUCGGGAGGACCUUUUCAGCAUACCCAUGGAGGUCACAACCACAAUGGAGGGAGUUCGCACAACCAUAGUGGCCCCAAGAAUGGCAAUGGGAAUGGAGGAAGCAAUGGUCAGAACCGUACCAACCCAUAAACACCAGCCAAGAGGGAUCUAAGCCACAUUACCCGUUUCAAGUGCCAGAAGACUGGACAUUAUGCCACUGAAUGUCCUGAAGCUAAGAAUGGAAAUGGCAAUGGAAGCUCUGGGAAGAAGCCGAACCCUUUCAACAGGGGACAGGUGAACCAUGUUAACGUGGAGGAGGUUGAAGCGUAGCCAGAUGCAGUAAUAGGUAAGUUUUUGGUUGUCAUUUACUGCAAUCGUUCUUUUUUAUGCUGGUGCAUCGCAUUAAUACAUAUCAAGGGGAUUUGUGGAUAAGUAUAAACUACCAACCCAAGCCUUUAGGUCACCCAUGUUAGUAACCUUGCCAGGAGCAUAGUAUAUGGCUAGUCUAUGGUGUGAUCGGUUACCAUUAAGGAUUGGUAACUAUGUGUUCCCCUCAGACCUAAUAGUAUUGGAGUUGCAAGGACUGGAUGUGAUAUUAGGCAUGGAUUGGUUAUCAAAGUAUGCAGGGAACAUAGAAUGCGCCAGUAAGUCAAUCUUGCUUACCACCCCAGAAGGAAGAAGGAUCAAGUAUGUAUCCCGGCAUGUGCUGAAGAGGACUCAAGUAAAUUCCUUAUCCAGAGUUGUACAGGAAGAAGUACCAGUGGUGAAGGAUUUCCCUGACGUAUUUCUAGAAGAGUUGCUAGGCAUGCCACCGGAUAGAGACAUUGUGUUUUUGAUUGAGCUUUUGCCAGGCACAGGGCCGAUAUCUAAGAGACCGUACAGGAUGCCCGCAAAGGAUUUGGAGGAAAUCAAGAAGCAUAUUAAGGAGUUACUGGAUAAAGGCUAUAUUCUCCCAAGUUCGUCACCUUGGGGAUCACCGGUGCUUCUAGUGGAGAAGAAGGAUGGAUCAUUGAGGAUGGUUGUUGAUUAUCGAGGAUUGAAUGAAGUGACAAUCAAGAACAAGUACCCACUGCCGAUGAUCAAUGAUUUGUUUGACCAGUUACAAGGAGCUAAGGUAUUUUCCAAGAUCGAUUUGCGAUCAGGAUACCACCAGUUGAAGAUUCGAGAGCAUGAUAUACCUAAGACGGCUUUUACCACUAGGUACGGGUUGUAUGAGUAUACCAUUAUGUCAUUUGGUCUGACUAAUGCACCUGCCUAUUUCAUGAACAUGAUGAACAAGGUGUUUAUGGAGUUUCUGGAUAAGUUCGUAGUGGUGUUCAUUCAUGAUAUUCUGGUCUACUCAAAGAAUGAAGAGGAGCAUAAGGAGCAUUUGCGUUCGCUACUUGGGAAGCUCAGAGAACAUCAGCUAUAUGCCAAGUUCAGCACGUGUGAGUUUUGGUUGAAGGAAGUUGGAUUCCUCGGACAUGUUUUAUCCGGAGAAGGAAUAGCAGUACACCCCACCAAAGUUGUCACUGUGACUAAUUGGGAAGCACCCACGUCAGUUGGAGAGAUCCGGAGUUUUCUCGGACUUGCAGGAUACUACAGGAGGUUCAUUGAGAAUUUCUCGAAGAUUGCAAAGCCCAUGACGGAGUUGUUGAAGGGCACGAAGUUCAAAUGGACUGAGGAAUGUGAGGCCAGUUUUUAGGAGUUGAAGAAAUGUUUGGUUACAUCACCGGUGUUGAUUCUGCCAGAUCAGCGCAAGGAUUAUGAAGUAUAUUGCGACGCUUCUCGUCGAGGACUUGGAGCAGUGCUUAUGUAGGAGGGAAGAGUUGUUUCAUAUGCCUCACGACAACUUAAGCCCCAUGAGUUGAAUUAUGCCACACAUGAUUUGGAAUUAGCAGCCGUAGUGCAUGCAUUGAAGACAUGGAGACAUUUUCUUAUCGGAAACCAUUGCGAGGUGUAUACGGAUCACAAGAGUUUGAAGUACAUCUUCACGCAGAAGGAGUUGAAUCUCAGGCAAAGGAGAUGGUUGGAGCUCAUUAAGGAUUAUGAUAUGAGAUUGCAUUAUCACCCCGAAAAGGCUAACAUAGUAGCCGAUGUGUUGAGCCGCAAGAGCCAUGUCAACACACUCUUGACCGGAGAAUUACCAAAGGAGUUAGUCGAGGAUCUUCGCGAGCUAUGUUUGGAGAUAGUUCCGAGAGGCUAUGUAGCAGCAUUGGAGAUUCAGUCUACUUUGAUGGAUAAGAUCAGAGAAGUUCAGAAGACAGACAAGGAGAUUGCCGAGAUAAAGGAGAAGAUGGGCAAAGGAAAAGCUAAGGGAUUUUGUAAGGAUGAGCACGAUACCUUAUGGUUUGAGGACCGCGUUUAUGCCUAAUGACCCGGAGAUAAGGAAGUUGAUUCUACAAGAGCCCAUGAUUCACCGUAUUCGAUUCACCCAGGAAAUACCAAGAUGUAUCUGGAUUUCAAGGACACUUUCUGGUGGACCGGAAUGAAGAAGGAUAUUGCGGAGUAUGUAGCAGUUUGUGAUGUAUGUCAGAGAGUGAAGGCAGAGCAUCAGAAGCCAGCAGGAUUGCUACAGCCAUUGCCGAUACCCGAAUGAAAGUGGGAUAAUCUAGGCAUGGAUUUUAUCACGGGAUUGCCCAGGACAUGUUCAGGCUAUGACUCGAUAUGGGUUGUAGUCGAUCGGUUGACGAAGGUAGCUCAUUUCAUCCCAGUGAAGACCACUUACACAAGUGCUAAGUUGGCAAAGAUAUACAUGACCAGGAUCGUAUGUCUGCAUGGAGUUCCGAGGACCAUUGUAUCAGAUAGAGGAACCCAGUUUACCUCAAAGUUCUGGGAUCAGUUGCACGAAACUUUGGGUACCAGGCUAGAGUUCAAUAUAGCCUUUCAUCCACAAACAGAUGGACAGACCGAGAGAGUCAAUCAGAUUCUGGAGGACAUGCUGAGAGCUUGUGCACUAGAUUAUGGAUCUAGUUGGGACGACAAUUUGCCAUAUGGAGAGUUCUCUUACAACAACAGUUAUCAAUCCAGUUUGAAGAUGGCGCCUUUCGAAGCCUUGUACAGAAGGAGGUGCAGGACAUCGUUGUUGUGGGAUGAAGUUGGAGACCGUCAGUUGUUUGGACCGGAUUUGAUUAAAGAGUCUGAAAAGAAGGUUAAUCUAAUUCACGAUAUGCUAAAGGUAGCCCAGUCUAGGCAAAAGAGCUAUACAGAUUCUAAACGCAAGGAGACAGUUUACAAAGUCGGAGACGGAGUUUAUCUUCGUGUGUCCCCACUUCGAGGAGUUAAGAAUUUUGGAGUUAAGGGAAAGUUAGCGCCACGUUUUGUGGGACCAUACAAAGUGUUGGAGCGUAUGGGAGAAGUUGCUUACAAGUUGGAAUUACCCGAAGGAUUGUCAGGAGUUCAUGAUGUGUUCCAUGUUUCCCAGUUGAAGUCCAUGUAGAGAUGGACGAUAUCCCUCUGAGAGAUACAGUACCACUAGAAGCGAUUCAGUUGGAUAGCGAUUUGACCUAUGAGGAGAAAACAGUCAAGAUUCUGGAGUUUUCUAGCUGAGUCACACGCAGCAAUGUUAUCAAGUUUUGCAAAGUUCAGUGGAGCCACCGUACCAAGGAUGAAGCCACCUAGGAGUAAGAGGAAGAUCUACUAAAGGACCACCCUCACCUAUUUUCUAGUCAACCCGAAUCUCGAGGGCGAGAUUCAUCUUAAGGGGUUAGGUUUGUAACAUCCCAAAAUUUUCAAUUUAGAAUGUUAUACAAUAGAUCAUCAUUGAAUAUCAUAUUUUAUUGCAUUUUGGCUUGAUCCUAGAAAUUCCAUGCAACUCAAGGACCCACGGAGAGAGCUGGGAAUUUCGUUAUUUCAUAUUUGAGUUUUUCUCAAAUUUUGAAAAGAGGAUCAUUUGAUUUUAACUAUUUUAUCUUCGAAUAUUUCUAUUAUAAAAAUAAGAGAGAGGGAAUAAAAUGACUUUCCCAAAAAUAAAGAAAUAUUGGGGAUUUAACAAUAAAAUCAAAUAAGAUUUUAUUUCGGAGUUUUAUUGCUAUUUUAUUUGAAUUAGGAAAAAUAUGCGUUUUUCAAGUUUGCAUUUUAGGCCCAAAUAAAUGUUCAUCUUGUAUGACUUAUUUUUAGAGGACGGGAAAAUUUUAUUUCAGGAUUUUUGGAGUCCGUUUAGUAUUUCUUUUUUUUUCUGCAUGUCGUAAUUAUUUAAAAAAAAGGAACUGACUUCGGGCCGUACCCGAGCGGGACUCCACCCGGGGGGAUUUAUAAGUAGCCACCCCAGCGCUACUUAAGGUGGAUUGGGUGAGUAUAUCCAUGACAGAUGUGAGAUUGUUAAUUAAUGGUUUACUUAAGGUGGCAACUUUAAUACACAUCUCGAUGGAUUGAGGCACCUGGGGAACCCAGUGUUGCCUAUAGUUUUUGGAAAUUCCGGGGUACCGUGUGAUUCUCCUAUGGACCGCCACCCAGGCUCAAAGGGAUCAUGAGAUUUUUCAUGCUAGAAACUUCCGUGUGCAGCCGCAAGCUACUAUGUACUCUAGCAUAGUUGAGUAUGUUGUGUGACCUCUUUCAGUGGUAGACUAGUAGAUGUAGGGGAUGUAGGUUGGUACUGUCUACCAGACUAAAGAGUUAAUGAUUCUGAAAGACUGUGUCUCGGUCAUCCAUUUCUCAAACACCGUGUAGUGUGAGAAAUCCAACGGAGUAGAUCAAGUCUUGCAGGGAAAAGUGCGCAAACCUCUGCAGAGUGUAUAAACUAAUCAUGGUUAGUCGUGUCCCCGGUUAUGUAUGUUUUGAGUAUCUAGUACUUGGAUUGUCAUGUGAAUUCAUCAUGUUACUUAAUUUAAUUUGAUUGGGUUAAUGAUGAUGCUUAAUUGGGAUUGAGUUGGAGGAACCUUCUCAAUGUUUAACAACCACGAUGGUAGUUAAAUAAAAUUUAUUCCUUUGUUGUAGGGAAAAAUUGGCUUUAUGCAAAACUGUAACCAUAGAGCUUUCCACCGGCCAUAUAUGCAUGCACUACGGGAAACAAUUAAUUUGCCCUCAGGGAACGCCUUUGCCGUCAGCUUUUCAUCGGGCAGACAACAAAGAAAUGGUUUGCCGUCAUUAGUAGAUGGCAAAGAAACACUGACGGUAAAAUAGACUUUGCCGUCUGCGGAAAAAAACACAGACAACAAAGAGCUCACUUUUGCCGCCUGCAAACAGAAACAUAGACGGCAAAAUACUUUGCCGUCUUCGUUUAUUUCUACAGAUGAAAAAAUGUGCACUUUGCCAUCUGUAAAAAAAAAUAAAGACAACGAAGAACUUUGCCGUCUGUAAAAAUAAAAUGAAGACGGCAAAGAGAAAGCACAUCACGCGGAUCAACUACGCGGAUUGAUGACAUGGCAUCGAUCCAACACCACCCGCUGCUCCUAUGCACGAUCCACACCAUCCAUCACCCCACCUGCCCACCAAUAUGCACAACGCCCCACCACCCCCACCUGCCACACACGGACGCAGUCCACACCCACCCACGUGUUGCAUGUCUCCCUUAUCCUCUCAUACACGCACAAGAUUCACAUCCACCCACGCACACACAUGCCACCAGCCCACCACCCACCCAUGCCCACGAUGCGGAUGUUGACCGGCUGGACGGCGAGCGGCGCAGAUGGCGACUGGCGCCAGGGAGGGCGGCGGCCGGCGACUAGCGCAAGGAAGCGCGGCGCGGGAGCAUGGCUUGGCGGCGGCACGGGCUAGGGAAGCGGCGGCCGAACCGGUGCGGGGCUUGGCUGCGGCGGCCAUGACGGAGCGUGGCUGGGCGCCGGCACGGCGAGCAGGGCAUGGCGGCCGCGGGAUCCUCUUCCUCCAUCUUGCCGCGGACCUCCCCUCCUCUGCGCUCACGCUCGACGGCCUCGUCGACAUCGCCUAUGGACGGGGCGGCGGCCGCGUCGGUGCGUGGCUUCGAUGCGGCGGCCGCGGCAGAGCACGGCUGUGCGCGGGCACGGCGAGUAGGGCACAGCGGCCGUGGGAUCCUCUUCCCGCAUCUUGCCGCGGACCUCCCCUCCUCUGCGCUCACGCUCGACGGCCUCGUCAACAUCGCCUAUGGACGGGUUGUGGCCAUGUCAGGGGAACGGAGCCCUCCACCUCCCCGGCCCCUUGUGCACUGGUGGCGCGGACCUCAACCUCCCCGGUGGCGCGGAGUCAACCACCUCCCGGCGGCGCGUGCGCUGCAAGGGCCAUUUGCCCAGUUCGUCAAAUAGAGUGGUCUUUUGUACAAGUUGAUGAAAUAGAGCUUGUUUGUUCGAUGGAUGAGUGUGUGCUGAUGGAUAUGUACUGUAAAUAGACUAGUUCUGUCAUGUAAAAUACGUUCCUUUGUCAUCGACUCUUAUACUGGUUGAUGCGAAAUUGCUAGGAAAGAUUUUGCCUACGCCUUCUACCAUGUUUGGCCUCUGCACCAACACUGUGGUCCAUAUUUUUUUAAAAUAAUAAAAACUUCUUUGCCGUCUCGGAUAUAUGGGGCUGACGGCGAAGGCUAGUCUAGCUGACGGCAAAGGCAUAGUCCAGCUGAAGGCAAAGAUGGUUUCUUUGCUGUAUGCUAUUACUGGGCUUGACGGCAAAGACAGAGUUGGCUGACGGCAAAGUCUUUGCCGUCUUCAUGACGAAAAGCUGACAGCAAAGUAUACUUUGCCGAUUUAUCUUUGCCGUCUGAGUUUGCCGUCUGCUUCCUGACGGCAAAAUGUUUGCCGUCUAGAUUUAGGUCUUUGCCGUCUGGGAUUCACAGACGGCAAAUUACCUGUUUCCUGUAGUGAUAUAGUGAUAGCAUUAUUCUGUUCAUUACUCUCUAUGUGUUACAUUGCCAGCAUAUUCCAUGUGCUGGCCCGUUUUCGGGCAACAACGUUCAUGUUGCAGACUUUUUAGACGACGGGUAUGGUGCCUUAGGUCAAGAUCUUUCACUCAGUGAUGCUGUGGGAGUUGAUGGACUCACUUUAUCUUCCAAGCCUUCCGCUGUUAUCGUUAUUAGAUGGCCUUAAGCCAUAUUUAUUGUAAUAAGUUCUCUAUGGAGACAUUCGAUAUAAUAAGUGUGUGAUUGCUACUCUGUUAUAAAUCCUUCAAGUACUGUGAGUGUCAGCAUUACCGAUGCAGGGAUGACACUGAUGCACAGAGAUCAGACUGUUUGAGGUCUGGUCGCUACAAUGGGGAACCUCCUAAAACCCUCCAUGCUCGUUAUGUUCAAGAUAUUAUGUACUACUUUGAUAAUCCUGAGAAAACCCCAUACAAUUAUGUUAUGGGAGACACGUUGGAUCAACGUGAAUACUUUAGGGAUUAUCACUUGACACAAAAAGGGAAACUAUUAUGGGAUGAAAUUCAUAUGUUACGUUGGUAUGCUCGUCAACUAUGCUUGAUACAUGAUUAUACUUGCUGCUCUAGGAUGAAGGCUCCACACCUUCCGUUUUCAUGCAAAUUUAAUGAUAAUGAAACCUUAGCUUCUUAUGCUAAUGGUAUCUAUGAUUACUAUGAUGUGGAGCAAAUAGAAGAAUUCAUUGCUUUUGUGGGUGCUUAUGAGAUUGAAUCUAUGUUUAAAGAGUUUGAUGAUUUUGAUGAUUCAGUUUAUAGACCCGAAAAUUUUACUAUAAUUAGAUAUUGUUAUAAGAAUUAUGAAUACAAUUACAAUAUUGAUGCAUUUAUUGAGAAAGUCUCUGCUGUCCAAGAAGAGACUAAUAUUUUGCAGGAAGCUAUGGAAGAAUAAAUUGAUGGAACUGUGAGCUCAUUGGAUGAAAUAGAUGAUGAGGAGAGCGAAGAACAAAAGGAGGAAGAGUGGAUUAGCUACCCAUGCCCACGUUUUAAUGAGAGUAACUCUUCAACUCAUACAUUGUUUAAAUUCCCUUCGUGCUUACCGAAGGAUGAUUGCUAUGAUGAUUACUAUGAUGAUUGUUAUGAUCAAGUUGAUUCUCUUGAAAUAUCCCUUUCUGUUGAUGCUUGCUAUGCUUGUGGCCAAGAUGCCAAUAUGAAUUAUGCUUAUGGAGUGAACUUGCUAUAGUUUCUUAUGUUGAACAUGAAAUGGUUGUUAUUGCACCCACGCAUGAUAGUCCUAUUAUCUUUUUGAAUUCUCCAACUACACUAUAUCGGAGAAGUUUGUGCUUAUUAAGGAUUAUAUUGAUGGGUUGCCUUUUACCAUUGCACAUGAUGAUUUUGAUAGAUAUAAUAUGCAUGUGCUGCAACUCCAACUCCACCUCUCUAUGUUUCCAAUAUGAUAGAAUUGCAAGAAACUGCUUAUACUAUGCAUUGGCCUUUAAUUAUUCUUUUAUGACAUGCCGAUGCAUAAGAAGAGAGAUAGACUUUAUUUUUGCAUGACAUAUGUUAUUUUGUGCUCACAACUAAAUUACAAAUCAUUGUUAAUUAAAAUUGGCUUUGAUAUACCUUGGGAUCCGGGUGGAUCCAUUACUUGAGCACUAUAUGCCUAGCUUAAUGGCUUUAAAGAAAGCGCUGCCUGGGAGACAACCCGGAAGUUUUAGAGAGUCAUUUAUUUCUGUUGAGUGCUUUUAUAUAGUCUAAAAACAAACAAAUAAAUAGGGGAACCCAAAACUUUUCAAAAAGGAAAGUGAAAGUGAGAAAGACAAACACUAUUGAAGUGGGAGAUCUCCUUGAACUUUGUUCAUGCUCACAGAAACUUUGUGAAUCUUAAUUACAGAAACUUUUCAACAAAAAUAAUUAUUCCCUUGUAAAAUUCCAGUGUAUUAUAAAAAUAAUGUGCUAAGGUUUGCCUUUAGGAUGUUUACAAUGCUUGUUGGUUUGUACGGUGCAGGACAGAAACUUUGGCUGUAGUGCGUGAUUUUACAUUUUGUACUGGAACGUCAAACGGUCCUGAUUCUUGUUGCACUGUCUUGCUGUACAAAUUGUUUAUUUUUCCUAAUUUUGGUAAAUUGUUUGAGGUACCAGAAGUAUGGUGAAUGUUCAGAUUGCUAUAGACUGUUCGAUUUUUGACAGAUUCUGUUUUUGAUGCAUAGUUUGCUUGUUUUGAUGAAACUAUCAAUUUCUAUCAGUGGAUUAAGCAUGGAAAAGCUAUAUUAAAGUAGACACAAUGCAAAAACAAAAUAUGAAUUGCUUUGAAACAGUACUUAGAGUAGUGAUUUGCUUUAUUAUACUAACGGAUCUUACCGGGUUUUCUGUUGAAGUUUUGUGUGGAUGAAGUGUUUGAUCGAGGAACUUUCAAUAUGAGGAAAAGGAAGAGAGGCAAGAGCUCAAGAUUGGGGAUGCCCAAGGCACCCCAAGUAAAUAUUCAAGGAGACUCAAGCGUCUAAGCUUGGGGAUGGGGGAUGCUCCGGAAGGCAUCCCCUCUUUCUUCAACAAGUAUCGGUAUGUUUUCGUAUUCGUUUCGUUCAUGCGGUAUGUGCAAGUCUUGGAGCGUCUUUUGCAUUUAGUUUUCAUUUUUAUUUUAUGCACCAUGCUGGUAUGAGAUAGUCCUUGGUUGAUUUAUAGAAUUCUCAUUGCACCUCACUUAAAUCUUUUUGAGUAUGGCUUUAUAGAAUGCUUCAUGUGCUUCACUUAUAUCAUUUGAAAUUUGGAUUGCCGUUUCUCUUCACAUAGAAAACCACCAUUUGUAGAAUUUUCUUUUGCUUCACUUAUAUUUGUUAGAGCGUGGGCAUAUCUUUUUUUCGAAAGAAUUAAACUCUCUUGCUUCACUUAUAUCUAUUUAGAGAGAUGAUAGGAAUUGGUCAUUCACAUGGUUAGUCAUAAAAUCCUACAUAAAACUUGUGGAUCAUUGAAUAUGAUAUGUUUGAUUCCUUGCAAUAGUUUUGUGAUAUAGUGAUGAUAAUAUGUGGGAGGUACUAGUAGAUGGUUGUGUUUAGUAAGGAUGUUGGUGUUAAGGUUUGUGAUUCCCGAAGCAUGCACGUAUGGUCUACUAAUUAUGUAACUAAAUUGGUGCGCAUUGUAUUUUGAUUGCUUGUCUUUGCAUGAAGGUCGGGGGCGCGCGAUGGUUAACUCCUACCAACCUCCCCCCUAGGAGCAUGCACAUAGUACUUUGUUUCAAGGGCUAAUAAUUUUUUGCAAUAAGUAUGUGAGUUCUUUAUGACCAAUGUUGAGUCCAUGGAUUAUACGCACUCUCACCCUUCCAUCAUUGCUAGCCUCUUCGGUACCGUGCAUUGCCCUUUCUCACCUCGAGAGUUGGUGAAAACUUCGCCGGUCCAGCCAAACCUCGUGAUAUGAUACGCUCUAUCACACAUAAGCCUCCUUAUAUCUUCCUCAAAACAGCCACCAUACCUACCUAUCAUGGCAUUUCCAUAGCCAUUCCGAGAUAUAUUGCCAUGCAACUUUCAUCAUCAUCAUAUACAUGACUUGAGCAUUCAUUGUCAUAUUGCCUUGCAUGAUCGUAAGAUAGCUAGCAUGAUGUUUUCAUGGCUUGUCUGUUUUUUGAUGUCAUUGCUAUGCUAGAUCGUUGCACAUCCCGGUACCCGCUAGAGGCAUUCAUAUAGAGUCAUAUCUUUGUUCCAGUAUCGAGUUGUAAGUAAAUAAAAGUGUGAUGAUCAUGAUUAUAGAGCAUCGCCCCAUGAAAAAAAGAAAAGGCCAAAGAAGCCUAAAUAAAAAAGGGGGCCAAAGAAGCCCACCCAAAAAAAAGAAAAAGAAAAAAAGAAAAAAAGGAAAAAAGAAAAAGAACAGGGACAAUGUUACUAUCCUUUUUCCACACUUGUGCUUCAAAGUAGCACCAUGUUCUUCAUAUAGAGAGUCUCCUAUGUUAUCACUUUCAUAUACUAGUGGGAAUUUUUCAUUAUAGAACUUGGCUUGUUUAUUCCAACGAUGGGCUUCCUCAAAUGCCCUAGGUCUUCAUGAGCAAGCAAGUUGGAUGCACACCCACUUAGUUUCUUUUGUUGAGCUUUCAUACACUUAUAGCUCUUAGUGCAUGAUAUGUCUCCAACGUAUCUAUAAUUUUUGAUUGCUCCAUGCUACUUUAUCUACUGUUUUGGACUAUAUUGGGCUUUAUUUUCCACUUCUAUAUUAUUUUUGGGACUAACCUAUUAACCGGAGGCCCAGCCCAGAAUUGCUGUAUUUUGCCUACUUCAAUGUUUCGAAGAAACGGAAUAUCAAACGGAGUCCAAACGGAAUGAAACCUUCGGGAACGUGAUUUUCUCACCGAACGUGAUCCAGGAGAGUUGGACCCUACUCCAAGAAGUAACAGAGGCGGUCACGAGGGUGGGGGGCGCACCCCCCCUAGGGCGCGCCCCCCUAGGGCGCGCCCCCUGCCUCGUGGCCCCCCUGUUGCUCCACCGACGUACUCCUUCCUCCUAUAUAUACCUAUGUAUCCCCAAACAAUCAGAACGGGAGCCAAAAACCUAAUUCCACCACCGCAACCUUCUGUAUCCAUGAGACCCCAUCUUGGGGCCUGUUCCGGAGCGCCGUCGGAGGGGGCAUCCACCAUGGAGCCCCUCCGAUGAAGUGUGAGUAGUUUACUUCAGACCUUCGGGUCCAUAGCUAGUAGCUAGAUGGCUUUUUCUCUCUUUUUGGAUCUGAAGACAAUGUUCUCCCCCUCUCUCAUGGAGAUCUAUUCGAUUUAAUCUUCUUUUUGGGGUGUUUUUGUUGAGACCGAUGAAUUGUGGGUUUAUGAUCCAGCUUAUCUAUGAAUAAUAUUCGAAUCUUCUCUGAAUUCUUUUAUGUAUGAUUGAGUUAUCUUUGCAAGUCUCUUCGAAUUAUCCGUUUGGUUUGGCCAACUAGAUUGGUAGUUAUUGCAAUGGGAGAAGUGUUUAGCUUUGGGUUCAAUCUUGCGGUGUCCUUUCCCAGUGACAGAAGGGGCAGCAAGGCACGUAUUGUAUUGUUGCCAUCGAGGAUAACAAGAUGGGGUUUUUAUCAUAUUGCAUGAAUUUAUCCCUCUACAUCAUGUCAUCUUGCUUAAGGCGUUACUCUGUUUUUAACUUAAUACUCUAGAUGCAUGCUGGAUAGCGGUCGAUGAGUGGAGUAAUAGUAAUAGAUGCAGAAUCGUUUCGAUCUACUUGUCUUGGAUGUGAUGCCUAUAUACAUGAUCAUACCUAGAUAUACCCAUAACUAUGCUCAAUUCUGUCAAUUGCUCAACAAUAAUUUGUUCACCCACCGUAGAAUAUCUAUGCUCUUGAGAGAAGCCACUAGUAAAACCUAUGACCCCCGGGUCUAUUCUCAUCAUAUCAAUCUCUAUUACUUUAUUACUUGCUUUGUUUUUACUUUUCCUUUUACUUUUCACUUUGCAUCUAUAUACCAAAAAUACCAAAAAUAUUAUUUAUCAUCUUUAUCAGAUCUCACUCUCGUAAGUGACCGUGAAGGGAUUGACAACCCCUAAUCGCGUUGGUUGGGAGGAGCUAUCGUUUUGUGUAGGUACGAGGGACUUGUGCGUGGUCUCCUACUGGAUUGAUACCUUAGUUCUAAAAAACUAAGGGAAAUACUUACGCUACUUUGCUGCAUCAUCCUCUCCUCUUCGAGGAAAUCCAACGCAGUGCUCAAGAGGUAGCAGUGCAUCCGUUGCAUGACAAUCCCUACUCCUCGCAUUGACAUCAAUUGAUGGGCAUCUCCAUAGCCCUUUGAUUAGCCACGUCAAUGUGAGACUUUCUCCCUUUUUGUCUUCUCCACAUAACCUCCACCAUCAUAUUCUAUUCCACCCAUAGUGCUAUAUCCAUGGCUCACGCUCAUGUAUUGCGUGAAAGUUGAAAAGGUUUGAGAAUACUAAAGUAUGAAACAAUUGCUUGGCUGACACCGGGACAAGCAUGAGGGGUACCUUGUGUUUAGAAAAGGGAGCAUACAAGACUAUAUGAUUUUGUAGGGAUAACUUUCUGAAGUAUGGAUAUUUUGAAAGAUAUGAUUGUUUGUUGGGAUGCCCUAAGUAUUAUUGUUUUUAUGUCAAAUGAUAGACUAUUGCUUUGAAUCACUCGUGUCUUAAUAUUCAUGCCAUGAUUAUACUUAUGAUCAAGAUUAUGCUACGUAGCAUUCCACAUCAAAAAUUAUUAUUUUUAUCAUUUACCUACUCGAGGACGAGCACAAAUUAAGCUUGGGGAUGCUGAUACGUCUCCGUCAUAUCUAUAAUUUUUUAUUGUUCCAUGCCGAUAUUACUCAACUUUCAUAUACUUUGGGCAUCAUCCCAUCCAAGCCCGGUUGCUUCAUUUUUCAACUCCAUGAAUAAAGUAUAGUCACUUUUUAUUGCAUCCCAUUUGUUCUUGAAUUUAUCCUUGGGAUACUUCUUUCCCGUUCUUGCUUCCCAUUUCUCCAAAACAUUCUUCCAACCCUUCUUAUUUAAAUAACUUAUGGGCCUAUUCUCAUUUUCAUCCUCUUCUCUGAAUAUAUCUAUGAUUUUCUUCAGAUGUGCAUCAUCCCACACCGCUUUUUCAGUCAUUCUUCAAUCAAGCAAAAUAAUUACAUAGCAAUAGAUCAAUAUAUAUGUUCUAGGAAGGAAUUGUGCAGCAAUACUAUCAUACAAUGAACUAAACAGUACACAAUCAUCCAAUGUACAGGAACAUACAACAAUGUUCAGCUGCAGCAAUACUAGCAAAAAAUCGCCACAAUCAUCCAUUUCAUCACUAACAGAAAUACUUUUGAUAUAGGGAGCAGCUACUUCAAUCGCCACAAUCUCAAUCGCUGCAACAGCACGUGUACAGGAGACAGGAGGGGAAUGGGGAGUGCGGGAAAGGGAGCAGCUACCUUCAAGACUGGAGGGAAGAGGUCGCGGCGGGGAUGUCGGAGACGUCGCCGGCGGUAGCGCGCACGGCGGUGGAGGGGGGCGGCCUUGCUGGUUCCCGCGCGACUUGGAGAGGCGGGGAGGCAGAAGAAGAGCAUCGGAGGAGGGAGGAGGUCGAGGCGGGGAGGCGGAGGCGGAGGCGGCGCCAACAGCUUGGCAAGCGGCGGUGGAGGGGCGGCAGCGGCGCUGGCGGCGGCUAGGAACCCUAGCUGCCGCUGGUGUCGAUGGGGAUCGAGCAGAGGAGCUGGUCUCAAUGAGGCGUCCUCUCGUGGGCUGCCCUUGACCAGCCCGAACCGUUUUCCACUUCGGAGUGGCAACGGUGGGUAAAUACAUGCCAACUAGCAGGGGACAGCUAAAAAUACCAGUCCGAAGUUGGGGUAACGCCCGCUCCGAAAUUACACUACGAAAAUCUGGUAGCUUUUACAACUUCUGCUUCUAGUUUUCACCCUUUGGUUAGCUUCUAGCUUUGAAAAGCUAGAAGUUGGCUGAAAAAGCUUAACCAAACACAGCCUUAGCUUUGUUUUUAGAAAUGGAUGCCACCAACCAACACCCAGACCCCUAAGAAACAGUGGUGGUCUGGUGGAGGCCUGGAGGGUCAGAGGAGAGGCAAAGAGGGGACAACCAUAAGCAUUGUUAUACGUUAGUUACUGUACAUUUUUUGGAAAUGAUAAAUCCAGAAUGUUCAUAUUUUGACUAUGGCAAACGCGACGUUUUUAUGGCAAUUUUAGUUGACAUGAGGAUGGCAAUUUUUGUUUACAAGCACGGCAAUUAUCUGGCAAAAAAAUAAACCGAGGGCAAAUUUUGCCAUGCUUGCCAACUAAACUUGCCAUGGUCGCCACAAAAACGUCCGUUUUGCCCUGGCCAAAUCUCGAACAUUUAGAACUUAUGAGUGUCCUUUUUAUUUUCUUUUUUUGAGGGAGGGGGGGCGGGGUUGUUACUGUGCAACAGUACUGUGUAAAAGAUGUCACUAACGUUUGCUCAACGGUCUCUUUCAGAUAUAAAUUUUUUUUGACAGUGCACCCUCUGACCCUCAUGCACCUAACAGCCUUGCAUGCUAGAUCUGCAACUUACAUGUUUUACCAAUGCAAACCUGAGCUCCAGUUAUGAGCUUGCAUCAAGGUGAUGUGAGCAAAACUGAAAUUAAACUGGUCGGUUUUCUAAACGGAAUGGAAGUUUGCCCCACUGAAUUCUAAAGUAACAAUAUUGUUUACCCACUGAAUCCUAAUGCAAGCCUACAGUAAAAUGGUUGAUGGAACUUCCCGCGAAUUUCUAAGCUAAAUAGAGUAACUAUUUGUCUUUUGGUUCAGAAGGUAGACAAACCCCAAAUUCUUGUAAGGAAACUGAGAAAGUAUGUGGACCCAAUGCCAGCAAAAUACUACUACGUCUGUAAACAAAUAUAAGAUGUUUUAGGUCACUGAAGUAGUGGCCUAAAAUGUAUUAUACUCCCUCCGUUCGGAAUUACUCGUCCAAGAAAUGAAUGUAUCUAUAUGUAUUUUAGUUGUAGAUACAUUCAUUUUUAUUCAUUUUUGUGACAAGCAAUUCCGAACGGAGGGAGUAUUAGUUUACAGACGGAAUAGAAAACAACCAAACACUUGCAGCAACAGGCUAUUAUCAACAAAAUAUAAAUAGAUCUAUCACUGCUGGUGAUCCGACAGUUUGUGAGUAUUAAAAAACAGCUUGCCUGGGGUUUGUCCGAAGUAGGAUUGAAGUAAACAAAGUACAUGGGAGUGACUGAAUGGAACCUUGGCUAACAGUAGAAUCUGAGCCAAGCUGCCUAGCUCCUGUAUUUCAUCUCAUCGUGAUCGUGAUCCCUGAUCAUCACCGUGCUUCGUGUCUUGAUUUCUGUGUAGCGCGUUUAUCUUCUCCCGAGACACCCUGCGCACUGGAGUGAGCAGAAGCAGCACUUAGAGAGAGCUUUGCCUUCAGAAAUAGAUGUCACCCAUAAUGAAGACAAUGGUGCAGGCAGGCUCUCGAUUCUGUAGAGCAGCUGUGGAGUCACAAUGCCAAGUGGAUGAACAAAAAAAAAAAGGCAGCCGAAAUGGAUGCCACCAAGACACGAAUAACCCUAACCAUCUUCUCCAACAUUAGCAAGCAGAAACAGUGGUGGAGGGGUGAAGGAGAGGCAGAGAGGGGAAGCACAGGCAUUGCAUGCCUUUAUGCGAGUUACUGUGUGGGGUUUGGCAUUUAGUGGUACAAAUUACUACUGUGCAGUAGUAAUGUGUAAAGAUGGUGCUCUGUUGAAAAAUAGUUUUGGAGCUCGGGCGGCAGGGAGCUCGGUAUCCCUACCAUCCAGCCUCCUCGUUAUCCAGACUUCUGCUAUAUUGGCAGGCUGUAUAUGGAUGUAUUUAACCCAAUUAGCAAAGUGCAUGGACCCACAUCACGGCCCAGAACUCUGGAAAGGUGGCUCAUAUCCCUGACAUAUUACUCCCUCCGUUCCUAAAUAUAUGUCUUUGUAGAGAUUUUACUAUAAACCACAUACGAAUGUAUAUAGAUGCAUUUUGAAUGUAGAUUCAUUCAUUUUGUUCCGUAUGUAGUCCAUAGUGAAAUCUCUAUAUAGACUUACAUUUAGGAACGGAGGAAGUAUUUAAUAGCUACAGAUCAACAACCAUGACCAAGAAAUGUGCCGUGCCACAAAAAUUACCAGAUGCAUUGAGAUGUUGUUUAUUAAGGCUGCAAUUAAAAUUGCCAGUGGCAUUUGGACAGCACAAACUAGCUGAAUAAACGAAAUUAGCAGAGUUCGACAUUUCUCAUGCACAACUUAUUUGGCCAUUACAAAAAUUAUUUUGCACAAAGACACAUGACCUGCACAGGAAGAAGUCCAGUUUCAAAAAUGAUUGUCACUAGAUAAUCUUAUGCAUAGAUAGUUUGCACUUUAGAUGAACAGAUCAUGAUUUUGAAAGAAAAAAUGAUUGGUAAUAAUAUCUUUCUAGGGAGGAGGAUUUACAAGAAAAAAUCAGGCAAGAACCAUGGAGAUAGCUUCGUCCAGAAUACUGAACCAAAAAGUUAAAUUCAAAAACAAGAUACAAAGAUUCAAGUGUCAGAUCUCAUGGCCACAAUAAUAGAGGUUAAAUGCACUCGUGCACAAUCCGUAGUAGACACAUUGCAAGCAUGAAACUAGUAUGAACAUAUCAACCGCUAUGCACAUCAUUCUGAACAAAGAAGUUAAAUUCAAAACCAGUAUGAGGAUUUAAUUCACAGCCACAUAAUACCAUUCAGAUUUCUGGAUACAAGUAUGAAACAUGCAAAUAUGGAUUCUGCAACUCUGUAUUACAUUCCUCCACAAAAAGAACAAUUCAAGUUCAGUAUGUUUAAUUCACACAGAAAAAUAUACAAGAAAACUACAAGAAACCUUUGAUCCAUGAAAACCAUCAAUGUUUUCCUCCUGUCCUGGCGGCUGGAACCCUAGCCGCCGCCAGGAGAGCCCAAUCUUCCAGCACCGUCCUCCAGCGGCUCCUCUCCACCGGCGACCUCGGUCGUCGGUGGUGAGGGGGUCGCCGGAUCCACGUGUGUGGAUCAUUUUUACUCCCUCGUAGUCUAGAUUUUUAGGCUAUUUCAUCGUCUUUGUUUCGGCGGCGAUGAUUACAGCGCUGAAUAAAGAUUCUUCGGAUCCUUCGUUGACAAGGCCAUCGGUCCUAUGGUUGGGGAUGGAUUUGGAAACCAGUCUGUUCAAGCAAGGAUGGUGUGGCGGCGGCGGCAUCCUCUUGGUGGACCUGUGUCCUCGGGCUCUGCCGUUGCGACGGCGUUUGCUCCAGCGUCAGCGCAGAGCUUGGGAGGUAGUCCAGGAGCGGAUGCAGAUUGUGGUCUGCAUCGACGACAUCUGAAGGACAGAACAUGUCUGGGUUCGUGGUUCAUGGAUGGCAGGUAUGGUUUCCUUCUGCGAUGUCUUAGUCGCGGUGGGGUGCCAGAUCUGUAGUUCGAUGGCAUAUCCGGGGUGUUGCAUCGGCCUGAUUCGAUCAACGGUAAGGGCUUCACUUUUGGUGAGCCACCUUGGAGGUCUGCAAAGCUGCAUAUCAGCGAUGGAGCCGCGUCAAGCUCGAGUGAGGAGGUGAUCCAUCAUUCUUUUCUUCGGUGGUUGUUGUCGUGGUGCCUGAGACAGGUGAAGGGCGUUGGUGUCAAGCUCAGAGAUGUUCUGCUAUCUUUACAGUUUUGUCAUGUCGGUCCUUACGUGACUUGUACUUUAAUCUUUAUGAUAUAAAUGAGACACGUAUUACCAUGCAAAAAAAUGAAAACCAUCAAUCAAUUGUUCUAUUUGAUAGUACAAAAGGCAAAAGAACUCAUGAAUAGAAACCAACAACAUAUAACUGAUAUGGGGAUUCAAGAUUGGAAAAGAACCAGGCCAAAUUAGCAACAGUACAGCCUGGAUUUGAACGAAGACCACCUCGCCGAGAGACGAGAGCUGCAGGUAGUGGUGGAUCGCUGCAACCGACGGCCAUGUCUUCACUUCUCCAUUGGUGAAGUGGUUCUUUCCACAGGUCAACAUAAGUUUAUCCACAAGUUAAACUACUAAUAAGAAUUUGCUAUUACUGAUUGGUUGUCUCUCAAACUUACAUUUGUUCAGCACAAAUCUUUACCAUGCUCUAUUCCCACUACAUUCAAAAUCUCUCACCCCCAUUAUAUGCACAAUCCAGACAAGUCUGAAUCGAUUAAACACAACUACCAGCACAAUUAACAAUAUUUAGGUUUUGGCCAGAAGUAGUCGAACCGGACAUUUACCUGAAGCAGUGUUUAGCCAAAUUAAAAAAAAAAUCCUUUCCGUUGAGAACUACAUCAGAUUGGCCAAAAAGUUUUGGUUCAUUAUAACAUAAAUCAUUGAACAAAUAACCCAAUGAUCUCUUGUGGCAAGAAAUAAUCAAAUGUUGAUUUUUAGUGUGCAUUUUUUUCAUUUAAUUUUUUAGGGUACAUUAUUUUCAACAACAAUUCUCGCAAAAAAGAAUGCUUAAUUUCACACAAAGAACUGUUUCAAAAUCUGGGCACAUGAAAGAUCAAGGUUCAUGAAUGGAUAAGCACAUGUGCCACACUCCAAUGAACUUAAUGAACCAAAGAAGCAUAAACAAAGAAGAAAUCACUACUUGCAUGGAGAAUCAGUAUAGUUUCCUUUCUGUCAGCCUUGGAAAAAUUGCAACAGAGAAAUCAGGAGAACUCUGUCCUCCACAAAAAAAUUGAGUUCCACAAUCAAUCAAUUGAGUUCAGUAUGUUUUACUUUACGCAGAGAAAAAACAUAGAGAAUUACUAGAAACCUGUGUUCCAUGAAAACAAUCAAUCAAUUGGUUUUAUUUGCUAGUACAAAAGGCAAAGGAUCCAUAGAUAGAAAUCAACUACGUCUAACUGCUAUGGGAAUUGAAGAUUAGAAAAAAACCAUGCCUAAUUAGCAACAGUACAACCUGAAUCUGGAUGAUGACUACCUCACCGAGAGAUGGCAGCUGCAGAUAAUGGUGGAUUGCUGCAGCCGGCGGCGAUGCCAUCAAUUCUCCACCGACUCCUCAUGCGAGAUAUGCAACAGAUGUCACGGGCGCCCUCAGAUCUGGCCGGGAGCACCUCCCAUCUUCUCCAUGUUACCACCUAUCGAGAGAUCUGCACCUUGCCGUCGCACGUCAGAGCUACACCGCACGAGAACGUCACCUCGUCGUCGUCGUCAUCGCC
rnacentral:lncRNA from 1 species